GCUCCUCCUCCGCUCUCCUCUUCUCUCUCCCUAUUUUCUAGAUUACAACUAGAACUAACUAGAACUAGAACUAGAGGAACUAGAACUAGAACUAGAUGAACUAGAACUAGAUCUAGAUGAACUAGAGGUAGAACUAGAAGAACUAGAGGGAUCCUCUCUACUUGGAUGAAGAAUUGAAACCCUAGCUUUCAUUCUGUAGAAGAGGUAUGAUCUCCAGGGGCCAGGGGGGUCUGGUUUUAUAGUCCCUUCAAGUGAAUCUGGGCCGUCGGAUCAAACCGAUAUUGAUCGUGUGGUUUUCCUUGAAGUAUUAGCUCGGUGGAGCAUUGUCCCGAAAGAGAGUCCUGAUUGGACUCUGGCUGAGGGCGGGCGCCCAAGAGACUAGGGCGGGCGCCCUGUGCCUGAGCCCUCUCAGCCUCUGCUUCGGUCCCGUGGCUUCUGGAGUCUUCUAGAUGAUAGAAAAUUGCGCGGCACGUUAAUAUCUCUAUGUAAAUCCGACGUGUGGGCCUUUCUUCCAUAUUUCCUGAUGACCCCCUGCAGAAAUAGACAAACACCAAAACUCGUGAAAUUCUGUCAGAUAAAACCCUAAGUCUAGGUGUUGGUUGCAUUUGGAUCCUUUUCUAUGAUUAGUUGAUGGUUAAAUGUGAGCAUUAAGGACCGUCAACAAGCUCCCCCAAGCUUAACCUUUGCUCGUCCCUGAGCAAAGAUGAACUCAAGAGUUUCUGCAGUGGUUUCAUGCCUUAAAGAUACACAUGCGUUUAAACAAGAUCUCAUCUUUGGUUAGAGUAAACUAUUAAGACUUAAAACUUACUCAUUUACCUUUCACCAUGGGACUUGUAACCGUCACUUGUGUCUUGAGCAGUUAAAAGAUAGAACGGUCUAGUCAAGCACCAUGUCUCUUGUUCUUCGAUUAACUACAGCUCUAGAGUUUUUGCAGAUUUUCAAAUAAAACUCAGAGAUUCCUUGUAUGACUCUCUCUAGUCUCUCUUUUGUGGUAUUUCUGGAUCCUUACCAAGGCAGUAAUGGUAUAUGCCUUCUCUCAAAGUAUGUAGUAUUUUUGGUAUGGGGCAUAGUGGCAUUGCCUUCUCUCUCACCCUACUCUAAUAAGGUUUUGAUAUCUGGAGCUCAUAGGUGGGAGAUAGCUAAUACAUACUUACAAGACAUUUAUUGCAUAGUCAAACCAUGGAUCCAGAAGAACAAGUCAAUAAGUCAAAUCAAGAUGUGCAUGUGUGGCGUAUGAAUGAUGUAUGGUGAUGAUGGUGAUAACAAUGGUGGAAGUCUAAUUCUACUUAUGCUCUUUUGAGGGGAUACAUACCUUUCUUGCUCUUUUGAAACUUUUUGAGGAGAAUGAGUGCUCUAUAUUUUCUUUUUCUUUUCUCUCAGGUGGGUAUCUUGUACCCCUAAUUCUACUGUCGGACACUUGUCCAUUUUUACCUCUCGUCUCACUUUUUUUUCUCUUUUUUUUUCGAGGUUCCGGGCACUUGCCCCUUUUUAUUUCCUCGUAUCUUUUUUUUUCUCUUUUUUUUUAUUUUUUUAGAGAGCACUCAUCUCAUAAAAUAAUAUAGCAAGUGGUAGUAACCAAGAUAACUUGAGCAAUUAUUUCACAGGGAAAACAGGAAUAGGAGAAUGUUUUUGGCUAUUCUCUCCCGGAUUAGGAGUAGAAUAUUUUUGGGUGGUUCUGGAGAUGGAAAUGGAUGGAUAUAUGUGGAUGCGUACUUCCAGAGUAGAAGCAGCAUGUAUGAGUGAACGUGCAAGUGAAUCUUGAUUUAACCACAUGACAAGCUCCUAAGGGUCUACACAGCUUGACCACACUCAAUGCUCAUAAGCAGUAAUAAGUAAAUGUGUGGCUCAAAGUCUAGCAAGCAUGUAUAUAUGGCUGUGGUAGGAAUUUAAACUCUCAUCAUACAUGAACUCAUCAUGUGUUAUUUUAAAGAUUUUCAAAGAUAAAAUUCUCCAGAAUUCUAGCAUCUCUAGGAACAGAUAAACAGCAACUCAACCUUCCCAUAUCAUAUCCGUUAACAACUUAGACUUUAGAUCAAGUACUCUCCCCACAAGUUCAGGUUUAGAGCAAAUCUUAAUUCAUAACAGUGAUGCCUAAACUUGAGAGAGAUUUCAAUUUUGAGAACUAGUCAUGGCAGAGCAACUAUUCAUCAUUUCCAUGUGAGAGCUUAUCAUGAGGGUUCAUAGCAAACUUUAUUUAUUUAUUUAUUUAACAAACUAAGCAAAGAUAUAUAUAAGCUCAAAAUCUUUAUUUGGGUUUCUAUGAUUAUGCAUCUUUUUAUUAUUAGAGUAAAGUAUAAACGUGAGUAGAAUACUUAGCUGGAUAAAUGGGGGUGCUCUCCCCCAAGCCGGAUUUUGACGUAGUUUCUUCUAAUGUAGCUAGCAAGUGGUGGAGGUGUAUUUGAAUGUCAGCAGCACCCUGACAGCGAUUAGGAUGUCCUCCGUCAGCUAGUAUUCUUUGAUCCUUGAAUUCUGUGGAGCUCAAAUAGACAACAAAGCUUUGUGGAACUAGUUAAGUGCUAGCAUAAAUAUCUAGCCUUUAUCAUGUUGAGCCUCCUCAAUAAAUAUUACUUUCUUUGGUAGGAUCAUAAAUUUAUUUUUAUAUUUUCUUUUUUAUAGGACAGAAAUAUAUUUAUUUUAUUUUUAUGCCACCACAGUGAAUGUACUUAUGGGAUUUAUGCCAUGAGCAUACUCACAUGGGGCUUACUAUUUUAAACAUUUUUAUUUUCUUUUCGAGAUGAUAUGAACCUGAUUAACUAAGCAAACUAUUUUAAAAUAAUUGAAAGGAAAAAGAUAACUACCAAGUUUACCUCUUGGCAAGGCGUUCGGUGUUUUUAAGUCCUCCGAACGAGACUCUCUAUUUUCUCAGUUGUCCUGGGAUUUGCUGGAUGGCGUAGUCGGUGGUUCUGACGGUGCUUCCUCUUCGUGUAUAACUAUCUUCUCUUUCCACACCUGACUCGGUGUUACGGUCUCCUCAGGAAAGUUCUGUUCAAGGUGUAUGUCUUCAGACCUUAUCACUUCUUCUUCAUAGUCUGCCCAUCCGUCCUUGAUGAUUUGCCUCCUCUGGUUGCGGUUGCGUCGUCGUCUUCUUGUCCUGACCUACUUAGAGUCUUCAACUAUAUAGUUAGGGUCAGUAAAAUAGCGGCGUACCUUCUCAGAGGGGAAGUUCAUGUGGAUUUCUCCGGUUCCAAUGUAGAUGAUUGCUUUGACGGUGCUGAGGAAAGGUCUUCUAAGGAUGAUGAGUGGAUCGAAUUCGUCUUCUCCCAUGACAAUAACCUUUCAGAAUGUCUGAUCUGCCAUCUGAAGCUGAAUGUAUGUCGGUUGUAGGGGCAUGGUUCCACGCAGGAGCUGAUAAGUGACUGCGGCCAUUAUGUUAACGUUAGAUCCGGUGUUGUAGAGUGUCUUCUGAAAAGAAUAUCCGUUGAUUGUGCACUCGAUGCUUGGAACACCAGGGUCGUCCUUCUUGAUAAAGAAAGGUGACUUGAGUUGACGAUCUUGACCUCCUUGAGCUGCAGUGACCAUCUUAGCUGACUCGGUCCACAUUUGCUUAUUCCUGUUCCUCCUGUUGGUCCUCUUCCUUGUUUCAUGUCAGGAUUGCUCUGAGAUUUGUGUAGUCUUGUUCUUGAAGGAAAACGUCUCCGUCCUUCCCUUGAUGUAGAAACUGAUCUUGACAGCACUAGCAUAGAUGACAGCUCCCGAGGUAUUCAGGAAUGGCCUCCCUAGGAUGAUGGGUGCCCUCUCAUCGUAUCAGUCUCUAUCACCACGAAGUCUGCUGGAGCGUAUAAGGUACCAACUCGGACGUAGAGGUUCUUCAAUAUUCCCCUUGGGAAACUUAGUGUCUGAUCUGCAAGCUGCAAACACAUGGUUGUUUCUAGGAAAGGAUGUGUAAAGAAUUUAUCAUAGAGUACCCUGAGAAUAAUGUUAACGCUAGAGCCAAAGUCGCAGAGUGCUUCUAGGAAGUCCACCAUGCCGAUGGAAAUCGGGAUGACGGGACGUCCUGGAUUGUAUCUCUUGACCGGCAGAAGGUCAGUAAUUAUUUCCACAACGGGGUUACUCCAGUAGUUACGUCCUCAAGCAUCUCAGGGCAGUGAUUGCCUGAGUGUCCAGUAUCUCCAGUGUGUUUGUGCUCGUAGAUCUAGGUUCUUCACUUAGUGGAGUCUGGGAGUUAUAAGAUUCCUUCAUAUUUUGCUCGAAGUGUACCUGCUCAUAGAGACAAGGCAGAGAUCAAGUGCAUGGGCCCUGUUGGUGGAAAACACCAACAGAACCAAAAGUGUAUUUAUUCUUCUCUAACCUUAAGCAUAGUGAGCAAGACAAAGUUAAUGGAUAAUAAGAUCAUGAUUGUAGCAUUUAAAACAUUUGUCUGAUCAGAUGGCUCAACCUAAUGGAAAGAUAAUCUAUCUAUACUUAUGUUUUUUUUUAUCAUAUAUAUCUUCCAAAUAUUGAGUGUGCAACAUUUUAGCUCAUAUGAUUAGGAGUGUGGGAUCACAAAGGUGGAAGGACUAAACAUAUUGAAUCGAUUGGGUUGGUUAAUCUAGAGUUGUAAAUCAUACAUGUUUGUCUCUUUUAUUCAUGUGAACGCCAGAACCAAGGAGAAGCUUAUAAAAGUGAUAGUCAAGUACCUUAAGAUGUUACCUUACUUGAAGAGUGAUGAUACAGUAUCACCUUGUGGAAGCUUUCCUUUCUUAGCAGUUGUGAAUCGUGUUUGUGGCACCCUCCAUGGAUCAUCUCUUGUGAGCUAUGCCUUGUGUAAAUUGUUAAACUUCAUGUGUCUCUCCCUUUGUCUCCAAUGUGAGUUUGUCUCAAGACUUCCCAGAUUGAUAUUGAAAGUUUUCCUGCAGGGGUUAGUCCAACAAAAUAUCCAAUAUCUACUAUAGCAUACUAUCGGCUCAAAAAUCAACCUAGACACCAUGUCUAAUUUGAUUCAGGAGGGCUUUUUUAACCUAAGCACCAUGCUUAAUUUAAAACCCCUUGGAAGUAAGAUCAUCAUUCCUAAACUAAGCACCAAGCUCAAUUAAGAGAUAAAUGAAACUACUCCAAACCUAGACAUAUACUAAAGCAAAUAAAGGUAGCAUGAGAGCAUUUAUAGAGAUCUACUCAAGUGCAGAUGAAGUAGUGUGAUUAGUAUUUAACAAAUUGAGCAUGUUUCAAAGGUAAGGACAACCAACAUAGCAACAUGGCAAAGGAUGUUUUUAUGUAAAGUACUCCCCCAAGCUUGAAUUUUGCAAAAUUCAAGUUUGGAUGAAUUUAAUUCAAUGUUGUAUGAUGAUUGGUUGGACAUACCUUGUGCUUGUCAUUCAUCCGAUCUUCUUGCUCCAAUCCUAGAAAGGUUAGUGACAAGAAUACCCGAAGGAAUAUUUUUACAAUUAUCCUUAUAUGCUCAAUUCACAAGGUAAUGUUGUAAAUAAUUCAAAGCUCAUGUUACAAUCUGACUAGUGCUUGUUUUAGGACACUAAGCUUGUCCUGGGGAAACCAUUAAUUUAUGUCAGCGAAGUGGUUUCCCCUCCAAUGCUGACCUAUAUCAAGAUCAACUUAACGAGAUCUGCAAUAUUUAAUAUAGACAUAUGCAUCGACAACCACCCUUUUAAAGUUUUUAUAAAUAGAAAGGAAGAGGGGGUUGGAGAUCUUGAAUGUGGUGAUGUUGGAGAGACCAAUGGAUUGUGAAGAUGUUGCAUAUGAGCAUGGAGUAAAUGAAGUGGCUAUGAAAUAAAUUCCAUGCUCAUUAAUGCUUAGAGUGAAAUCCAUGUGGUAUGGUGAAAAUGGUAAGGUGAGUGUGGUAAAAAAGGAAAAGAAAAAGGAUACACGGACGACUUGGUUCGAAACUAGCACAGCUACCGUUCCCCGGCAACGGCGCCAGAAAGCUUGUUGGGUAUUUUAAACGCAAACAGAAAAAUCCGCAAGCGCACGGAUACCGAUGUAGCCUUCACCCGGGAAUAUUCCAGAGUAUCGAUUUUCCACAGAGAACGUGAGUGUACUAAUUAAGAUCCAAGAUCGCCCAAGGAUAACUAUAUAAUUAUUUUUGGUGGGAAGAGAGGAAGUUUCCUGAGAGUUCUCUAGUUGAUCUAAGAAUCAAGAAUUACUUCAAGAUUAUCUAUAUCGGGACAUCAGAGCACUAACCACAGAAAGAGAUGAGAAGGGGGCUAGGAAGGUCUGACUACGGUCCUACAAACACCGAUCCGAACGUGGUGGAAUACGUCGACCGUUAGGGCUGUCACUACCCUAGGGCUACCACAACAAUCCGCAGGAUUGGGUGCAAUUCCAUGUAAUUGCAAGACUAAACACCACGUCUAAUCUAUUAAUUACUACUCUAAUGUUUCAAAGAUUAGAGCACUAGAUGCAAGCGGGAAUCCAAUAAAUAACUUGAAUGUAAAUAAAAGUAAUUAGAGAACUCAGGAGUUAUGAAUUGAAGAACCUGGAGAACGAUGAAGAAUGAACUAGAUGCUGCAAAAGUACAAUGUUGAGGAAGAUCCGACAGAUCCGGCUCCUCCUCCGCUCUCCUCUUCUCUCUCCCUAUUUUCUAGAUUACAACUAGAACUAACUAGAACUAGAACUAGAGGAACUAGAACUAGAACUAGAUGAACUAGAACUAGAUCUAGAUGAACUAGAGGUAGAACUAGAAGAACUAGAGGGAUCCUCUCUACUUGGAUGAAGAAUUGAAACCCUAGCUUUGAUUCUGUAGAAGAGGUAUGAUCUCCAGGGGCCAGGGGGGUCUGGUUUUAUAGUCCCUUCAAGUGAAUCUGGGCCGUCGGAUCAAACCGACAUUGAUCGUGUGGUUUUCCUUGAAGUAUUAGGUCGGUGGAGCAUUGUCCCGAAAGAGAGUCCUGAUUGGACUCUGGCUGAGGGCGGGCGCCCAAGAGACUAGGGCGGGCGCCCUGUGCCUGAGCCCUCUCAGCCUCUGCUUCGGUCCCGUGGCUUCUGGAGUCUUCUAGAUGAUAGAAAAUUGCGCGGCACGUUAAUAUCUCUAUGUAAACCCGACGUGUGGGCCUUUCUUCCAUAUUUCCUGAUAACCCCCUGCAGAAAUAGACAAACACCAAAACUCGUGGAAUUCUGUCAGAUAAAACCCUAAGUCUAGGUGUUGGUUGCAUUUGGAUCCUUUUCUAUGAUUAGUUGAUGGUUAAAUGUGAGCAUUAAGGACCGUCAACAAUCCCAACGAAUAGGACCCUGCAGCACUAUUCACAUGAGUCAUGACUUCACAUCUGGACGCCUCAAUUUAUCAAAUUCAAGGGCGAAGCCCCUGGUCGCGAUUUGGAGCAGGGACUCAUCGGGCUCGCCGUCUCCGAUGGUUUGGCACCACGUCGGCGACGGAGAAGUAGUGGGGGAGGGCUAGGGGGCCCGCGCCCACCCCACGGUGACCAGAGCUCGCCUCGUGAUGGUCUAAGGAGGCGAGGCCGCGCGAGCAGUUGUCGCCGGCGGCAAUGUCUCCUACGGCAAGUCGCUCAUCGAGGGAGACGCCCGGGGAGUGAGUCGGCGAGGCACGGGGCGACCAUGAAAAGACAAUGGUGGUGCUGGCAUGGGUAGAGGAGGGCCAGAGGCAAGGGAGCAGCCAUGACGACGGCUGCUCUGCUCGUCGGCCAUGGCAGACGACGGCACGGCAAGCAGGGUGCAGCGAGAGGGAGUGGGCGAGGGAGCGUAGGGGUGAAGGGAGUCAUCCACGAGCUCCUGGGGCGCUUUAUAACGAUCCAGCAAUGCUGGGACGCGUGGCAGCAGGGUGCAGAGCUCGGCUCGUGCAUGAACGCCACGCAGACAAAACAGCGAACAUCUGGCGGGUGCGAGUCUUCCACGUUUGGACGCCACAAAACGGUAUAUUCGGGGCAUAUUCGGGCCAAGACGCCUAAAGCAAAGUUGCUGGUCUCCUGAUGGUCUACAAGACUGAUUAAGGUACUCCAGCCAUUAGAUUUGCAGAUUAAUAGAUAAUUAGAUGCCAAGUCAUGAGUGUCAUCGUAUUUACGGUGAUUAGAAAAACUAAGAAUUUAUGAUCCAAACCAUGCCAAACUUGAUGCAACUUUUUGGAUGCUCAUCUCCAAACAAUUAUCCACAACUUUUAUUCUUGGACCAACUUGAGUUGCUUAACAAAAACACGAGAACGCGGCAUGCCAACAGGUCGAUCUCCGUUUAGCGAUAAAAUAACUUUUUGCUGUUUUGGGAGCUACUUUUAGAUAUCCAAAUGAACUCCAAAUUUGAUGAUGCUUGAUCCAUUGCUUUCACCAAGAAGAGUACUCCAACUCAUAUUGAGGAAUCUAAUUGAGUUACCAUAUGAAUUUGGAUGGUAAAACGUCACGAAGUAUCUAACGCACUGCUGUACUUCCAGGGACUUAGAAUUAUUUCUCAGGGCUAAAAAGCAGCAGUUGAUUCGAACUUUGGGCCUCUGUUUAAACUAUUUGAAUGCUGAUUUGGUUCUUCACCCUUGAAUAAAGUUUCUUCUACAGAAGCAAAACUACAACUUUCAUUUAGGGUCAAACCUCAUAACUGCAACAGAAGUCAAUCUUUCACUUAGGUCAAAGCAGUAUCUUGAUAAAGCUCCAAAUAGGGUUUUAGGCCAAUUGAAGCAUUUUCUUGACAUCAGCUCAACAUGAACCCUUCAUGACUUUUGUUGUAUAAUUCAUCUAGAGUCCUAUGAACGGUUGGUUCAUGACCCAUGAUUCUAUUUCCUUAAUAGAGCCAUUCCAACAAGGAUAUAACUUAUCAUUUCAUGUGACUUCUUGAUUCCAAACUUCACCAAACUUUUCUAGAGACCAAUAUAGAUUGGGAUGGAUAUGAGACACAUGGAAAAUGUUCCACUAGCAUCAUCCAAGCAUACCUUUUAAAAAGGGCCUAUAUAUAAGUAAAGGUGCAUCAUCCAAAUCCAAGUUAGGGCUUACAUUCAUAGAUUGACUUUGACCUCUUUAUUACUACUGAACUUUUCAUGUUUGAGCUCAAACCUAGUACUUAGCAAGUGACAAACACCUAGGGUGUUACACUGACCACCAAUUUGCUGACCAAGAUUCAUCAGCUGGUUGACCAACCCUUGAUUCUGAAACCCAGGUUGGAUUUGUCCUUGUUGAAACCCUACGGGCUGAUGAUUCUGCAGAGGCAUCUGUGGAAAGACAAACUGCCCAGUCCAUCCACUGUUAGCAUUCAUCAACAUAGGCCCUACCGAUGACUGAUAGUUGGGCAUCAUCAUUGAAUUGACAUACCCUGGCUGUGUCAUGAAUCUCUGCUGCGUCGGCAUUGAAUCUGCUAAUUUAUUAGGCAUCUGGAACGUUGGAGCUUGAGAAUUCCCAGUGUAAGGUCUUGUAGUAGUAGUUGUAGUGUACUGGGGACUCUGAUUCAUCGGCGGAUUUGGAAGUGCCGAUGCCAUAGGAGCCUUGCCUGUCAUGUCAGCCACUUGAGAUGUUCCAGGACCUUUUGCCAUGAACUCUGGGGGCAUACCAUAACCCCACUAGUUGGGAGGAACAGUCCCUGACAUUGCUGAUGCCAACAGAUCUGUGGCAAGCUUGAUUUGCCCGUCUGAUAAUGAUGGAUUGUUCGUCAUUAGUGUAGACUGAGCAUUAGUGAUCCCUAAUGUGCUUUGGAGGAGAAGUAGCCUCUGUACCCGCAACGGCUGUAGUAGCCGAUGGAGGCGUGACCAAUGAUGACCCCGGCUGAUGAUAGGCAGGACCCACAUAAUUUGGUGGUACUUGUCCUUCUUUGAAAGUUCUAACCACAGCAUUGAAAACCGUGUUGGACAGCACACUAGCUUGAUUGAUCAAGGCACGGUUAAUAGCAUUGUCAACCAUGUCUUGAAGUUUACCAGGAUUGGCUUCAAAAGUUAUCUGCCGAGGUGCCGGCAAUGCUUCCUUUUGGAUCACCUCGCCGCUCCUAUCGAUACUGAAGGAUUUCUAGCAUUGCUGGUUGUAUUCCUCCAUGGCUUUUGCCAUAGCUUGCUUCUGCUCAUCCCUGAGAUUGGCCUCCGUUACUGGGAUGACGUUCUCCAAGUCGAAAUCGGUGUUCGACAUAUUGAUCUUGAUCUUGAAUCGGUCCCACUGGGAUGCCAAAAGAUGUGUUGGUGCAAAUGCUGAUUUGCAAACACAAAGGGCUAAUACCCGAUUCAAACGUUAAGGCGUGCCAGCCGAUUUGACCCUACAAUCGACAAAGGUGGUAACUCGAACACUUUGGUCCCGACAACAGCGAUACGCCCGGAUGUCACGGCCAAGAGGUGCUCACGCGGAACUUGAGAACACGUGGAGUUUGACUCGAUGAAUUCCUAAGGACUCGUAGUAAAAAGAAAAUAUGACGAAGUCGUCGAAAAAGUAGAUGCUGGAAUAUGAGUAAAAACUUGUAUUUGAUUGAUUGAUAGAUUUUUUACAUUGCACCAGAGUCUACGUUUAUACCCUGUCCAAAGAGCUACAACCAGACACGACUAGGACUCGAAUUCCAAAUUAAACGGAACCCGCAUACAAAACGAAUCCUAAUAACUAAGGAAAACAUUAAACUAUCCCCCGUAACUGAUCGGGACACUGCCACGAAUCAAUCGGCAACCUCCGCGUUUUUGUUCAAGGUCAUCGGCAGACUACCUGUUACAGCCAUCGGCAAAUACCGGCACUGGUCAUCGGCACGAAUACGUCACCACUUCUGGACUUGGUCAUAUUCGGUUGUUUCCCCAUCAGCAACAACCUUCAUCGGCAACUCCCCUAUAGACUAGUCACCAUUGCUCCAUCUGCCGAUCUUCAUCCUAUUAACUCCAGGUGCGUUUCAAAAGAUACGUAUCAAAAAACGGUGUCAACAAAUCUAGAAAGACAUUUCUCAAUUUAUUUGAUUAGUCUGCAAUACAUGUAGUCACUGCUUGUUGUAUUCUCCAGCUUGGUCAAUCUCCAGCUUGGUCACAAAACAAUGCAACAAAUGCAUUCUGAUUUGUUAAAACUCACAAGAUAGGCAACAACAGCUUGGUCUCUUUCACCAGCAGUAGCACAUAGAAAAUGAUACUAAAAUUCAGCCAUAAUUCAAGGAAAUUGCCAAAGUCACAAGACACUGCAACAAAUGCAUUCUCAAGUCACUGCUGAACUUGUGAUUACAUCCAAACUACUACUCCAGUCUUCGAGCAGUAACAUCCAGCACACUACCUACAGACAUACUGAUUCAGUCACCUCACAAUAAGGGCAACAACUACACCUAGCAGUAUACCAAUAAGAACACCGACAAGAACAGAGACAUCUAUCACAAUAUGCAAUUUUCUAUUACUCGACUCGGGCUUUGGAGCAGUAACAUUCAUCUUCAAUUUCAAAACAUCAUUGGUAACACUAUCCAGCCUUUGCCUCACUUCAGUCAUUUGUUGCUUCAAAUCACCAAUGUCAUCUUCGUGAAUCUGUUUCUUCUGCUUUAGAGCCUCUGAACGCACAUCUAAGUGAAGAUGACCUGGAACCGUCUACUGUAUCAUCUAAGGUGCUAGUUAUUCCAUAUUGUCAAAUCUAAAAAUGUGGUUUGCUUGCUAAUUACAUCUAAGGUGCUAGUUAACAAAUACAUGCAUGUAAUGUUUAUCUCUGUAGCAUGACACAACAACAUUUAAUGUUCAAUCCUUAUGAAUGUUUGAUUGGUUUUUUGUAGAAGAAAGCAACAACAUACAAGAGAAAGAGAGGUGCUGACAAGGAACAACCUCGGACGCAAUCUAGUAUUGUCACAAGGGGAAUGAAGAAACGUCCAGAUGAUGUUAGUCCAAUGAAUAUUCAGGCUGAUAUCCCUAAUCAGGCAGCAGAGGAAGGUUCUCUGACUAUCCCAUGAAAUGCUUAAUUUAUCAGAUGCAAUCUAGUGUUUUCAUUAUUCUUGUUUCACUAUAGUUGAUCUAUAGCUUAAAGUGCUUGCAUGGAGAUGGAACUUAGAUUAAAAUUGUAGUUCAAAUUGAGUUGAGCAUAGACUCUUAGUGUAACGGAGCCUGCAAAAGAGAUUCUGCUAUUGUUUUUCUAUCUUUAGAUUUUGGCUAAGUACAGAGAAAGGUUAGCUGACUAUCCCAUGAUGUUUGAUCACCUAAAUCACUUAGAACAGCUCAGGAUCAAAAAACAAGUAGUUCAUAUUCAUGCUUUAGCUGAAAACAAGUACUUGAGCAUAGCCUUUUAGUCUAACAAAGCCUUCAAAAUUGAAUCUGUUGCUAUUGUUCUGCCAUUGGAGAUGAGCAAAUAUACUAUUACUAAUUCUAUAUUGCAUUGUAGCUGAUGCAGGUGACCAAAAUGGUUGCCUGGCUGGAGAUGAUCAAGAAUGCAAUGAGCUGAACCUGGAUGCCACUCCAAAUGGCACAACAGUGAAUGAUGUCAAUGAAAAUGGAGAAACACAUGUUUCCAACGUUGCUAAAGGUGUGUGUUUCUAAGUCUUGCACAUUGUAAACCUUUUCCAUACCCAACUUCGGACAGCAGUAUACUAACACAACUCAUUUUUAGAUGAACUACUUGAUGAGGAAGACAGGACAAGGGUACCUAGUAUUGGGAGAGAACUUGUUCAGAUGACUCGCUCGAGGAAGAAAAAACUUCCUUUGGUUAUUGAGCCAGGGAAGAGAAGAUCAAAGUCGGUGAUGAUCGCUGCAAAAUUUGCAACAGAGUGCAACAUUGCAGUAAGACAUAUUGUUCCGAUAUUUCCACAUUGAAAGGAAUACAAGAAGUAUCCAAAGAUGACGAUGCGUACAUAUCGAGAGUUGUUGUAAGUGUUGAAACUUUCCUCUUUACACUGUUUAUUUCAAACAUUAAGCAUGUGUAUUCAAUAACAAUUGGCAAUGUUGUUUACUGUCUCCAGACAAAGUUUCAUACGGAUACGAAUUCAGUACCUAUGAAAAAAGCAUGUCUAGUUAUGAUGAAGGAAGCUGUUCGCCAGCAACGCUACAAGCUAAAAAAGAGGUAUUUUGAUGCUUUCCCACUAUAUCAGGUGCCCAAAACUUCUCCUGUGGGUACUAUGACUGAUGUGCAAUGGAAUCAACUUGUGGAACAUUGGAAAAAGGAGGAAAAAAUGGUAAGAUCAUGCAACUGUUCCAAUCUCAUCAUGUUUGAUGUCAUGUGUGCUUAGCUAUAGAACGGUGUUCCUAUAGGUGACUUGUGAGAAGAACAAAGAGAACAGAAGCAAAGUGCAGUUCCAUCAGACCACUGGUUCUCGCAGCUAUGAAAUGCACAUUGUAAAUUUGGUGAGUACUACUCUUUGACACUUUCUACUUGAACAUGCUUUUGGACCUUCAAUUGCAAGAUAUUGUAUACCAUCAUGUUGUUUGUGAGGUCUUUUCUUCACUGCAGAUUUAAAAUAGCCUUGUAUGUAGCUAUGGCACAAAGAUUACUAAUAGUUGAUAAAAAUCUCCUGCUGGUUGUGAGUGUUUCCACUAGAACAUGUUUGUGAGGUCUUUUCUUCUCUGCAUAUUUACAAAAGCUUUGUAUGCACUAUCAUAAAGAUUAGUAAUAGUUGAUAGAAAUGUGUUGCUGGCUGCUAGGGUUUUAAAAUUAUAUCACUGCAUACUAAACUUGGGUCUGCAAAACUUGGUUAUACCAAUAACACUAGAAAAUCUAGAAAAUGUUGUAAAUUAGUUUGUUUAUUGACUAUUAUCUGUGUUAGUAAUUAAUACAAUCAGCAACAGCUUUUAAAAGUGUCCUUUUCUAUUCUUUUUUUAGGUGGAGAAGUACAAAAAUGAACCACCAAAUGCACUGGAACUAUUUAAAUAGACACACUACAGCAAAAAGAAAGGAUUUUCUCCUGCAGUUCAAUCUCUUGUUGUAAGUAAAUUCAUACUUAGUUCACAACCUGUUGAUACAUUAGGUUCAUGUCAUGAUCCGUGAGUUAUCUAUGUAUCUUCCAUUGCUAGGUUGAAAUAGAGGACAACCUGAAUCAACCUGUUGAUGAAGCUCUUGAACCAAAGGAUGUCACUGAGGUGCUCUCUGAGGCUCUUGUUCAGAAAACUAAGAACAGAUUUCUUGUAAAUGUGGGGCUGAAAAGCAAUGCUACCCGUGAUAGUGCUGAGUAUGACCUACAAGAGGAACUGGUGGUGGAGAAGCAAACUUCAAGUGACCUUAGGGAGAUUGUCAAGACUCAACAACAGCAAAUGGAUGAAAUGAUGAAGAAGCUGGUGGAAAAAGAAGCAGCUAUGGCUAAGAGAGAAGAGGAGUCGAACAAAAAGGAAGCUACCAUUGAUGCACUAAUCAAGACUUUCAUGUCCAUGGUUCCAGGAGACCAAGCAACACAGUAAGGUUAGCUUGGGUUCUUGCCUGGUGCACUUUGAUGUUCAUUGCAUGUUUUGGUGAUGGAUGCUGUGAUGUGAACUGGUGGCUCCAAGGUCUUUUGGAGGAAAUGAUGCAUGCUUGUGCAAUUGUGAGCUUAUGUGCAUGUGAACUGCAGCAUGGUCUUUGUCCUGUGCAUGCAUGGUUUUUUGUGAUGGAUGCAUGUUCUGUGAACUUAUGUAAGGUCUGAUGUACGCCUUUGUUGUUCCAAACUUUAUAUUGAGAUGGUUGUAACUAUAUUGAGAUGUAUGUGGUGAUGGGACCUAUAAUUAUAUGUGAUGGCAUAUUUAUGUUUAUUUGUGAUGAUCUGUGGUCAUCUGUGAUGAUAUGAAUCAUGUGAAUUUUCAUUUGAAUGUGUUGUCAAUUUAAAUGUGAAACUGUUGUCCAUAUAAAUUUGAAUUUGGUGCUAUUUAAAUUUGAAUGCUUCCUGAUAGGUUGUGGGCCAAAAUAGGCCAUUUCUACCAUGCAAUUGGGCCAGCCCAACAGUGCCUACUAAUAUAUGGGCCUGACAUAAUAAAAAAUACACAAAACAUGGGCCUAAUUGGAGAAAAUGGGCCAUAAAAAGCCUAGUGAUGAUGUGGCAAGGUGGCAGCCAAGUCAAAUCCAACAUCACCAAAUGACAUGGCAAUAGCUGACAUGGCAGCAAAACCAUGAUGGUUCAGUUCAUCACCAUAGUCUCUUCCUAUAGUUGCCCUCUGGUUCGUCCAUGGUGAUCCAAAAACCAACCCGUGACGUUCUAUUUUGGUCCAUAAAAUGUAUGACGAGGAAUAGAUGAUGUUCCUAUGGACCGUCACAGAUAGUUAACCGUGACGGAUUUUUGCUUGUUCAUGACAGAAUGAAACCGCCACGUAUAAGGGAAUUUCUUGUAGUGUGGCUUGCUUGGUUGAUCAUGAGUGGCUAGUGAUUUGAUGAGCUUUGUUUGAUGAGCCUUGUAUCUAAGCCCACUCUUGUCCAUCUUCAUGACGGUGUUCAUGAAUAGCUCACUUUGAAGGUCAUUUCCUUUUGUGAACUUUGCUAACCCCUUGGUUAGGUGUUCCUUCUCUUUCUUGAGCUUGCUAUUCUCUUGAGUUAGCUUCUUGAUGAUUGGGUCAUUGUUGCUUGCUAACUCUUCCAAGAUGAAUGACUCAUCUUCUUCUUGCUUGUCAUACAUCAAACCAAGCUUGAGAUAUUGAUUCUCUUCUUUGAGCAACUUGUUCUCAUAUGCAAGCUUCUUGUCUUGAUCAAGUAACUCAAUCACAAUUGUGUUGUGCUUGGCUUGCUCUUGCAACUCUUUCUUGAGCAUGAUAUUUUCUUCCUUGAGCUUGGUAGUGUCCUCAUAGCUCUCGGCCACUACCACUUUCUUGCCCUUGCAAUCAAUACAUUUGCUUGUGCUCUCCACAAGUAAGUCAUCACAAGAUGUGGCUACAUCAAGCUUAGCAGCAUGGUUAGUAGCAACAUGUGUUUCAUUGAUUGCAAGAUCAUAAGCUAUCUCAAGGUUGUCAUAGUUGGCUUUUAGAGUUGUUAACUCUAUGUCUAGUGUAAGCUCAUCAUGCACACUCUCAAGUUUAUCAUGUUUUUUCUUUGAGCUCUUUUAGAGAAAGUUUGAGCUCCUUGAGCUUAGUGGUCAUGAUCUCAUUUUGAUCUCUAAGCUCAUCACUAGAUUUAAGCUUUGCUAGAAGUGAUUCAUUUUCAAGUUCAAGUUUCUCAUUUUCACUUCUAGUUUUUCUUAUGACCUUAGUGUAUUUGUUUAGCAAUUUUACAAGAACGUCAUAAGAUGGUGAUUCAUAUUCACUAUCACUUUCACUACUCUCACCCUCACUUUGUACCUUCCAGUCACCCUUGGCCAUGAGGCAUAGGUGUGUAGAGGAUGUAGAUGGUGGUGACGAUGAUGGUGAUGAAGCAUCAAUGGCAAUGGCGGCAACCUUCUCAUCAUCACUCUCAUUGCCGGAGGAGUCACCACUUGUGCUUUCAAUGUCGGUGAGCUAAUCACCAACAAUGUAAGCCUUGUCAUUCUUCUUCUUGUGGUACUCCUUCUUCUUGCCACCUUUCUUUUUGUAUUGCUUCUUGUCAAUCUUCUCUUCAUCACUUGAGUCACCAUGCUCUUUGUUCUUCUUCUUGUAUUUGUCCUUCUUGGGCUUUGGACAUUGGUGAGCAAGAUGACCAAGAUCACCACAAUUGUAGCAAUCCAUCUUGGAGAUGGGCUUUCUCUUGCUACUUGUGAAGAACUUCUUCUUCUUGGAGUCAAAGUUGACUCCAUUCUUGCUGAGCUUCUUCGACAUCUUGGUGGUUCUUCUCACCAAGAGGGCAAUGGAUGCAUCAUCAUCACUUGAAGUUGAUGACUCAACUUCAAUCUUCUUGGCUUCGCCCUUGUGAGAAGCUUUGAGGGCCAAAUCCUUCUUUUCCUUCUUAGACGAUGAGGAGCCAUCUUGGGGGUUCAUGCGCAUGUACAUCUCAUGAGCGUUGAUCUUCCCCAAUAUGGACGUUGGAGUGGCGGUGGAGAGAUCGCCUUGAUGAAGCACGGUUACUGUAACACCCUAGGUGUUAAGCAUGCACUUAGUCUCAUCAAAGUCAUGCAUAAGCAUUCCCAUCAAGCAUAAGCAUCAUGAGCAUGACACUCUUCUCAAAUUAUGAUUUGAUGUGCUUCACUUCAUGAGUUUAAAUAUGCUAAAAAUAUGAUGCUUGCUUCUAAAAUUGUGAAAUAUUCAAAUUAGGUUGCUUUAUGUGUAAGAAGAAUUUAGAAUAUUUUUGUGCAAUUUUUGGAGCUAUGGAAAUUGAGAAAUGGAAUUUAUACAAAAAUAUCCAAAAAGAAUUUAUUUAAAACCUAGAACUGAGUUUUAACUUGUAAUUCAAAUUCUGUUUGGAAUUUGGUCUUGCUUGUUAAAGCAAAGUUGUAGAGUUUUUGUUUUGGAACAACUUUGUUUUUGGGAGCAAGAGGUGAAAAUGAUUUUAAAUUGGUCCAAAUGAAUUUAGAAAGAAUUUGAGAAAAGAAUUUCAAAAAAAAAGGAGAAAGGGGGCAGGCGCUGCUGGGCCGACCCGCCUCCCUUCUGGCCCAGCUGGGCAGCGCGGCCCGCUCCCCCUCCCCUCUCUCCCGCGCGCGCGGCGCCCGCCUUGCCCCACCCGGCGCCGGCCACGUGGCGGCUGUACGCCGGCGUUGGAUGCGCCGCGGCCGGCCUCCAACCCCCCUGGUCGGGACGCCGGCGCAGGCUCCCAGGCCACUCCCUCCAUCCUGUCUCCCCCGCACCCUCCUUCUCCUUCCUCCUCCGCUCGCACCGCGCAGCAGCAGCCGCUCCUCCGCGCGCCAUUGCCGGAGAGAGCUCCGCCGCUCGUCGCCGGCCGCACCAGAGCCUCAAGCUCGACGCCGAGAGCACCAGGGCACUCGCCGUCGCUAGGGUAAGCUCGUGCGAACGUUCUACCGAGGUGAGAGUCCGUCGAGCGCCGUGAAUCGCUCGCCGGAGUUACCCCGAGCUCGCCGGAGUACUCCGCCGCGAUGGAUCUAGCGUUUCCCUGCCUCUUUUCGCUCGUUCUCUGUUGCGCUAGGUCGGUAGGAAGGUGAGGAAGCUCGGAGAGGCGUUUGCGCACGCUCUACCGCGCCGGAGCAGCCUGGCCACGGCGAGCAGCGCCGCCGUGCCACCAUGCAUGCUCGCCGGAGGUGUUCCGGCCGUCCUCUGGUCGAUCCAAGGGUACCGCUGGGUGCAUCUUGCUGCGAGGAGCACGUUGGUGCUCACCCCGUGGCCGGAGACCUCACCGCCGGCGAAAUCCGCUCGUCGGAGGUGAGCUCCCUCUCGGUCUCGCUGACUGGUGGGGUCGGGGACCCACUGUCAGUCGCAGAGGUACCCCGGUGGGUGUAGAUCUGGGUGUGCGUAGCCUUUUUCGUCGGUUUUCUUGAAAAAGUGUUUUCCAGAAAUUGAUUUAAAGUUUGUAGAAUCUAUAUCUUGAGUUCUACAGCUCCAAAUUGAAUGAAAUAAAUUUUGGUGUGCUCUAUAUUUCCAGAUCUACAGUUUGAUGUAAUUGCAUGUCAUGUUGGAGUAACUUUUCUGUGUGAAUAUAUUUUAUCCAUGAUUUUGUUAAACUUGGAAAAUGCAUAGUAAAUAAAAUAUGGCUCAGAAAAAUGUGAAACUUGAUUUGUUGGCUUUGCAUGUGUGUUUGCUCACUGGGAAAAUGUGGGUACAUAUUAUUUGAUGAAUAAAUGAAUUUAUGGUAAUUUAAAUGCUUGCAUGGCAGUGCUUUAUGAUUUUUAAUAAUUAAAUGGGUUAUGCAAUAAACCUGGAAAAUUUUGUGGGUGUUUCUUAUGAUGUUAGACAAAUUGUAAAAAUAUGAAAUCUGUUGUUUGACACUUAUAUCACAGUAGAGUGAUUUUACUUACCUUAUCAAUUAAUCUUGUGAUUUUUGUGGCUCAAAAUAAGUAACCAAAAAAUUAUGAAAAAUUUACAGUAGACUUUAUGAUUAGCUAGUAGUCUCCUGUAAUUUUUCUGGAAUUUAUUGAUGAACAGAAUUGCAUGUGAUUUUAAUGAGCCUAGAAAUGAAUAAAGAAAAUUAUGAAUGGUUGCAUAUCUAGGUUGAAUGGAAUAAGUUGGGUUUGGUGUAUCUUUGAAGCAUCCUGUGGGUUACUGAUUGCAUUUGAAAAAUAAUUGUAAAAGAGAAUGCAAUAGAUGUUUAAUCCAAGUGCCUGUUCUUGGAUGAUGUUGCAUACCUUGUGAUGAGCAUGACCAAGUGUAUCAUCCAUGCAUCAUGACAUGGUCCUUUGGUACCUUCUCAUACAAGCAUCCAUUCGGGCAUCUCACACUCCACUCAUGAGCACACAUGCAUCAUACAGGCUCGCAGGAGAACGAGGUGGGACCCGAGGAGCCAGAGGAGACUCAGGAGCAGGAACCUCCGGAAGCACCGGAACCCGGAGAGGAACUACAGGAGUGUCCGGAUCACCGACCCAGCACGUUUGAGAAAGGCAAGCCCCGGAGCAUUCUAAGUCUCCCUAUUCUCGCUAACUUAUGUGAUGCACUAUACUUGUUCUACUACUGCAUUUAAGUGGUAGGAGUUGCCUGAUACCGUUGCUGCAUAUGUACUCCUUGUUAUUCCUACUCGUUUAUCUACCUUGUCCUAUGUAGAUAGGCACGGAGUCUAUGCUUAGCUUGCUUAGUCUGGUAGAAGUCGGGUGAUUUCCUGUCACCUGCGAGAUAUAGGUGGAUACCUGCUUGAUUAAGCAUUGGUUGCUUGGGAAAAGGAUGACCAAUUGUGGAAUGAAUUUGGAGACCGGGCAGGGUCUUAUGGUGGGUUGACCAUAGUGCCCCUGCCUGUGUCGAUUAAGGACCGGUCGUUGACGGCCCUCUUGUCAUGUUGAACGCAUGCCCCACACUUAGCUGGAAGGAUAAGUCGUUCCGACCGCGAAGCCUGAGCACUAUCCGGGCCGGGAAUCGGCCCGAUGUACGCGCUGUAUUGGUGAUGGUUGAGGAGAACGACGAGGGCGCGGCGCGCAACCUUGGUAUACCUUGGAUACCUCGGUCGCCGGAACGGUCCUCGGGUACGGGCGGUGCCUGUCGAACCCGCGAAUUGGUCCUGGAUAGUGCAACACGGUGACCUGUAGCUCACUUGAUCAGUGAGUGUGGUUUGUGUGGGGAAUAAAUUCGCCAGCUGGUUAGAAAUCGAUUCGAAUCGCCAUCGCUCCUGGAUAGUGAGCACUUGACAUGAGCUUCGUCCUCAUAGUAAGGACUAUGGAACACUUGGGUUAUAAUGAUGAAUGGUUUAAGAAAUGCUAUGAUGAGGUACUAUCAUAGUCUCAUACUUGCUUGUAAUAGCACAGGAGCAAACCUAGAUAAUAGGUAAUGAUACUUUCAACUUGAGCAGAUUAAAAGAAGAAAAGAUUUAUGUAGGUUAGGGUAAUAAAACCUUGCGGUCUUUGCAAAAUGGUUGUCAGCUACCCCACUAAAUAGCCUUCAUGAUCCUUGAUGAGUCUUUAUUUUAAGUUUAUGACGGGUAAGUCUAGCUGAGUACCUUCUCGUACUCAGGGUUCUAUUCCCAUGUUGUUUUGCAGAUGGUCAAAUGUACUAUGGUUAUUGCAUCCUCUGUCUAUACCCAGCUAUGGGUGAUGACUAGACCAAGGGCGAUGGUCACUCCAUCUCUUCCUUUGCUUUUGUGGGAAUGACCGAACUAUGGCACUGUAUCAGACUUAUCGUGUGUGUUGUAAUUUCAAACUAUGAAGCUUCCGCUACUUGAAGAACUUGGUUUGUAAUAACUUAAGUACUCCGAUGUGUUUCAUGAAUGUUGUAAUCUGGAUGUACUUGUGGAUGGCGGCCGCUAAACUUAUUACGAUCUUGGCUGUAUGCGAUGUGUGGUUUGAAAUCCUUCGAGAUUUCACGGACUACCGGGAUUAUAUGGGCUUAAGCGUGAUGGUUCGACUAUGCAAAUGGUCACUAUUAGGCUUAAUCUCUUAUAAUUUGGUCGGUUCUGUUACAGUUACUAUGUGCCCAUAUUUCUCAAUGGGGAGAACACAUAGUAUCUUUCUUGCAACGUCCGCCGUACUCAUUUCAUUGAGCCCAAGUCCAUUUAGCUCCUCUACAAUGACAUUCAAGCGAGAAUACAUUUCAUUAGCAUUUUCUUUAGGAAGCAUCUCAAAUGCAUUAAGCUUGUUCAUCACAAGAUGAAAGCGUUCCUCACGUUCACUCUUUGAUCCCUCAUAGAGGGCACAAAGUUCCUUCCAUCGAGCAUGGGCGGUUUUGUGGUUCCGAACGCGGUUGAACAACUCUUUGCAAAGACCUCUAAAGAUGUGGUUUUUGGCCUUUGCAUUCCACUUUUUGUUUUCUUGCUCUUGUGGAGUGAGAGCGGCGUCUUUGGUCGGAGGGGUAAACCUUUCGGUUGUGGCUUUUAGGCACUUAGUGCCGCAUGCCUCAAGGUUUGACUCCAUCCGCAUUUUCCAAUACGGGAAGUCAUCCCCAUCGAACAUGGGUGGCGGUCCAUCCCCGCUAGACAUCUUUCUCUAGGCGGUGAAGCCCAAAUAAUGAGCACUAGGCUCUGAUACCAAUUGAAAGGAUCAAGAUGCCCAAGAGGGGGGUGGAUUGGGCUUCUCUAUAAAUUUAAGCAACCUAUAAGCUCCAAUUUCACCCCUUGUGCCUAGAGUGACUAGAGAGCUACCGGAUAAAAGUUUUACAACCUAGUUCCAAUCCUAUUCUAGCAUGGCAAUUCUAGGAAUGUAAAAACUCAAAGUAAUUGCACAAAGUAAAUGCUAGAAAGUAAAGGAGUAGUGGAAGAAAGUGCUCGGUGAUGUUUUGCCGAGGUAUCGGAGAGUCGCCACUCUCCACUAGUCCUCGUUGGAGCACCUGCGCAAGGCUCUUACUCCCCCUUGGUCCGUGCAAGGACUAAGUGCUCUCUACGGGCUGAUUCUUUGACACUCCGUCGUGGUGAAUCGCCCAAAAUCGUUCACAAGCUUGACACGAGCCACCCACAAGAACUCCGGGCGGUCUUCGUGCCUCCAAUCACCACCGAACUGUCUAGGUGAUGGCGAUCACCAAGAGUAACAAGCAAAGAACUCUCACUUGACCCAAACAAGGCACUAGAGAGUGGUGGAUGCACACUUGACUCUUGGAAUUCAACUAGAGAAGGAUUCACACAAGAAAUCUCUCAAAUCUCAAUCCUCUUUAGGCUCUUGCUUCUCUCUUGCACCACAAGGUGAUUCUCAACUGAUCAAAUGAGCAAGAGACCUCCCAUGGAUGAGGUGAAGGAGUAUAAAUACACCCCAUGAAGUCCAAGGGUCGGCCAAACGUUUUACAUAGAAAACGGGGUCACCGGACGCUGUUGAUGUUGCACCGGACACUCUGCACCGAGCGUCUGGUGACACUCAACGGCUAACUGUACUUGCCUCUAACAGGUCACCGAACGCUACUUCCAAGCGUCCGGUGCCACUGUCCGGUGCGAGGGUGAACUUUUCACCCUCCCUGAGUUUAGGACCGGACGCUACCCGACGAGUCCGGUGCUAGCGUCUGGUGACCUUGGUCACACUGUGGACCUCCCUGGGUUUAGGACCGGACGCUACCCGAUGCGUCCGGUGCUAGCGUUCGGUGCCUAACCCUAGGGACUCAGGCACUCUAACGGCUAACGACCUCACCGGACGCACUCACAGAGCGUCCGGUGCAGCGUCUGGUGCCUACAUAGGCACCCAAACUUCGUCGAAACGCGACCAUUCCAAAAUGAAGUUUGUACCUCUCGAUCUAAGGACUAUCUCUGAGCUGCCUAGAGCUAGAUUUACGAAGUGUGCACCAAACCUAAACCUAAAGCCUUGCCUAAGUCAAGCUACUAGAUCAAAGCCCCUCUUAAUAGUACGGUCAAAGGAAAACAAAGUCCUAAACUACUCUAAGUGCCCUUCUUCACCAUAUUGCACUUAGACCUAGUCUAGUCUUGACGAUGUCUAUCCAUCCUUUGAAAACCGAAACGAUUUCCACUAUUAACUAGGCAUGUACGUCCCUGUUCAUCCAGUACCUAUUACCAUGACCUAGCACUAAUGAAUUUGCCGCUGCAAAACACACGUUAGUCACAGUAAUCAACAUUGUCAUUAAUCACCGAAAUCAUUAGGGGCCUAGAUGCUCUUUAAGCUAUGAAGACCCAUGAGAACUUGUUGGAAAGCUUGUCGAGCCUAUUUUCCAUUGAAUCUAGUGGCGACCAGUUUGGAUACUCCAUAUUACCUGCAGAUCAGAAUUAGUACAUGUUGACGGUCCUUAAGUACCAAAUUUAAUUAUCAAAUGAACAAAGAAAAGGAUCCAAAUGCAACCGACACCCAGACUUAGGGGUUAUCUUACAGAAUUCCACAAGUUUUGGUGUUUGUCUAUUUCUGCAGGGGGUUAUCAGGAAAUAUGGAGGAAAGGCCCACACGUCGGGUUUACAUAGAGAUAUUAACGUGCCGCGCAAUUUUCUAUCAUCUAGAAGACUCCAGAAGCCACGGGAACGAAUGGGAGACCGAGCGGGCCCGGGGACAGGGCGCCCACCCUCCCCCUUGGGUGCCCGCCCUGGUGUUUCGGCCAAUCAUGUUCUACUUCGUGGAUCAUGCUCCACUGACCUAAAAGAUCAAGGAAAACCGUGCGAUUAAUGUCAGUUUGAUCCGACGGCCUAGAUUCACUUGAGGGGACUAUAUAAGCAGACCCCCUGGCCCCUGGAGGAGGUAACCCCUUGAUCCGUAUUCAUUAUUCAUAGACAGAUCAAAAGCUAGGGUUUGGAGAUGAGAGCUCUAAACUAGAGUAGAUCUAGAUAGUAGCGAGAUGCAGAGCAAGGGUGGAUUGGAGGAGAGGCUGGCCUGUCGGUUCUUCCUCUGGUUGUACUUCACCAUGAUCAAGCUCUAAUCAAGCUUGCUCAUGGGAUGACUCUGGUAAUCUACUUCUAUUUCAUUAUGCAAUUACUAUCCAUGUAUAUUCUGGUUCACAACUCUUUUGAGUACUUUUAAUCUAUAGGACCCUAUAGGUUAGAGUUGUAGUAUAGGUGUAAGCGUGGUGCUUAGACCUAGAUUACUUGUGGAUAUCCCCUGUCUAGCUGUAUCGUGUGGUUGGCCGCGUAGGUGCAGUUAUGUUGGUCCCCUGUAGUCCACCUCCCGUUAGCGGGAUUGGUAGGGUUUAUCGGCCUAUGGAUAAGCAUCCUUUGUGGUGUAUUCUUAUCACGUGGUUCGUCCUAGACAUAGACAUAUCCCUUUGAAGUAGAGAAACCAUAGUUACCCUCUCUAUUCUCCUACCAUCGCCCAUAUACUAGAUUGCUCUACUCUCUAUUCCCAUAUUAUCACCCAUUGUUAUCUUACCUUUAAUGUUGUUCUUAUUCAAUUCUACCAUCUUUCCUAUUUACACCUACCUAUCUAUCUAGGUUAAGUUAGAGCAUAGAUCAGUUCUCCCAUUUCCCUGUGGAUACGAUAAAACCUUUAACCGGGUAAAAGCUACAACGGUAUCUGUGCGCUUGUGGAUUUAUCUGUGUGCGUAUAAAUACCAUAGUACACUCUAGUGCCAUACUGGGGAUGACAACCUAGUAUUCAAGUGGUGUUAGCAAGUGUCAAUAGUACAGACUGCUCAGAUGGUCAACAGUCCGUCGUGACAGAAUGUUGGUACAACUUGCCAAGUAAAACUAUACAAAUCUACAAUGUUUUGUACUAGUUGGCAUACAUUGCUGGAAAGCCCUUUGAGUCUAGUUUCACACCAACAAACUGUUCAUCAUUUGGACUUCCCAAUAAGAAGUUAUGGUCAGUUUAUUAGAAACUGCUCUAGAGGCCAACAAUCACGCGAAGCCAGUUCGAGAAUCCAUUCCGAGGGGAAGUUUCACAUUGCCUUCCUUCAUAAACUCUAUUUCGUUUUCAUGCCUAUCUAGGAGGGUUGUUCCUAGUAUAAAUAUUCUCUUCCUCUAAGCUAUUAGCAACCUUUGAUCAUUUUGAUAAACUACAUGAUAUUGCAACUGCGCUGCUGAGUGCCUUACUCAACCUUUGUUCUUCCUUGUUCUUCAUGGACUUGUAAAGUGAAUCCUUUGGGUUCCCCUACUUUGUGCUCUACGGCUUCCGUUCGGCUGCACCAUAUUGUGUGGAUUAGUUCUGGAUUGUGGUUCUGAGGUUGUUCGGAGAUCGAGUCGAAGUCUUCGUGGUUUCGGUGUCUCUCUCCCCGUCACUUGGUCACAUUCAACCUUUGUCAGGUAUAAAGCUAGUUACCCGCUGUUCGUAGCAAGUUAUCCUUGUUCUUUUGAUCUACUGUCGUGAAGAUCGGGCCACCCUCAUACCAAUUCAUAUCGGUUGCCUAUCAACUGGUAUCAAAGCUUUCAUUGUCACGGUAGGUCUCACAAUCAUCCACAUAUUUCUCUUUAGUAUAUCUAUCAUUUGCUAGUGAUUUGUUCAUCACCUAUAGUCCACUGAAAAAGCCACAAAAAAAUCCUAUAGACCUUUGUCGGUACUGUUAUCUUGUGUUUUUGUGUUCAUCAAGUUGCUAGUCACCCUCUUUACAUAUAUUGUGUUAUGUUUCAUUUAUUAUCCGCACCCCUGUAAGUAUCAAGAAAAAACAGAAACAAAAAAUUCAGAGAAAAGAAAAGAGAAAGAACAGAAAAGUAGAAGAAGAGGAAAGGGGUUGUAUUGCGGUUUGCUUACUGAAAAAUUCAGUUUACAUAUUCAGAUUCUUGGGGAUUUAUAUACUAGCAACAUUAUAUCUUUUGAGCACAUCAAAUCACUUGAUUUUCAGUACUGUAGCCUCCCUUGUUUAGCUACCUAUAGCUCCACCCAAAACUGAAACCAGGACAUUCGACUCAUAAUCCUUGCAACCUCAGAAUCACUUUUGUUGAGCUGCUACACUAGCACAAUUCAUUGUCCUUGAGAACAGGAAAGAGCAUUGGUAUGUAAGAGGUGAGGUUGUAUGAUUCCACAAAUUUAACCAUUCCACUAUAUUUUGCUUUAGUGCUAACAUAACAGGAUCCAACUCAAGUAUUCAUGGUGAUCGUCAUGGAGAAGAAGAACCUCCUGUUGCACAGGCUGAGUUGCGCCAAAUGGCAGACUCACUCUUGCAGGCCAUGGAGAGGAAGCUUGAUGCACGCAUACCUGCAGAUGGGCGAAGGGCUCCUCGGCAUCAAUCUGAUGAAUCGGGUGCUGAAAAUUCUGAUGGAGUACAUGACCAUUUCACAGAUAGUAAUGGUGGUGGCAGGUGGGCUAGACAUCAUGGCCAAGAUGGAGGACGAGCUCAUGGAUGUGGUUGUGGCCAUCGUGUUCGUUUUGAUGAUGAAGAAUUUGAUAACUUUGAUCACGAAGAGGGGUCUGAUGAGAAUCCCUUUGCUAAUGAUGGGCUACAUAGGCGGCGCCAUGAUCAUCGGCGGCAUGCUCAUCAUGGAGAUAGAGAGCAUCAUCAUGGUCGACGUAAUCGGUAAGAUCCAAAUAGCAUUGCUCGUGUCAAGUUGAAUAUCCCAAAAUUCACUAGAAGAGAGGAUGCAUAUGCAUAUCUUGAGUGGGCUAAGCAGUGUGAUCAAAUUUUUAGAGUGCAUAGUCUCUCUGAUUAGAGGUGUGUCAAUCUUGCUUCAAUGGAGUUCUCUGGUUAUGCUCUGACUUGGUGGAAUCAGAUACAAGAGAAUCAACUUGUGUUGGGUCGUGAACAUAUCAACACAUGGGAAGAGAUGAAGAAAGUGAUCAGAAGGCGAUUUGUACUGUCAAGCUAUCAGCGUGACCUUUGUAAUAGGUUACAAAUGUUGAAAUAAGGAAGAAGAUCGGUUGAUGAGUAUUAUAAGGAAAUGGAGCUGCUGUUAGUGCGGACUGGAAUUAGAGAGGAUCCAGAGUAAAAAAUGGCAAGAUUUUUGGGUGGUCUCAAUGAGGAAAUUGCUGGUUUUGUUGAGAUGUUUCCAUACCAUACUUUGCAAGACCUUGUUGAUCAAACUAUGCGUACUGAAAGAAAAAUUCAGCAAGUGACACGUGGAAAAUCUUAUGCAAGUCAUUCUAUUGCAACCCCAUGGCGCAAGCAGCAGUCCAGCACUUCUUUCGAUGGGGGACGGUCCCAAGAUACAAUAGCUAGGCCCUCUUCAUCUACUGCUCGUUCCAAGACGGUGGUUUCUACAACAUCAUCUCCUUCAAAUCAGCAGUGUCCUGCUACAAGUGCAGCAGCCCCAACUGUUGCUUCGUCAGCUACUACUUCCUCUGCACGUAGUAGAGAAAUUGUGUGCCACAAGUACCAUGGUCGUGGACAUAUUGUUGCACACUGUCCUAGUAGGAGGACCAUGAUUGUAAAUGAGCAUGGUGAAUGGGAAUCUGAAAGUGAUUGAGAGGAAGAAGGUCCAAGAUAUGAUGAGGACCAUAAAAACAAUGACAAUGAGAUCCAACCCGAUGAAGGUGAUAACAACUGCUUUAUUUCUCUUCGUGUGCUUAGUGUUACUGGUGCAAAGAAAGAGAAUGGGCAGCGAUACAAACUUUUCCACACUCGAGGCAUGAUCAAAGAGAAGUUGUGUAGAAUUAUUGUUGAUAAUGGCAGCUGCAACAAUAUUGCUAGCCAAGAAUUGGUUGAUAGAAUGGAGCUAAAACAAAGGCGUCAUCCUAAUCCAUACAAGAUGUAGUGGCUGAAUGAUUUUGGUGCGCUGCGUGUGAGCCAUGUUGUGACAGUUCCUUUCUUUAUUGGGAGGUAUAAUGAUCAUAUGGAGUGUGAUGUGGUGCCUAUGCAAGCAUGCCAACUGCUGCUAGGAAGACCAUGGUUAAAUGAUCGUGAUGUUCAAAUCUUUGGAAGAACCAACAAGCUGGCUUUCAUGUACAAAGGAGAGCGAAUUUCUUUGCUCCCUUUGACACCGAAGGAGAUUUUGAAGGAUGAUCUAAAAAGAAAACAGCGAGAGAGCGAGAACCACUUGCGAGUGACCCACAAAAAUAGUGAGGGAGUGUUUCCAAAGCCAAAUAAAACCCCACAGCCGCAAACAACCAAGACAAAGGGAAAAAAGGGAUUAGUUAUGAUGGCUAGGAAGGGGGAUUUAAAAUAAUUGAGUGAACCCAAUGCCACAUUCUUUGUACUCUUGUAGAAGGAAAAUUUUCUUUGCACUAACGACUUAUCCUCUACUUUGCCAAGUGUUAUUUUUCAUGUGUUACAGGAAUAUGAGGAUGUCUUUCCAGAGGAGGUACCACCAGGGCUGCCACCUAAGUGAGGAAUUGAACAUCAAAUUGACCUUGUUCCCGGUGCUUCACUUCCAAACCGAGCUGCAUACCGCACCAAUCCAGAGGAAACAAAAGAAAUUCAGCAACAAGUGGAAGAAUUGAUGAGAAAAGGGUAUGUGCAGGAAAGUCUUUCACCUUGUGCAGUCCCUGUUCUUUUAGUUCCUAAAAAAGAUGGUUCAUGGAGAAUGUGUGUUGACUGUAGAGCUAUUAAUAACAUCACAGUAAGAUAUAGGCAUCCCAUUCCUAGACUUGAUGAUAUGCUUGAUGAACUUAGUGGUGCAAUAAUUUUCACUAAAAUUGACUUGAGAAGUGGCUAUCACCAAAUAAGAAUGAGAGAAGGAGAUGAGUGGAAAACAGCUUUUAAAACCAAGUUUGGUUGUAUGAAUGGUUGGUAAUGCCCUUUGGAUUGACUAAUGCACCAAGUACCUUUAUGAGAUUGAUGAAUCAUGUGCUUAGAUCUUUUAUUGGCAAGUUUGUUGUGGUAUACUCUGAUGAUAUAUUAAUUAACAGCAAGUCUCUUGAUGAACAUGUUGAGCAUAUCCAAAGUGUGCUUGUUGUCCUACAUGAGCAAAAAUUGUAUGCUAACCUUGACAAGUGCACAUUUUGCACCGACAAGGUAGUCUUUCUUGGCUUUGUUUUUCAGGACAUGGUGUGAAGGUGGAUGAGGAUAAAAUCAAAGCUGUUCGUGAGUGGAUGCCUCCACAAAAUGCAAGUCAAGUGCGUAGCUUCCUUGGACUUGCUGGUUUCUACCAGUGAUUUGUGAAAGAUUUUAGCACCAUUGCUGCUCCAAUCAAUGAGUUGACAAAGAAAGAAGUGCCCUUUAAAUGGGGAGAAGCACAAGAGAAGGCAUUUGAAGAACUGAAAAUGAGGUUGACAACAACCCCACUUCUUGCACUUCCAGAUUUUGGUAAGACAUUUGAAAUUGAAUGUGAUGCAAGUGGUGUAGGAUUUGGUGGCGUUCUCAUGCAAGAAAGGUGGCCGAUUGCAUACUUCAGUGAAAAGCUAAGUGGUCCAACUCUGAAUUACUCAGUUUAUGAUAAAGAAUUAUAUGCUCUUGUUAGGAGUUUGGAAACUUGGCAACACUACCUUUUGCCUAAAGAAUUUGUGAUACAUUCAGACCAUGAAUCUUUGAAACAUCUUAAAGGCCAACUAAAACUGAACCAAAGGCAUGCAAAAUGGAGUGAGUUCAUUGAGUCUUUUCCUUAUGUUGUCAAGUACAAGAAAGGGAAAGAUAACAUAUUUUGCUUUCAUGACUUAAUACUAAAAUUCUUGGAUUAGAAAGUAUAAAAGAAUUAUAUGUUAAUGAUUCAUAUUUUGCUGAACCAUAUUCCAAGUGUUGUGGCAGCAAGGGAUGGGAAAAAUUCCAUUUGCAUGAUGGUUUUUUAUUUUGAGCUAAUAAACUUUGCAUUCCAGAUUGCUCUGUUCGCAUUUUGCUAGUGCAGGAAGCUCAUGCAGGAGGACUUAUGGGCCAUUUUGGUGCAAAAAAACAGAACAAGUGCUAACUGACUAUUUCUUUUGGCCUAAGAUGAGAAGAGAUGUGGAGAGGCAUGUUCUUCGCUGUGAAACCUGCCACAAAGCUAAGUCCCAUUUGAACCCUCAUGGUUUAUACACUCCUCUACCUAUUCCUAGUGUACCUUGGGAUGACGUUUCUAUGGACUUUGUCCUUGGUUUACCACGAACUAAGAGGGGAAAGGAUUCCAUAUUUGUUGUGGUUGAUAGAUUUAGCAAAAUGGCACACUUUAUUCUCUGUCAUAAGAGCGAUGAUGAUUCACACAUUGCAGAAUUGUUUUCAGAGAAAUUGUGCGUCUACAUGGAGUGCCACGUACCAUCAUGUCUGAUCAUGAUACCAUGUUUUUGAGCUACUUUUGGAAAACCUUGUGGGGAAACUAGGCACAAGGCUGCUGUUCUCCACAACAUGUCAUCCUCAAACGGAUGGACAAACAGAAGUUGUGAACCACACAUUGUCAAUAUUGUUCCGAGCUGUCCUAAAGAAGAGUCUGAAAUUGUGGGAAGAAAGCUUGCCUCAUGUGGAGUUUGCAUACAACAGGGCAGUACAUUCGACCACAAAAUUUUGUCCAUUUGAGAGUGUCUAUGGGUUCAAACCUACUGCUCCCAUCGAUCUUUUGCCUUUGCCCAUGAAGGAACGUGUGAACUUUGAUGCAAGCAAGCGAAUAAAAUUUAUUAAGAAGCUUCAUGAUCGAGCUAAAGCAAACAUUGAGAAGAUGACCAAGUUAUAUGAGAAGCGCGCCAACAAGCACUUGCGCAAGUAUCGCUUUCCUAAACAACGUAAGAGCAAGCUGCAACCCCGAGCCGAUGGCCCAUUCAAAGUGCUUUGCAAGAUCAAUGACAGUGCAUAUGAAAUUGAUCUCCCAAGAACGUAUGGUGUGAGUACAAGCUUCAAUGUUGCAGAUUUAUCUCCUUUCUUUGGAUUGGACGAGUCGAGGACGACUCCUUUUCAAGAGGGGGAGGAUGAUAUGACCAUGCCUGCAAGCAAGAUGACACAAGCUCCAAGUCAAGCUACAACCACUCAAGUUUUACCUACAUCAACACCAGCCCAAGUCAUCGAUGGACCGGUUACACGUAGUCGUGCAAAGAAGCUACAACAAGAGGUCCACGCACUACUUUGUGAGAUUCAUUUUAACAUUAAUGAGAAUUAUAUACUAUCUAAGUGUUGUACCUUGAUUAUACUCAGGUAUAUAGAAGAAGAGAAGGAUGAAUCGGACCUGAAGAACGGAUCAGUGCAAAGAAAACGGACCAGAAGAGUCAAAAACGGACCAGUAGAAGUCAAAAUGACCAGUAGAAGUCAAGAACGGACCAGAAGACACUACAAAACGGACCAGAAGAGUCAAAAACGAACCAGUAGAAGUCAAGAACGGACCAGUGCAAAGAAAUAUUUAUAACUUUUUACUCACAAAAGCUAUGAAGGCAAAUGAGGACUUGUUGGAAAGCUUGUCGAGUCUAUUUUCCAAUAAAUCUAGUGGCGACCAGUUUGGACACUCCAUAUUACCUGCAGACCAGAAUUAGUACAGACUGCUCAGAUGGUCAACAGUCUGUCAUGAUAGAAUGUUGGUACAACUUGCCAAGUAAAACUAUACCAAUCUAAAAUAUUUCGUGCUGGUUGGCAUACAUUUCUGGAAAUCCCUUUGAGUCUAGUUUGACACCCAAGAAAUGGUUCAUCAUUUGGACUUCCCAAUAAGAAGUUAUGGUCAGUUUAUUGGAAACUGCUAUGGAGGCCAAAAGUCACACGAAGCCAGUUCGGGAAUCCAUUCCGAGGGGACCUUUCACAUUGCCUUCCCUGAGAAACUCUAUUUCGUUUUCGUACCUAUCUAGGAGGGUUGUUCCUAGUAUAAAUAUUCCCUAACUCUAAGCUAUUAGCAACCUUUGAUCAUUUUGAUAAACUAUCUGCGCUGCUGAGUGCCUUACUGAACCUUUGUUCUUCAUGGACUUGUGAAGUGAAUCCUCUAGGUUCCCCUACUUCGUGCUCUAUGGCUUCCAUUCGAUUGCGCCGUAUUGUGUGGAUUAGUUUUGGAUUGUGGUUCUGCGGUCGUUCGGAGAUCGAGUCGAAGUCUUCGUGGUUUCGGUGCCUCUCUCCCCGUCGCUUGGUCGCAUCCAACCUUUGUCAGGUAUAAAGCUAGUUACCCGCUGCUUGUAGCAAUUUAUCCUGGUUCUUUUGAUCUACUGUCGUGAAGAUCGGGCCACCCACGUACCAAUUCAUAUCGGUAGCCUAUCAAUCAGUGACAACUUCUGAGAAAAGUAGAAAAGUGCGAGGCCCGAAGAAGUCGUUAGAGGGUCGGUACAUUCUACUUGGGGCAAAUUCUAAAAAUUUGUUGCGCACUGUAGAUACCUUGUAAAGGACAGGAUCCCGGUCAGUGCUCGUGAAUGGAGGCAACGGAAAGAUAACCCUAAUAUUUGUUUUGUCUUAGAUCGUGAGAAGGAAUUGAUUUGGCUAGAUAUCCUUCAACAUUUCACGCUCGAUACACAAGAUGAAGCUUUGAAGGAGAAGGUUAAAUUUUGGGCUAUGCAGAAGAUGGCCAAACAAUUUGAGGCUUCGAAGAAGAAACUGUACAAGACUUUUGUUGCACAUGACCGGACACCGGAUUUCACCAACAAGGCCUACGUCAAGUUGGGGCCUUUUUGGGAUGAGUUCGUAGAGUUUAAGAACUCAGAUGAGGGUUAGGCACGGAUGAUUGUUGACACUUGCUAACACCACUUGAAUACUAGGUUGUUAACCCCAGCAUGGCACUAGAGUGUACUAUGGUAUUUAUACGCACACAGAUAAAUCUGCAAGCGCACAGACACCAUUGUACCUUUUACCCAGUUAAAGGUUUUAUCGUAUCCACAGGGAAAUGGGAGAACCAACUACGCUCUAACUUAACCAAGAUAGAUAGAUAGGUGUAAAUAGGAAAGAUGGUAGAAUUGAAUAAGAACAAUAUUAAAGGUAAGAUAAUAAUGGGUGAUAAUAUGGGAAUAGAGAGUAGAGCAAUCUAGUACAUGGGAGAUGGUAGGAGAAUAAAGAGGAUAACUAUGGUUUCUCUACUUCAAAGGGGUAUGUCUAUGUCUGGGACGAACCACGUGAUAAGAUAACACCACAAAGGAUGCUUAUUCAUAGGCCGAUAAACCCUACCAGUCCUGCUAAUGGGAGGUGGACUACAGAGGACCAACAUAGCUGUCACCCACGCGGCCUACCACACGAUCUGGCUGGACAGGGAAUAUCCACAAGUAAUCUAGGUCUAAGCACCAGGCUUACACCUAUACUACAACUCUCACCUAUAGCGUCCUAUAGAUUAAAGUACUCAAAAGAGUUGUGAACCAGAACAUACAUGGAUAGUAAUUGCAUAAUGAAAAGAAGUAUAUUACCAGAGCCAUCCCAUGAGCAAGCUUGAUUAGAGCUUGAUCAUGGCGAAGUACAACCAGAGGAAAAACCGACAGGCCAGCCUCUCCUCCAAUCCUCCCUCUCUCUCCACCUCGCUACUAUCUAGAUCUACUCUAGUUUAGAGAGGAGAGGAGAGCUCUCAUCUCCAAACCCUAGCUUUUACUCUAUCUAUCAAUAAUGAAUAAGGAUGAAGAGGUGCCUCCUUCAGGGGCCAGGGGGCCUGCUUAUAUAUCCCCUCUAAAUGAAUGUGGGCCAUCGGAUCAAACUGACCUUAAUUGCACGGUUUUCCUUAAUCCUUUAGGUCGGUGGAGCAUAAUCCAUGAGGCAGAGCCUGAUUGGUUCCUGUAGCAGGGCGGGCGCCCAAGGGGGGAGGGCGGGCGCCCUGUCCCCGGGCCGCUUGGCUUCCCGUUCGUUUCUGUGGCUUCUGGAGUCUUCUAGAUGAUAGAAAAUUGGCGCACAUGUUAAUAUCUCUAUAUAAACCCGACAUCUGGGCCUUUCCUCCAUAUUUCCUGAUAACCCCCUGCAGAAAUAGACAAACACCAAAACUUGUGGAAUUCUGUCAGAUAAAACCCUAAGUCUGGGUGUUGGUUGCAUUUGGAUCCUUUUCUUUGUUUAUUUGAUAAUUAAAUUUGGUACUUAAGGACCGUCAACAACUCCCCCAAGCUUACCUCUUGCUCGUCCCUGAGCAAGGAUGGACUCAAGAGUUUCUGCAGUGGUUUCAUGCCUUAAAGGUACACAUGCGUUCAAGCAAGAUCUCAUCUCUAGGUUAGGGUAAACUGUUAAGAUUUAAACUUACUCAUAUUACCUUCCACAAUGGGGCUUGCAUCCGUCACUUGUGUCUUGAGCAGUUAAAAGAUAGAGCGGUCAAGUCAAGCGCCAUGCCUCUUGUUCUUGAUCAACUAUAGCUCUAGAUUUUUUUGCAGAUUUUCAAAUAAAACUCAGAGAUUCCUUUGUAUGACUCUCAAAUCUCUCUUUUGUGGUAUUUCUAGAUCCUCGCCAAGGCAGUAAUGGUGUCUGCCUUCUCUCAAAGUAUGUGGUAUUUUUGGAAUGAGGCAUAGUGACAUUGCUUUCUCUCUCACCCUACUCUAAUAAGGUUUUGAUAUCUGGAGCUCAUAGGUGGGAGACAACUAAUACAUACUUACAAGACAUUUAUUGCAUAGUCAAACCAUGGAUCCAGAGAAACAAGUCAAUAAGUCAAAUCAAGAUGUGCAUUUGUGGCGAAUGAAUGGUGUAUGGUGAUGAUGGUGAAAACAAUGGUGAAAGUCUAAUUCUACUUUUGCUCUUUUGAGGGGAUACAUACCUUUCUUGCACUUUGAAGCUUUUUGAGGGGAAUGAGAUGCUCUAUAUUUUAUUUUUCUUUUCUCUCAGGUGGGUAUCUUGUACCCCUAAUUCUACUGUCGAACACUUGUCCAUUUUUACCACUCGUCUCACUUUUUCUUUUCUUCGAGGUUUCGGGCACUUGCCCAUUUUUAUUUCCUCGUAUUCACUUUUUUUUCAGAGCACUCACCCUCUUGGAAUAAUGUAGCAAGUGGUAGUAACCAAAAUAUCUCGAGCAUUUAUUUCACGGUGAAUAACAGGGAUAGGAUAAUGUUUUUGGCUAUUCUCUCCUGGAUAGGAGUAGAAUAGUUUUGGGUGAUUCUAGAGAUGGAAAUGAGUGGUGAGUGGAUGUAUGUGGAUGCGUACUUCCAGAGUAGAAGUAGCAUGUAUGAGUGAACGUGCAAGUGAAUCUUGAUUUUAACUGCAUGACAAGCUCCUAAGGGUCUACACAGCUUGACCACACUCAAUGCUCAUAAGCAGUAAAAAGUAAAUGUAUGGUUCAUAGUCUAAUAAGCAUGUAUAUGUGGCUCUGGUAGCAUUUUAAACUCUCAUCAUAGAGGAACUCAUCAUGCAACAUUUUAAAGAUUUUUAAAGAUAAAGUUCUCCAGAAUUCUAGCAUCUUUAGGAACAGAUAAACAGCAGCUCAACCUUCCCAUAUCAUAUCCGUUAACGACUUAGACUUUAGAUCAGGUACUCUUCCCACAAGUUCAGGUUUAGAACAAAUCUUAAUUCAUAACAGUCAUGCCUAAACUUGAGAGAGAAUUCAAUUUUGAGAACUAGUCAUGGCAGAGCAACUAUUCAUCAUUUCCAUGUGAGAGCUUAUUAUGAGGGUUCAUAGCAAACUUUAUUUAUUUAUUUAUUUAGCAAACUAAGCAAAGAUAUAUAUAUAUAUAUAUAAGCAUAAAAUCUUUAUUUGGGUUUUUAUGAUUAUGCAUCUUUUUAUUAUUUGAGUAAAGUAUAAACGCGCAUAUAAACACUUAGCUGGAUAAAUGGGGGUGCUCUCCCCCAAGCUGGAUUUUGACGUAAUUUCUUCUGAUGUAGCUAGCAGGUGGCGGAGGUGUAUUGGAAUGUCGGCAGCACCAUGACAGCGAUUAGGAUGUCCUCCGUCUGCUAGUCUUCUUUGAUCCUUGAAUUGUGGAGCUCAAAUAGUCAACGAAGCUUUGUGGAACUAGGUAAGUGUGAGCAUAAAAAUCUCUUUGCCUUUAUCAUGUUGAGCUUCCUCUAAUAAAUAUUACUCUUUUUGGUAGGAUCAUAAAUUCAUUUUUAUAUUUUCAUUUUUAUAGGAUAGGAAUAUUUUUAUUUUAUUUUUACGCCACCACAGUGAAUGUACUUAUGGGUUUUAUGCCACGAGCAUACUCACAUGGGGCUUACUAUUUUUAACAUUUUUAUUUUCUUUUCAAGAUAGCAUGAUUAAUUAACAAGCUAUUUAAGAAAAGUCAAUAAUUUGAGGGAAAAGGGAAUGCAGAAAGGAUAAAUAUGGAUAACUACCGAUUUUACCUUUGGGUGAGAGUUCAAUGUUUUAAGUCUUCUAAACAAGACUUCUCACCAUGUUCAUUCUUUAGGUGCGUCAUUUGAUUCAGUUGUGGACCUUAACGUCUGCACCUCUUGAUACGGUGUCACCCAUGUUCUUCAUUUGCCCAGCAGUUCGAAGUGCGGUGUUGGCAGUAUCUUGCUCAAGGUGUUUGUGUUCGUAGAUCCAGGUCCUUCACUUGGUAGAGUCUGAGAGUUGAAAAAUUCUCCAUGUUUCUCAAAAUGUGUCCUGCUCAUAGAGACAAGGCAGAGAUCAAGUGCAUGGGUCCUGUUGGUGGAAAACACCAACAGAACCAAAAGUAUAUUUAUUCUUCUUAUCCUUAAUCAUAGGGAGCAAGAUAAAGUUGAUGGGUGAUAAGUUCAUGAGUGUAGCAUUUAAAACAUUUGUCACAUCAGAUCGCUCAACCUUAUGGAAAGAUAAUCUAUCUAUGUAUAUGUCUUUUUUCUUUAUAUCUUCCCAAAGAUUGAAUGCGCAACAUUUUAGCUCAUAUGAUUAGGAGUGUGGGAUCACAAAGGUGGAAGGACUAAACAAAUUGAAUCGAUUGGGUAGGUUAAUCUAGAGUUGUAAAUCGUACAUGUUUGUCUCUUUUAUUAAUGUGAACGCCAGAACCAAGGAGAAGCUUAUAAAAGUGAUAGUCAAGUACCUUAAGAUGUUACCUUACUUGAAGAGUGAUGGUACACUAUCACCUUGUGGAAGCUUUCCUUUCUUAGCGGUUGUGCAUCGUGUUUGUGGCACCCUCCAUGGAUCAUCUCUUGUGAGCUAUGCCUUCCUUGUGUAAAUUGUUAACCUUCAUGUGUCUCUCUCUUUGUCUCCAAUUUGAGUUUAUCUCAGGACUUCCCAGGUCAAUAUUGAAAGUUUUUCUUCAGGGGUUAGUCCGACAAAAUAUACCAAUGUCUACACAAGUAGUUUUUAGUUCAAUAACCGAACUAGACUCCAUGUCUAAUCAGAUUAAGGAAGGCUAUUUAACCUAAGCACCAUGCUUAAUUUAAAAGCCAAUAGAAAUAUGUGCAGUACUUCCAAACUAACACUUACUAGGAUAAACAAAGGUAGCGUGAUGGCAUUUAUAGAGAUCUACUUAAGUGGAGAUGAAGUAGUGUGAUUAGUAUUUAACAAAUUGAGCAUGUCUCAAUGGUAGGGACAACCAACAUAGCAACAUGGAAAAGGAUGUUUUUAUGUAAGGUACUCCUCCAAGCUUGAAUUUUGCAAAAUUCAAGUUUGGAUAAAUUUAAUUUAGUGUUGCAUAAUGAUUGGUUGGACAUACCUUGUGCUUGUUGUUCAUCCGAUCUUCUUGCUCUAAUCCUAGAAAGGUUAGUGACAAGAACACCCGAAGGAAUAUUUUCACAAUUAUCUUUAUAUGCUCAAUACACAAGGCAAUAUGGCAAGGUCAUGUGACGAUCUGAUCAGCGCUUAUUUUAUGACACUAAGCUUGUCCUUGGGAAACCAUCAGUUUAUGUUGGCGAAGUAGUUUCCCCUCCGACGCCAACCUUUGUAUAUCAAGAUUAGCUCAACGAGAUCUGCAAUAUUUAUUAUAGACAUAUGCAUCGACAACCGCCCUUUUAAAGUUUUUGUAAAUAGGAAGGAAGAGGGAGUUGGACAUCUCAAUUGUGGUGAUGUUGGAGAGACCAAUAGAUUGGGAAGAUGUUUCAUAUGAGCAUGGAGUAAACGAAGUGGCUAUGAAAUAAAUUCCAUGCUCAUUAAUGUUAUCUUCGUCUCUAAUCUGAAUGUUCAAAGUUUCUCUUGGAUUGGUCCCAUCUAUGUCCUCUUCAAUAGAUGGAUGAAUCUCAUAUUCAAGGGGAGUUAAAGACUCAACAUCUGAAAUUGAGCCAAGGUCAGAAUCCAUUAAGGCUUCUUCCUUGUCCUUCCAUUCUACACAUUCCAGCCAUUUAGAAUUUGUGAUCAAGACAAGGGAGCUGAUAGAAUCUUCUAUAUGGCUCAGCUCUCCUUCUAUGGCAUUACUUGUCAUGCCAUCCUUAUGGUCUUCAUGACUUCUAUGGUUUGGUCGUCUUGAUGGAUUGCUAGGAUCAUCAUGAGACUAAAAAGGAGAGUAAUAAGAGGGAUCUCUAAGGUCAAGGAUGGAUUUAGAACUUGUGAACAUGGAAGGGGAGCAGAUAGAAUUUUCUAUAUGUCUUAGCUCUCCUUCACUUGAUAUGUCAUCCUCGACUUCAUCAUAACAGGAACCAGGACAUUCCCUAAGAGAACCAUCAUUGCAAGGAUUUGAAUUAUCUAUGCUUGAAAGUCUCUUAUGGAACUAGAAGUCUAAACCAUCAGUAUCUGAAAUAUUUAAGGUUGGAAAUCCUUCCUCCCUUAGAGAAUUUUGGGGUAUUGAUGGGUUAGGAUCGAUAGCUAAAGUUUGGGAUUGAAGUGGUUGUAGUUUGGCUAUCGAAACUUCCUCUUCUUGUCUAGGAACUGAUUCUUUCUAUUUCUCAGGAUAUAAAUGCUAGGAGACUUUCCACUCAUUAAAUCAAUCAAAUUCCAAGCUUCACUAGCGGACAGGUGGUGGAAAGAUCCUCCAGAGGCCACAUGAAGGGUUUGCUUAUUUUCCCUACUAAGGCCCUUCAAAAAGUGAAUUAGAAGAACUUCUCUUGGAAUAGAAAGAUUUGGGCCCGUGAGAGUAAGGUCAAUAAAGCGGUCCCUUGAUUCGCCAAGAGAUUCUUCUUCUAGUUGUCUAAAAGAAAGAAUCUUGAUCCAAAGAUCCGCCUCUUUAGAGAUCGGAAAAUAUUUAGAUAGAAAACUAUUGUAUAGCUCCUUCCAAUCUCCAUGAGCACUUCCUAUGUUGAGUUUAUACCAAUGUCUAGCUUUUCCCGUUAAAGACAACGGAAAGAGCUUCCAUUUAAGUGUCUCAUCAGACUUGCCUUCAAUGCAAAGGAGGUCACAGACUCGAUAAAACUCUCUUAGGUGUGUGUAUGGGUUUUCCUCACCUUCUCCUGAGAAAGGUUGUGAAAUGUUUGCCUUCAUGAUAGACCAGAGAUCAAGGAUUAAAUAAGAAGAAAGAAUAGCAGAGAUAAGGCAAAGGAUAAAAGGAAAAAAAAAUAUAUAUAUUUUUAUUUUUUAGAAAAUUAUUAAGCUAGUUCGUAGUCAACUCAACAACCGUUUCCCUGGCAACGGCGCCAAAAAGCUUGUUUACACUUGCUAACACCACUUGAAUACUAGGUUGUCAUCCCCAGCAUGGCACUAGAGUGUACUAUGGUAUUUAUACGCACAUAGAUAAACCCGCAAGUGCACGGAUACCGUUGUAGCUUUUACCCGGUUAAAGGUUUUAUCGUAUCCACAGGGAAACGGGAGAACCAACUACGCUCUAACUUAACCAAGAUAGAUAGAUAGGUGUAAAUAGGAAAGAUGGUAGAAUUGAAUAAGAACAAUAUUAAAGGCAAGAUAAUAAUGGGUGAUAAUAUGGGAAUAGAGAGUAGAGCAAUCUAGUACAUGGGCGAUGGUAGGAGAAUAAAGAGGAUAACUUUGGUUUCUCUACUUCAAAGGGGUAUGUCUAUGUCUGGGAUGAACCACGUGAUAAGAUUAUACCACAAAGGAUGCUUAUCCAUAGGCCGAUAAACCCUACCAGUCCUGCUAACGGGAGGUGGACUACAGAGGAUCAACGUAGCUGUCACCCACGCGGCCUACCACACGAUCUGGCUAGACAGGGGAUAUCCACAAGUAAUCUAGGUCUAAGGACCACGCUUACACCUAUACUACAACUCUCAACUAUAGCGUCCUAUAGAUUAAAGUACUCAGAAGAGUUGUCAAGCAGAACAUACAUGGAUAGUAAUUACAUAAUGAAAUAGAAGUAGAUUACCAGAGUCAUCCCAUGAGCAAGCUUGAUUAGAGCUUGAUCAUGGUGAAGUACAACCAGAGGAAGAACCGACAGGCCGGCCUCUUCUCCAAUCCUCCCUCGCUCUCUAUCUCGCUACUAUCUAGAUCUACUCUAGUUUAGAGAGGAGAGGACAGCUCUCAUCUCCAAACCCUAGCUUUUGCUCUAUCUAUCAUUAAUGAAUAAGGAUGAAGAGGUGCCUCCUCCAGGGGCUAGGGGGCCUGCUUAUAUAGCCCCUCCAAAUGAAUUUGGGCCGUCGGAUCAAACCGACCUUAAUCGCACAGUUUUCCUUAAUCCUUUAGGUUGGUGGAGCAUAAUCCGUGAGGCGGAGCCUGAUUGGUUCCUGUAGCAGGGCGGGCGCCCAAGGGGGGAGGGCAGGCGCCGUGUCCCCGGGCCCGCUUGGCUUCCUAUUCGUUCCCGUGGCUUUUGGAGUCUUCUAGAUGAUAGAAAAUUGGCGCACACAUUAAUAUCUCUAUGUAAACCUGACAUGUGGGUCUUUCCUCCAUAUUUCCUGAUAACCCCCUGCAAAAAUAGACAAACACCAAAACUUGUGGAAUUCUGUCAGAUAAAACCCUAAGUCUGGGUGUUGGUUGCAUUUGGAUCCUUUUAUUUGUUUAUUUGAUAAUUAAAUUUGGUACUUAAGGACCGUCAACGAUGAUCAAGAAUCAGGAAAAUGCUAAAUAAAAGCAAUACCACCAUCACUUGGGUUCAGGUGGCUACAGGACUGCUAUUCCUAAUUGGCAAAAGCUAUAACAAGAGAUUCUUGAUAGGUGGAUCGAACUAGAAUCACUACACUGGCCUGAGCACGCCAAGUAUUGGUUCUUUGGUCACGGGGGAACCGUGGACCUAGACACCGGAAAGGUAGUGUACAGUGAAAAGCUCUAGAGAGUGGGACAGAGAAUGGCCUAUGCCUGAGGAUUAGUUGAAAGUGGCGCCUGGUAGGCAAAUAGAGAGAAGGAUGAGCUGACAUACGCCCUGGAGACUGCUAAACACGGUGGGCGAACAAGAGGCUAUGGGGAGGUAUCAUGGGAGCAUGGCUUCCCUAAAGAUAGACCGACUUAAAGAAGACACCAAAGAAAGAAGGAAGAUGAAGCAGAGCGGAAGGAAGAGGAAGCAGAGCGGUUAGGUAGGUUGGAGGCAAUGGUGAUGGAGUCACGCGAGAAGUGGCUUGUGAAGUGAUUGCACGAGAGAAUGCACUUGAUGAUAGAAUGAAUGAGGAGAUCAAAAGGCAAGCGCAGGUGGCAGUAAGUUCUAUACAAAGGCAAACUGCAUCAGAGCCUAGAGUCAACAUUAGCCCUCCCGACCAGUUGAAAAGCAGUUGCGCUUCCAUGGAGAUGCCAACUAUUCAAGACAACGUGGGGCUGCACUUUCCGGUGGAUGACAUCACUGAACCUCUGACAACAUAUGAGCUGCACAUUCCACAGGGGACCGCCACAGUCUUGGUUGCUGUCGGUGUUGUAACUCCUAUCGACCCUACGAAGACAUCAAGAAUCCAUGGGGCGAUAGUUCCACCUGGAUAUGCUAGUGUCUCAGUGGAUAGAGUUGUCAAAGGCUUUUGUAAUGUGUAGCUUGAGAUAGAAGGAGGUGAUGGAGAGAAGACUCUAGGAGAAGCAGAGAAGACUUUUAUUUGUUGGCGCAAGCGCUACAUCAUUAUUCCUAGGGCAUCACCUAGUAGUCUACCACCACCUUCUCUUCAUGAACCUAAUCCUAGGUGCGCAUGAAAAUUGUCGAUACAUUUGUUCACUAACUUUAUUUUUCAUUCUCUUAGUUAGCGGUUUACUCAUAUACCACUUUGGUUUCAUAGGUGGUCACCAACAUGUCAUAGUGCUGCUGGUGAUGACGAGGGAGUGCAGGACACGGCUGCAUCACCUCAGUCUCUAACACGGCCACCUCGGGCUCCAACGCUACCACCUUGGGCUCCAACGCCACCACCUCGGGUGCCAACACCGCCACCUUGGGCUCCAAUGCCACCAUCUCGGGCUCCAACAGCGCCACCUUGAGCUCCAACAGUGCCUCCUCGGGCUCCAACCCCCACACCGGCCACCCCAUCGCCUCCACACGUGGCUCCAGCAUGAAAACCGGUGGACCCACCCUUAAAGAAGAGGCCAGCCACACAAUCAAAUGUGUUGGCUGCCCCGCCGCCAAAAAAGAAAGCCUCCAAAAAGAAGCAACCUAUCAUUCCUAAGAAGCUAUCCUAUGAGAAGACUAAUGCAGAACUAGAUACUUCGGUAAAGUCAGAUGUGGACAGUUUCUUCAAGAAACUUAAGGCUAAAAGUGAAUCCAAGUGAAACCCUGAGAAGCCAUACCUCUUACUAUGGCCAGAAGAUCUACGGCAAAGGGUUGAGGCUCAACAAAAAAAAGAGGCGUGAAGCUUAGAAAGAAUCAUCAUCUUUAUCAGACUAUGAUCGCAUUCUAAGGAAAUCCAUAGAAGAAGAGAAGAAGAAAGAAAAAAGAGCAUCCAAGGGUGUAGCAGAACUAGAGGAACAAUCAAAGCAAUUAGUGCCCCCGCUAGUAAUUGGAAAUGAAUAUGGUUCAAACAUCGACGUGCUAGACCACCAGAUACCGGCAGAUUUAAAAUAUGAUGAGCUUGAAAUUUUUUUUGCGGAAACUGGUCUUAGGUUAGCCCAAAUGAUAGCUGGGGAACCAAUUUAGAGUGCUCCACAAAUUGAUCAUUGGCAGAAGGAAUAUGCAUAUGGAAGUCUAUACAACCCUGCGGCCCUCAGCAAACUUAGAACAUAAAUGUACAUGCUAAACAAAUGGUACAUCGCAGCGCGUGGCAGAAAAGUAGAUAAAUAUAUUUGCAUCCGGAUUAGAAACUAUCAUUACUUUUGUGGUGAUGAUAUUAUUUAUAUUUAAUUUAAUGAGCUACACCAACUAUGCCACAUGGACGCCUUGACAAAUUUCUAAUCAGUUGCUUCUGUCUGUAAGUGAUUCUUUCUUUCAAUAUGUCACUGUAACUUAUCAUGUAUAUGUAUAACUAAUUACAGAAACCUGCUAUACAUAUGAAGAAACAUGAUGAGAGACCUCAGAGUUAGAAAUGUCAAGGAGAUUGUAUUUGUGGAUCCAUUUGUUGUAUCCAAAGACCUGAAGACCCCGUAUGUCUUAUGGAGAACUCAAACGGAGAGAAAUCUAUGGAGGUUCUUGAUCAACCAAAAGGACAAAAGAUAUAUAAUCUUUCCCUAUAACUGUAUGUAAGUGUCGUUAUCAUGUGUACAUUCUAUUUAACUAAUUAAUCAGAUCAGUAUGAAGAUAUAUAUUUAUUUUGCCUUCAUGCACACAAAUGCAGCUUUCAUUGGAUACUAGUUGUCAUUGAUCUCUGGCAAUGUCAUUUGGUAAUGUAUGACUCGUUGAGAAAACCACAGGAAGAUUAUCAAGAAAUGAUAGAUAUUAUCCAAGGGUAACUCCGAUCUCUAAAUAUUAAAUUCUGCUCUUUUAACUCCAUAAUAAAUAAUUAAUAAUGAUCAUUUUAUUGCUAGGGUUUGGGCUGGGUUCAUACAGAAACACCGUCCAGAUUUGGAAGCACCACUUUUAAAGCCUAUCUUACUUCAGUGGGUUCUAUGGCAAACACCGGGCAAUAAUUUGUGUGGCUACUAUGUGUGUGCAUUUAUGACGGUCUAUGCCAAAAGAACUAAUCUUGAGCACCUAAAAGUUUGUAACAUGUAUAUAUAAUAACUUUAUUUCAUUUAUUUGUUGCUAUUUAAUAAAUCUUAUUCAUACCUCUAACUUUUUUCUUUAAUGUCUAUUAAAGGAGAUAUGGUUGAAGGAGCAGGUGUUGAAUGCGGUCCACCUAAAAGGAAUUCAAGAGACAGUCGCAGGAUUUUUUAACGACCAAGUCCUGAAUCCCGGCGGUGAGUGCUACUUUAACCCUGAGGAGCCAAUAAAACCAAAUCAUGAUGAUCAUUUGUACGAUGCUUGAGUGGCGGAGAUAAAUUGUGUUCUAAAUACUUUAUCUGUGAAGCAUAUGUGUAAAUAUUAUAUUAUGGACCUAUAGAUACAUAUAUAUAAUAUGUAUAGUGUUUUAUAGUAUAUUUAUAUGUAAUGCUUUGAAUUAUAUAAAUUAUAGGUGCACGUUUGCAUAAACUAACAGCAAACAAUACACAUUCGAAAAUAAUAAUAACACAAUUAUAAAUCCUAAAUGGAAAACCAAAAGAAAAAAGGAAAAAAGAAAAAAAUCUUUAGUCCCGGUUGGUAACACCUACCGGGACUAAAAGUGGAGGCCAGGUGGCACAUCCUAGCGCACCUUUUAGUCCCAGUUGCUGUUACCAACCACGACUAAAGGUGGACUUUUAGUCCCGAGCCUCUGAACCGGGACUAAAGGUGGGACAUUUAGUCCCGAAACCUUAGCCCAGGUUCUGUAGCCGGGACUAAAGGCCCUUACGGCCUAGGCUAAAGCCCUUCCCUGUACUAGUGGCAUUUGCUUUCAAAGUUCAGUGCCCCGUCAUUUUGCUAGUACAGUAUCAAAGUCUCGUUUCCAUCCUCAUCACAGAGGAAGCACCAUGGAUGACGAUGCAUUACCUUAAGUGCAGAUGAAUAUGCAUAUCUACACAUAUGCAUGGUCACGUCGAUGAUCUGCUACUGGAGAAGCUGCUUAUGUGAAACUUGAACUCAUCACCAUCUACAUCAACUGUAACACCCAGUGUUAUGGUUGCAUUCUUUCACAUGCAUAACAUGAGCAUCAUCAUGUUCAUAAGCAUAUCAUGAUCAUCAUUUAUCUUGGGUCAUGUCAUUUUAUGCAAAAGUAUGAUUUAACUUGCUUAAAAUAUUCUUUCUAUGCUUAUGGUUGCUUGUGCCAUGCUCAUGUUUGUGUUCCAUGCCUUGGUAAAUAGUUCAUCUAUGUUUAACUCAACUUUUGGAACAAUGUUCAUGUUGGUCACAUCUCCAAAUAAAGUACUUAAGUCAUACUUUCACUAAUAGGCCCCAAAAAUCUCUUUUGCUUAGGCUUUUAAAAAGUGGGUCAUAAAAUGUUUGCAUGUCAAAACUUUCUAAAGAAAAGUUGUAGCAAUGCUUAUAAGGAACAAAAUUUGUUUCAUGGCCAUCUCAUUAAAAUGAUCACAUCAUGCUCAAAAAGUGCUUGCAAGGCAAUUUUGGCUGCUGUUUUGGCACUUAGCAAAAUUUUGUUAAGUCCUGGCGUCACCAGUUUGCUUGAUCAGUUUUGGCAACUUCAUAUCUCUUUAUCCAGGCCGAUUUGGCCCUUGCUCCAGUUGACAAUCUUGUAGAACUCGUUUAGUACUCCAACUUUGUCAUCUCCUAAUUCGCCACGGUUUGGGAGUUAAUCAUCGUUGAAGUGGCUCUGUUAAACAAGUAUCACAGUUUCUGAAUGGACGCCGUGCUCGCCAUCAAGGCCGACCAGCGCAGCACCUAGCUGCCAUUUGGUGACCGUACGCCGGUGCUGGCCUCACACGUCAGGUCGUCGACACCGUCAUGGAUGCCACGACACCCCGCACUCACCAGCACUCGUCCACUCUCUCCCUGUCUCUCUUGCGCGACUCCGACGGCAGAAACGCCAUCGCCAUUGUUGCCGAGAGCUCCGCGAGCUUCUCGCACGCUCGUCUUCGCGUCUCACCUCUCCACUGAGCGUCUCCAAGUCCGCCUCGAGCUCCUCCAUCUUCUCCACCUCUUGGUUGGACGAGAUCUCCUCGAGGUGAGCCACAUUUCGCGAGUUUGCCGUCGUCGGGUUCACGGCCGUCGCGACCCCGAUUCCGGCGAACCUCGCCGCUGCUCCGUUCUUGUCUUCUUUCUUCUCUCUAAGUCACGUUAGAGUCUGCCUAGGUCUCGGUUGUGGUCUGUGCCACGCUAUUCAGGCCUUGGUGCCACCGUCGCGCGGGAACACGGCCACCGCACCACCGCGCUCACCGCCGUCGAGCGCCACACACGUGAGCAGACUCACCGGAGCCAUUAGGGUUAGGCGUUUCUACCUAGAAAGCUCCGCGCUGUCUCACUGAUACUUAAGCCGCCCUUCCCCGACGCUCUACCGGUCUGAGAUGGCUGGCGUAAGCCGAGGUAGCUCCGCCGUGCCGCCAUGACCAACGGCGACCCCUCUCCGUCGCUCAAACCCUAGAGCCACCUACCUCUAUCGACGCGGAAUCACUCCAGGAGCACGAUGGUGCCCUUGGAUCCGCCGGAGAAGCUCACCAUUGGCGAGCAUUCGCCAGCGAGUGUGUUCUCUGUUUUCUGGGUCGCUGACACACGGGACCCACUGUCAGUGACAACGGCUCCCUCCUCUCUUUUAUUUAAAAUCCAGAUUUCUUACAAUCUUGCAAAAAUCAUAUCUCUAGUUCCUGAGCUCUUUGUGAUGAUCCAUGGGAUGGCUAGUUGUUAAUAAAAAUAUAUUAUGCACCAUGGGUUGUGGGAAAAAUAAUUGUUAUGAAUUAAUCUUGUUAAUUAGGUGUAAAUUCAUAUCUUUUGAUAUACUGCUCCAAUUGCUAUGAAAUUUUUAUGCUAUGCUCUAAGUAGUAUUAGAAUGCUCUGGUAAUUAUUUCAUGGUUUUUGGAGUGCUGUAUCUUUGAUGGGUAAUUUAUGUUAAUACUAUGGCUUGACUUCAUAAUUAAAUCAUAAUAAAUGUUUGAAGUUUAUGCUAGUGUUCUCCUUUGGUGUCAAGUUUGUUUAUAGAAGUAGUAACAUGUAAAUAAUCUGAAAUCUGUUGUUUGACACUAUCUAAGCAAUGUUUCUUAAUUUAUGAAAUAAGCACCUUGUUACAUGUUAAUUACUUAUCUUGAGUUUGGCAUGUGCAAUUGCUUUGAAAAUUUUAUGGUAAUGUCCAAAUGCCAUGCUUGUGCUUUUGCAAUGUUUGUAGAAUUUUCUGAGUACUCUUGCUGGUAUUUUGUAUUUAUGUCCUUUUAUGGAAUUAAAUUAAUAAAUUCCUUGUUAUUGAAUGUUUAGGGGUCAACAUGUGAUGUUCUGGUAAUCUUAGGUUAUGCUUGUGCAUGUAAGCCAUUGGUUGGCACUAAAUAUGUUUUUGCUAUGUCAUCAAAUAAUUAACUAAGGGUUUUAUAGCUGUUCUGGACAGCAAGAGAGUAAUCUGAUUGUUGUCUAAAGAUAAUUUUGUUAUCUGACUAACUUGUCUAUAUCAAAGAUGUUGUAAACAUUGUGAACUAGCUGCAGUUCAAAUUUGGGAUCAUUUGGUCCAGUAGUUUAAAAGUUAUGGCUCUUCCAAGUUGAGUUCCAGAACAAGGUGCUCUCUGUUUUUCUGGAACAGAGUCUGGAACUUUGUUUAGUUGACCUGUUUAACUUUUGAAUCUUGCUGUGAUGUCUAAAGAUGAAAUGUAAACAAUUUCAUAAGCUUUCCAGAAUGUCCUCAUUCAUAUUUGUUGGAUCUGUAACGCAUUAGUUAUGAUUUGUUUCUAGAUCUGCACUGUUAUUUGGGUUGUUGCUGUUAUUGGUUCAAGUUGAUGAAUCUUGUUAGAUUAGUUGGUUAUCUUUUGUGAACUUGUAAUGGGAGUUACUCCGUAAAUGAGUCUCCAGUGAACUUGUAAUCAUGUUACCGAGCAUUCAUCAUCAUCUAGUAUGCACACAUUCUCAUUGUCGUGCAUGCAACAAGUGCAUCGGAAGCGGCAGCCUUGUUCGAGCUCGAUCGGGUGAACCACGAAGGCCCAGAGAUCACUCAGGAGGCGGAGGUCCAGCCAGCCGGACAAGAGGAGCCUGAAGAGGAGGUCGAGUGCCCUAAUCACGAGUCAGCCUCGUUCGUGAAAGGCAAGCCCCGGAGCAUCUUAAGUCUCCUACUUUAAUUUCAAAAGCAUACUUGAUUAUGUUAUAUCUAUUGAUGCAUUACGUAUAGGAGUUGUGAUGAAGCCCUUGCUGCAUUAUGUCACAGAACCGACCAAAUUAUAAGAGUUCAAGUGCAGAAACGAUCGUCAAACAAUCAAGUUUCUAAACUUGAGCCCAUAUAAUCCCGGUAGUCAAUCGAAAUCACGAAGGACUUCAAACCAACUCGCAACAAACCAAGAUCGUAAUAGUUCAGCAUAAACACAACGAUUGUUACAUAGUCAUUCAUUGCCGACGAAGCGGCACCACAUCGAAGUCAUUAAGUUAUUACAACCCAAGUUUGAAGUAGCGGAAGCAAAAUAGUUACACACAUCCGUUCAAAGUUCAGUUCACAAGUUUGUUACUGCCAGAGUCUAUGUCAUCCUUCCAAAAGCAUCAUAGACGAGAAGAGUAGAGAACCGUGCCCAACGGUUAGUCCUCAUCCCCAGCGGGAUGGAGACAGGUCUUGCAGAAACCGUCAUAGAAGAUAUCAUCUGCAACAGGUGGGAAUAAACCCUGAGUACGAGGAUGUACUCAGCUAGACUUACCCGUCUAGUAAAACACAAAAGACACCAAGGAUCAUGCAAGGCUAAAUCUUAAGUGGAGCUGGUUGACUCACCUUUUGCCAAAAGCUUAACUUACAACUAAGUUAUUUUAAGGGCAUCAUAUUUAUUUAUCAUCAGCCUACCACUAGAUUAGCACCUGUACUACAACACAUCACUUGAUUAUUACAAACAAUAUUAACCAUAUCAAAUUCAUCAUAUGUUCUUCUUGCUAUCAUCAUUAUCACGAACCAAGUUCAUUAGUGAAUGCUACGUUUGCCGCUGCUCUGUCAAGUUCUCACUAACCGGGAGAGACGGUGAUUCGAAUCGAAUUCCUAUCCAGCUGGAGGAUUAUUCCUAGCACUCACCCAGGCAUCCCCUGCCGGAGAGCCAAAGGGUCACCUUUGGUACGACUCAGGAAUCGCGGCUCCGAUCAGCGCCGCACUCCCAGGGCUACCACUCUGCCAGAGAGGUCAGGAAUUUUAACUCACCUGCCUUUGGACUUACGCCAAUGGUCCCCCGCACACCGCACUUCCUCCGGUAGUGCGCACUUUAUACUUGCCGGUCUUCCGGCCGGAGUCAUACUACUCGGCUUCGCGGUCGGAACGAGUUAUCCGGCCAACUAAGUGUCAGGCAUGCGUUCAACAUGACAAGAGGACGUACAACGAUCGGUCCUUAGCUGCCACAGACGGAGUUACUACACACUUGCAAAACUCCGCCCGGCUUAAGUCAAUUUAACCAGGUUCCAUCCACGAUAGCACAUAUAGACCAUCGUGACCCGACACAACCCUAUAUCGCGCGGAUGACAGAAUAUCACCCGACUUCUACCGAUUAAAGCAUAGCUAAGCUGCUACUCGAACCUAACUCUACAACCAGGGAGGGUGAGUUAUCUGGACAAGGAUAGAGUAGAAUGCAGCAACAGUUUCAUCACAACUCCUAUACGUAAUGCAUCAAUAGAUAUAACGUAUUAAGUAAACUUUUCGGAAAUAAGGGGAGACUUAGAAUGCUCCGGGGCUUGCCUUUCACGAACGAUGCCGGCUCGUGAUUCGGACACUCGACUUCUUCUUCGGGCUCCUCGAGUCCGGCUUGCUGGACCUCCACUUCCUGGCUGCCCUCCUGACCUUCGGGAUUCGCUUGGAGCUCGAAGGAAACUGCCACGUCCGGUGCACCUAUUGCAUGCUCGAUGAAUGAGAAGGUGCACAUGCUACAGAUGAAUGCUUAAUAACACAAGCAACUCACUGGACACUCAUUUACGGAGCAAGAGUUAUACUAACUCACAUGAAUAAACAAGUUAACAUAACCCAAAACCUAUCAUGACACUAAAGCAGCAAACGACACAAAACAAGUAUGCUCAGUAAAUAAAUCAUAAUUAUAGAUAGACAGGUCCAACAAACAUGAGUAAGGACAUUCUGGAAAGCUUAUGAAAUUGUCUACAAUUAAUCUUUAAACAUGAUAGCAAGAUUCAUACAUGAAACUGGUCAUUUAAACAAAGUUCCAAGUUCUGUCCCAGAAAAACAGAGAACACCUAUUUCUGGAACCCAACUUGGAACAUCUAUAACUUUUAAACUACUUGGCCAAAUGACUUCAAAUUUAAACCACAGCUGGCUCUAUAAGUUUAGAACAACUUUGAUUUAGACAAGUUUCACAGAAAGUCAAGUUAUCAUUAAGCAAAGUUAAAUUGCUCACUUGCUGUCCAGAACAGCAUUUAACCCUAUAGUUAAGUAUUUAAUGACAUGAUCAAAACACAAACCAUGCCAACCAUAUGACUCAUGAGCACAAACAUAUUACAAGGUCACCAGAUCAUCAGUUGAAAACCCCAAAACAAUUACUUAACAAGGCAUUUAUUAAUUAACUUUAGAUAAGGCAUAUUUACAAGAUAUUAGUUAAAGUGCUCAGAAAAAUCUACAAACAUUACAGAGGCACAAGUAUAACAUCAAAUCACCACCAUAAAAAUUUCAGGACCAAUGCACAUGCCCAAUUAAAGAUAUGCAUUUAACACGUAUCAAGGCAUUUAUUUCAUAAAUUCAUAAACAUGACUUAUAUAGUGUCAAACAACAGAUUUCAGAUUAUUUACAUCUUAGGAAUACCAUAAACAAGUUUACCACCAAAAUAGAGCACCAGCAUAAACACCAAUUAUUUUAUGUGAUUUAAUUAAAGAAACAAGCCAUAUUUCAAACACAAAUUACAUAUCACAACAACAGUGCUCCAAAAAUCAUGAAAUAAUUAUCAGAGCACUCCAAUGCGAUGCAGAGACCACCAUAAAAUUUUCAAAGCAAACUAAGCAGUAUAACAAGAGAUAUGCAUUUAUCCAUAAAUAACAAGAUUAAAUCCUUAAUAAAUAAUUUCUCAGAAAACAUGAUUCAUUUUAUAUUUUUAUUAAAUACUAGCCAUCUCAAGAAACACCACAAAAUUUGUUUCACAAUUUUUGGAUCUCAGAAACAGGAGAUAUGAUUUUUGCAAGAAAGCCAAAUAAUCAGGAUUUUGAAUAAAAGAAAAGGAGGGAAAGAGAGAGUCGCUGACAGUGGGUCCCAUCUGUCAGGCUCUUCUUCCUCACGGCCGAGGCGAUCUUCGCCGGCGAUUUCUCCGCGACGGUGAGGUCUCCGGCCAAACCCAGGGCAUCAACGUGAUCCCCGAACCCUAACGGCUCGAUUGACCCCACUUUUGCCACGGCGGAGCCACCGGAAGGGGCUCACCGUCGGCAAUGGCAGCUCGGCGGAGGUGCCCGGCGUUACGCCGGAGCCCUCAGGCCGGUAGAGCACGACCUAAGGCCUUCUACAGCACCAACGGACUACGGCGAAGCUUCCUAGGUACGUGGCUUGGCCUGGAUCCCCGUGGAAAGCGCUGGCCACGAGAGCACCCAACUCCGGCGGAAGCACGGCGGCGCUGCGCACCGUGUCCGGCGACGGAGAACACGGUAGAGCGUCCACCAGGUGGCGCAAAAGCUCGCUAAGGACCUAAGCUACCUCUAGGACCUAACCAAAGAUGAUGAGAAGCCUCACAGCGCUCGGCAUUGAGUUCGCCGGAGAAGGUCACGGCGGACCGAUUUGGGGGAAGAAGGGAAUGUCGGCUCACCGGUGGGUUUCUCGGCGAGUUAGAGGGUGGAGCUUGGAGAGCGGCUCACGGCGGAGCUUUGGGUGGAGUUUGGUGGACGGAGACGCAGAGAGGAGCGCACACGAGCUCGCCGGAGUGAGCUCGCGGCGGAGGGCUCGCUGCGGACGAGGUUCAGGCGAGAGAGGGCGAGGCAGAGCGAAGUGGACGCGUCCACUCGCUCGGGGCGCCGCCGUGGAGGUCAUGCACGCGACGGAAGCUGACAAGCGGGGCCAAACGCGGCGUACGGGCGACAAAUGGCGACGGAGCUCUGCCGGCGGUCGGCCACGUCGACGAGGUCAGGCCCGAUUCAGAAGAAAGGGUGCUCGUCUGACAGAGCCACUUCACCGGCGAUUAUCUCCCAAACCAGAGCGAAUUAGGCGAUGGCGUAGUUGACAAACUUGGAGUACUAGGCGAGAUCUACAACUUUGUCAACUGGAGCAAAGGCCAGAUCAGCCUGGAUUGAAAGAUAUAGAGUUUCCAAAACCGAUCGAGCAAACUGCAAAGCACCCAGGACUUAGAAAAUUUUCUAAGUGUUGAAAACAGCCCCAAAUCUGCCUUGUGGACCACUUUUGAGCUAUUUGUGAUCAUUUUCAUGAGAUGGCCAUAAAACAACUUUUGUUCCUUAUAAAAUUUGCUACAACUUUGCUGUAGAAAGUUUGUUACUGCCAGAGUCUAGGUCAUCCUUCCAAAAGCAUCAUAGACGAGAAGAGUAGAGAACCGUGCCCAACGGUUAGUCCUCAUCCCCAGCGGGAUGGAGACAGGUCUUGCAGAAACCGUCAUAGAAGAUAUCAUCUGCAACAGGUGGGAAUAAACCCUGAGUACGAGGAUGUACUCAGCUAGACUUACCCGUCUAGUAAAACACAAAAGACACCAAGGAUCAUGCAAGACUAAAUCUUAAGUGGGGCUGGUUGACUCACCUUUUGCCAAAAGCUUAACUUACAACUAAGUUAUUUUAAGGGCAUCAUAUUUAUUUAUCAUCAGCCUACCACUAGAUUAGCACCUGUACUACAACACAUCACUUGAUUAUUACAAACAAUAUUAACCAUAUCAAAUUCAUCAUAUGUUCUUCUUGCUAUCAUCAUUAUCACGAACCAAGUUCAUUAGUGAAUGCUACGUUUGCCGCUGCUCUGUCAAGUUCUCACUAACCGGGAGAGACGGCGAUUCGAAUCGAAUUCCUAUCCAGCUGGAGGAUUAUUCCUAGCACUCACCCAGGCAUCCCCUGCCGAAGAGCCAAAGGGUCACCUUUGGUACGACUCAGGAAUCGCGGCUCCGAUCAGCGCCGCACUCCCAGGGCUACCACUCUGCCAGGGAGGUCAGGAAUUUUAACUCACCUGCCUUUGGACUUACGCCAAUGGUCCCCCGCACACCGCACUUCCUCCGGUAGUGCGCACUUUAUACUUGCCGGUCUUCCGGCCUGAGUCAUACUACUCGGCUUCGCGGUCGGAACGAGUUAUCCGGCCAACUAAGUGUCAGGCAUGCGUUCAACAUGACAAGAGGACGUACAACGAUCGGUCCUUAGCUGCCACAGACGGAGUUACUACACACUUGCAAAACUCCGCCCGGCUUAAGUCAAUUUAACCAGGUUCCAUCCACGAUAGCACAUAUAGACCAUCGUGACCCGACACAACCCUAUAUCGCGCGGAUGACAGGAUAUCACCCGACUUCUACCGAUUAAAGCAUAGCUAAGCUGCUACUCGAACCUAACUCUACAACCAGGGAGGGUGAGUUAUCUGGACAAGGAUAGAGUAGAAUGCAGCAACAGUUUCAUCACAACUCCUAUACGUAAUGCAUCAAUAGAUAUAACGUAUUAAGUAAACUUUUCGGAAAUAAGGGGAGACUUAGAAUGCUCCGGGGCUUGCCUUUCACGAACGAUGCCGGCUCGUGAUUCGGACACUCAACUUCUUCUUCGGGCUCCUCGAGUCCGGCUUGCUGGACCUCCACUUCCUGGCUGCCCUCCUGACCUUCGGGAUUCGCUUGGAGCUCGAAGGAAACUGCCACGUCCGGUGCACCUAUUGCAUGCUCGAUGAAUGAGAAGGUGCACAUGCUACAGAUGAAUGCUUAAUAACACAAGCAACUCACUGGACACUCAUUUACGGAGCAAGAGUUAUACUAACUCACAUGAAUAAACAAGUUAACAUAACCCAAAACCUAUCAUGACACUAAAGCAGCAAACGACACAAAACAAGUAUGCUCAGUAAAUAAAUCAUAAUUAUAGAUAGACAGGUCCAACAAACAUGAGUAAGGACAUUCUGGAAAGCUUAUGAAAUUGUCUACAAUUAAUCUUUAAACAUGACAGCAAGAUUCAUACAUGAAACUGGUCAUUUAAACAAAGUUCCAAGUUCUGUCCCAGAAAAACAGAGAACACCUAUUUCUGGAACCCAACUUGGAACAUCUAUAACUUUUAAACUACAUGGCCAAAUGACUUCAAAUUUAAACCACAGCUGGCUCUAUAAGUUUAGAACAACUUUGAUUUAGACAAGUUUCACAGAAAGUCAAGUUAUCAUUAAGCAAAGUUAAAUUGCUCACUUGCUGUCCAGAACAGCAUUUAACCCUAUAGUUAAGUAUUUAAUGACAUGAUCAAAACACAAACCAUGCCAACCAUAUGACUCAUGAGCACAAACAUAUUACAAGGUCACCAGAUCAUCAGUUGAAAACCCCAAAACAAUUACUUAACAAGGCAUUUAUUAAUUAACUUUAGAUAAGGCAUAUUUACAAGAUAUUAGUUAAAGUGCUCAGAAAAAUCUACAAAAAUUACAGAGGCACAAGUAUAACAUCAAAUCACCACCAUAAAAAUUUCAGGACCAAUGCACAUGCCAAAUUAAAGAUAUGCAUUUAACACGUAUCAAGGCAUUUAUCUCAUAAAUUCAUAAACAUGACUUAUAUAGUGUCAAACAACAGAUUUCAGAUUAUUUACAUCUUAGGAAUACCAUAAACAAGUUUACCACCAAAAUAGAGCACCAGCAUAAACACCAAUUAUUUUAUGUGAUUUAAUUAAAGAAACAAGCCAUAUUUCAAACACAAAUUACAUAUCACAACAACAGUGCUCCAAAAAUCAUGAAAUAAUUAUCAGAGCACUCCAAUGCGAUGCAGAGACCACCAUAAAAUUUUCAAAACAAACUAAGCAGUAUAACAAGAGAUAUGCAUUUAUCCAUAAAUAACAAGAUUAAAUCAUUAAUAAAUAAUUUCUCCAAAAACAUGAUUCAUUUUAUGUUUUUAUUAAAUACUAGCCAUCUCAAGAAACACCACAAAAUUUGUUUCACAAUUUUUGGAUCUCAGAAACAGGAGAUAUGAUUUUUGCAAGAAAGCCAAAAAAUCAGGAUUUUGAAUAAAAGAAAAGGAGGGAAAGAGAGAGUCGCUGACAGUGGGUCCCAUCUGUCAGGCUCUUCUUCCUCACGGCCGAGGCGAUCUUCGCCGGCGAUUUCUCCGCGACGGCGAGGUCUCCGGCCAAACCCAGGGCAUCAACGUGAUCCCCGAACCCUAACGGCUCGAUUGACCCCACUUUUGUCACGGCGGAGCCACCGGAAGGGGCUCACCGUCGGCAACGGCGGCUCGGCGGAGGUGCCCGGCGUUACGCCGGAGCCCUCAGGCCGGUAGAGCGCGACCUAAGGCCUUCUACAGCACCAACGGACUACGGCGAAGCUUCCUAGGUACGCGGCUUGGCCUGGAUCCCUGUGGAAAGCGCUGGCCACGAGAGCACCCAACUCCGGCGGAAGCACGGCGGCGCUGCGCACCGUGUCCGGCGACGGAGAACCCGGUAGAGCGUCCACCAGGUGGCGCAAAAGCUCGCUAAGGACCUAAGCUACCUCUAGGACCUAACCAAAGAUGAUGAGAAGCCUCACAGCGCUCGGCAUUGAGUUCGCCGGAGAAGGUCACGGCGGACCGAUUUGGGGGAAGAAGGGAAUGUCGGCUCACCGGUGGGUUUCUCGGCGAGUUAGAGGGUGGAGCUUGGAGAGCGGCUCACGGUGGAGCUUUGGGUGGAGUUUGGUGGACGGAGACGCAGAGAGGAGCGCACACGAGCUCGCCGGAGUGAGCUCGCGGCGGAGAGCUCGCUGCGGACGAGGUUCAGGCGAGAGAGGGCGAGGCAGAGCGAAGUGGACGCGUCCACUCGCUCGGGGCGUCGCCGUGGAGGUCAUGCACGCGACGGAAGCUGACAAGCGGGGCCAAACGCGGCGUACGGGCGACAAAUGGCGACGGAGCUCUGCCGGCGGUCGGCCACGUCGACGAGGUCAGGCCCGAUUCAGAAGAAAGGGUGCUCGUCUGACAGAGCCACUUCACCGGCGAUUAUCUCCCAAACCAGAGCGAAUUAGGCGAUGGCGUAGUUGACAAACUUGGAGUACUAGGCGAGAUCUACAACUUUGUAAACUAGAGCAAAGGCCAGAUCAGCCUGGAUUGAAAGAUAUAGAGUUUCCAAAACCGAUCGAGCAAACUGCAAAGCACCCAGGACUUAGAAAAUUUUCUAAGUGUUGAAAACAGCCCCAAAUCUGCCUUGUGGACCACUUUUGAGCUAUUUGUGAUCAUUUUCAUGAGAUGACCAUAAAACAACUUUUGUUCCUUAUAAAAUUUGCUACAACUUUGCUGUAGAAAGUUUUGACAUGCAAACAUUUUAUGAAACACUUUUUAAAAGCCUAAGCAAAAGAGGUUUCUAGGGCCUAUUUUCAUAAGUAUGACUUAGAAGCAUAUUUUGGAAAAGUGACCAACAUGAACAUUGUUCCCAAGAUCAAGUUAAACAUAGAUAAACUAAUUACCAAGACAUUAAGCACAAACACAAGCAUUGUUCACUCAAACAUAAGCAUAGGAAGCCUAUUUAGUCAAUUUAAACCACAUCUUUGCAAAGAAUGACAUGUCUCAAGAUAGAUGAUGAUCAUGGAUGCUUUGAAAAAAGAAUGAUGAUGCUCAUGCCAUGCACAUGCUUGAUGCAACCAUAACACUGGGGUGUUACACAUUAUACCCUUUCCUUAUCCAGAUAUCUUACCACUACCUGGUUGUAGAGUUAGGAUCGAGUAGCAGCUUAGUCAUGCUUUAAUCGGUAGAAGUCGGGUGAUAUCCUGUCAUCUGCGCGAAAUAGGGCUGUGUCGGAUCACGAUUGACUAUAUGUGCUAUCGUGGGAAAGAACCUGAUUAAAAUGACUUAAGCUGGGCGGAGUUUUGCAAGGUUGUAGUAACUCCGUCUGUGGCAGCAAAGGACCGAUCGUUGUACGUCCUCAUGUCAUGUUGAACGCAUGCCUGACACUUAGUUGGCCAGAUAACUCGUUCCGACCGCGAAGCCUAGUAGUAUGACUCAGGCCGGAAGACCGGCAAGUAUAAAGUGCGCACUACCGGAGGAAGUGCGGUGUGCGGAAGCCAUUGGCGUAAGACCAAAGGCAGGUGAGUUAAAUGUCCUGACCUCCCUGGCAGAGUGACAGCCCUAGGAGUGCGGUGCUGUUCGGAGCCACGAUUCCUGAGUCGUACCAAAGGUGACCCGCUUGCUCUCCGAUGGGGGAUGCUUGGGUGAGUGCUAGGAAUAACCCUCGAGCUGGAUAGGAAUCGAUUCGAAUCGCCGUCUAUCCCGGAUAGUGAGAACGUGACAGAGCAGCGGCAAACGUAGCAUUCACUAAAUACAAAGGUUCUUGAUAAUGAUGUUGAGGAUAGCAAGGAAGAACAUAUGAUGAAACUUGAUAUGGUUAUUAUUGUUUGUAAUAAUCAAGCGAAGUGCUUAGUUUAGGUGCUAAUCUAGUGAUAGGCAAUGAUAAGCAAUAUGAUGCUUUAAUAAAUGGUUUUAUAUACAACCUCAGCUUUUGGCAAAUUGUUGAGUCAAGCCAGCUACACUUUAUACUCAGCCUUGCAUACUCCUUGGUGUCUUUUAUGUUUGGUUAGACGGGUAAGUCUAGCUGAGUACAUCCUCGUACUCAAGGUUUUUUUUCCACAUGUUGCAGAUGAUAUCUUCUAUGAUGGCUUCUACAUGACCUGUCUGCAUCCCGCUGGGAUGAGGGCUCAAAUGUUGGGCGUGGUUCUCUAACGACUUCGUACCCUGAUGCUUUUGGUGGAUGAGAUGAGACUCUGGCAGUAACAAGAACUAGUGAACUAUUUUGCUUCCGCUACUUCAAAACUUGUGUUGUAAUAACUAAGUAACUCCGAUGUGGUGCCGCUUUGUCGGCAAUGUAUGAACUAUGUAACAUUCGCUCUGUUGUGCUGAAUUAUUACGAUCUUGGUAUGUUGCAAAGUUGGUUUCAAGUCCUUCGUGAUUUCAGUUGACUACCGGGAUUAUAUGGGCUUAAGUCUGAAACUUGAUUGCUAGAUCAAUCAUUUCUACACUUGAACUGUUAUAAUUUGGUCGGUUCUGUGACAGCUGGCAUUGAAGCAAGUUCAGCAUUAUAAAUGCAGCGUUUGUGUAUUUAAAAACAAAAGAGUUUUUAAAUAAAUUGUGAAAAACAACACUUAAUUAUGCCAGUGGUCGAAUCCUCCUUGCCCAUAUAAGGACUUUAGGUGGCUAUUUAAGUACUAACUUGGGGGUUUUUAAUUAUGCAUCUCCGGCAGUACUCAGGUAUGGAUGUGUGAUGACCGCACUAUGCUACCCUGUGGUCUAAUGGUGGAGGUAGCCUUCAUGUGUGAAUUAGCCACAUAUGUCGCUAGAUUUAAAUUAUGCAACGUCGCACCUACGCUUUGGUAAGUGUGAGUUGUGAGAGCAUGAUCAUCCAAACGGCAGUCUAGGGGAGUGUUCGCGGUGGUUUUCUGGAGUGGUUACAUGUCAAACCAUGGAACCACGAAAGAAACUUAAGUGGGGAGCAUUUAAUUUCUCGGGUAGCUAUGGUGUAAUUGUUUGUGCAUGUUGGGCAUGUAUAAGCAAUGUGCACUUAGUUUGCUGCUUUCUUGAGUGAAAUUUUGGGAAUUGUUGGGCUGCAAUGAAGUUUUCUGCUGGCACUCUAACAACGCACGUGUAAAUUGAUAGUUACCGUAUCAAGAGACGAAUGUAUGCCACGUAUAUCCGUUAGCAAGUUAAUUUUCUAAGUUUGUGAGGACGUACGGUUCGUGCAUGCAUCAUAUCGCAUUCAUACAUACAUUCUGUCUACUCCUUCCCUUACAAUAUCGUUCCUUUUAAAUUAAAUAAAUGUUGCUUAAAUCCUCUCUUACCCAUGGUUAUUCCUUUCCACAGAUGGACGUGCCCGCCUCACCUCUCCCCAGCGACACCUUUCUGAGUGAGUUUGGCACUCCUACUCUGCUUUGGAGGGUGUUGCAGUCAGUGGGGUAUACUGAGCCACCUCAGUACUCUUGGUGGGAGGUGGACAUGACCGGAGACUUGCAGUGGUUCGCUGUGCAGGGAGUUGUCCCACCACACAGGGGCAGGCCUGCAUGGACAGGGUGGACCUGCAACUCAGAUGGGCAAACUGCAUGAGAGGCAGCUCAGGUUGCAGCCCAUGCUAUCCUGCUCAAUAUCUGUCAGAGGUUUGGCGAUGAGCUGACAGGAGGACCAGCGACCUCCAUUGCCCAUGCUGACCUAGCAGCAGCAGAGUGGAAGCAGGUUGAUGGUUGUGCGUUGGUCUGCAGUCGAGGAGAGUGAGCUGAGAGCUCUAAUCCUGUUAUGAGUGCUAUGAUGGCUGUGCUCAAGAUGUUCAGUCAGCGAGAGGACACCUAUGCGCAGGUGAUGGUGGCUGUUCGCCAGGCUCAGGGGAUGCAAAAGAAGGCUGAAAAGUGUGCUCACAAGUUUUACAAGCAAGCUAGACUCCUGGAGCAAGCCCAGAAGGACCGCAAUGACUGGGAAGACAUUGCGGAGUACCGCAGGCAGCACUGGGUGAAGGCCAUUAGAGAGAGGGAUCACAAGGACCAGAUGAGUUAGUUGGCUAGAGAGAAGGAGACUGUGCAGGAGCGCUUGGUGCAUAUCACUCGUGAGAGGGAUACUGCGCUCCGUGUGUCGGAGAACAGGCGUCGUGCAUGGGAGAUGCACCGUAUCCAUUCGCUUGAGCAGGAGAACUAUCUGUAGGAUCAGAUUGAGGCUGGUCUUGUGGAGAUUCACCGUCUCUACAACUUGCUACACCCUAUUCCUCGCCCUGUACCACUGUACCCAGAUGUGGGACCUCAGGUGAUCGUGGCCGAUGAUGAUGGUAUGGAGGUAGAUGGACCGGCCGCGGCUGCACCACCUUUGCACGAGGACGUGGAGGACGAGGAGCUCGAGCCGGUUAGCGAUGAGGAUGGAGAGGCGAACUUCAAUGCUGACUCGGACGACGAGCCUAGAGUGUAGAGGGUAGUUGGUAGUCACCCUAUGAGGAUCUUUUGUACUGUGGCCUUUGGCAGUCAUGCUUUUGUAACCAUGUUGUAAUCCUGAACCUUGAUCCUAGACUUGUGGCCAGUACUUUGAUGAUGUAAUAACUUCAUGGACCUGAUGUUAUAUGACGUAUUCAUGUUCGAACGGCUGUAACAAUACUUUCCGUUGUCGUGCAUUUUACGGAUAUCUGUGUCAUGUGUUGGGAUUGGUGAUGUUGUUUUGUGGAAUUGAAUUAUUGUGCCUUUUUUUGUAAAGUUAUUCUCUCGAAAACUUUUAGGCAUGAUUAUAAGUUCUUCUGUGGCAAAUCUUGUCAUCAUCAAUACUCACUGACUGUGUCUGAACAGAUGUCUCGCGGCACUUGAGGUGCGGAAAAUCGUGCGAACAUGAAUCCACCCCCUCCUCCUCCACCACCAAACCCAGCUGAGCUGAUGCAGAUGAUGGUGGAAAGUCAGAGGCUGCUCAUAGAGACCAUCAAUCAGAUGGCAAACCAGGGUGGUCGGAAUGCACAACAUGGGCCAGCACCUAAUCGGUACAGCAGUUUUAAGGAUUUCAUGGAUACCAAGCCCCCAUCUUUUAGAGAGGCUGAAGAACCCCUUCACGCAGAGGAAUGGCUGAACACGGUGGAGCAAAAGUUCCGCUUACUUCGGCUUACUGAUAGCCUGAAGGCAGAGUAUGCAGCUCAUCAACUGUAGGGUCCCGCAGGUAUCUAGUGGAAUCAACAUCAGGAGGCUCUUCCGGACAACACCGUGGUUGACUGGAAUCUCUUCCGUGAUUCUUUCAAAGGGCAUUUCUUACCUCCUGGGGUUUUGGAAAUGAAGCAUACUGAGUUCAUGUAGUGAACUCAGGGAAACAAAACUCUGAAGGAGUAUUUGCAUGCUUUCAAUCAUCUGUCGAGGUAUGCUCCUAAGUUUGUGAGCACUGAGUCGAAAAAGAUUGCUAGCUUCAAGAGGGGUCUUGGCCCCAAGGUGCUGAAGACUAUAGGCCGCACCAAGUGUGCAACUUUCAAUGAGUUUGUCGGUGAUGCUCUUACCCAAGAGAAUUAUAACACUGUGUACACUGCGACCAAGACUCGCAAGCGAGCUUUUGAGGCCGGGGCAGGGGCAUCUCGGUCCAAGGCUCCAGUGGCAGCUAGGACCCAGUAUCGUGCUCCAGCUCCUAACGCACGAUACCGCCCUCCAGCAAAGAAGAAUCAGGCGAAGACGGGAUUUCGCAAGGGGUACUUCAUUGCUCUUCCUAGGGGGAACACUGGGCCCAGCUAUGCCAAGACUCCACGUGCCAACCGUCCGUGCUGGAACUGUAAUUAGACAGGGCAUUGGCAAAGCAACUCUCCUUACCCACCAAAGAAGGGCAACCUAGGGAACGUCCAUCAGGGGCGUGUUCACUAUACAACUGUGGAAGCAAUUCCUACUGGUGAGAUAGUUACGGCUAGUAAGUUUCUAGUUAACCAAUGUGAUGCACUUGUACUUUUUGAUUCUGGAGCAUCGCAUUCUUUUGUGAGUUCAGAGUUUGUGUCUAAGCAUAAUCACAAGGCAGUUCCGCUUGAUAAAGGCAGCUAUUGCAUUAGUGCCGCUGGAAACAAUAUUUCUACAAAUCAAGUGGUUUUGGGGGCAACUCUGGAAAUAGGAGACCGUCAGUUUCUUGCUAAUUUGGUUGUUCUACCUGGUGUGGGUACAGAUAUAAUUCUGGGAAUGAAAUGGAUGAGUGGUAACGGAGUUCUUAUCGACACCACCACUCGCAUAGUGAUGUUGAGAGACCCGAGUACCAAAGAGGCGUUGUUAGUGCAACUUCCUCGGGAUAUUCAUAUCCGUAGCACGAUGAAUGCAGUUACAUCUAGGGCCAUCGAGGAUAUUCCGGUAGUUUGUGAGUUUCCGGAUGUAUUCCCUAAUGAUUUGCCCGGGCUUCCUCCAGAUCGGGAUGUGGAGCUUAAAAUUGAAUUGCUCCCAGGUACUGCUCCUAUCUCUAGGAGGCCAUAUAGAAUGCCGCCAAAUGAGCUAGCUGAGCUUAAGGCCUAGCUAAAUGAGUUGUUAAAGAAGGGUCUUAUUUGUCCUAGUUCUUCUCCCUGGGGUUGUCCGGCUAUCUUUGUGAAGAAGAAAGAUCAGUCCUUGCGCAUGUGUGUGGACUAUCGUCCUCUGAAUGCGGUGACCAUCAAGAAUAAGUAUCCUCUUCCUCGCAUUGAUAUCCUGUUUGACCAGUUGUCUAAAGCUAAGGUGUUCUCCAAGAUUGAUUUGCGAUCUGGGUAUCAUCAAAUCAAGAUUCGUCCUGAAGAUGUACCUAAGACAGCUUUCUCGACAAGGUAUGGGUUGUAUGAGUAUCAUGUCAUGUCCUGGAGUCUUACGAAUGCACCUGCUCACUUCAUGUAUCUCAUGAAUUCGGUCUUCAUGUCCGAAUUGGACAAGUUUGUGGUGGUCUUCAUUGAUGAUAUCUUGGUAUAUUCUCGCAAUGAAGAGGAGCAUGCAGAGCAUCUGUGGGUAGUGUUAACGCGCUUGCGUGAGCAUCAGCUUUAUGCUAAGUUCAGCAAAUAUGAGUUUUGGCUAAAGAAAGUACCUUUCUUGGGUCAUGUCUUAUCUGAAGAAGGCAUAUCGGUGGAUCCGGCUAAGGUGCAAGAAGUGCUGGAUUGGAAGGUUCCGACUUCGGUGCACGAGGCUCGGAGUUUUCUAGGUCUGGCUAGGUAUUAUCGUCGUUUCAUUCCGGAAUUCUCAAAAAUAUCCAAGCCUAUGACUCACCUACUUCAGAAAGAUGAGAAGUUUGUGUGGACACCUGAAAGUGAAGAGGCAUUCCACAAGUAGAGGACAUUGCUGACAUCAGCUCCUGUCCUAGCUCAACCCGAUAUCGAGAAGCCUUUCGAUGUCUUUUGUGACGUGUCUGGUAUCGGUCUGGGCUGUGUGUUGAUGCAAGAAGGUCAUGUUAUCGCUUAUGCCUCGCGCCAACUUCAAAAGCAUGAGGUCAAUUACCCUACUCAUGACUUAGAAUUGGCCACGGUUGUUCAUGCUUUGAAGAUCUGGAGCCACUAUUUGCUGGGUAAUCUGUGCAAUAUCUACACUGAUCAUAAGAGUCUCAAGUACAUCUUCACUCAACCUGAAUUGAACAUGCGACAGCGAAGGUGGCUUGAGUUGAUUAAACAUUAUAAUCUCCAAAUGCACUACCAUUCGGGCAAGGCAAACAUGGUUGCGGAUGCCUUGAGUCGGAAAGCGCACUGUCAUUCAGUUCAGAUGGAAGAUCCAUCGUUGUCACGUCUUAUGCACCCACUAGUGCUCCACCAGAUUGCUCUGGAGAGUUCUCUUCGCAAUCAAGUCAUCGAAAUGCAGCAAACAGAUGUAGGCAUCCACCAUAUAAAGAGGAAAAUGAAAGAAGAAGAAACCAAGCAUUUUUGGGUCGAUGAGAACGGAAUUCUGUGGUUCAAAGAUCGGCUUGUGGUGCCAAAGGACCGUGAGCUCCAAAAUCAUAUUCUAUCUGAAGCUCAUUCGUCCAAGUUGUCUAUCCAUCCUGGUAGUAGUAAGAUGUAUUAGGAUCUGAAACCUCUAUUUUGGUGGACAAAGAUGAAAAAGGAGAUUGCUACUUUUGUUGCUUGUUGUGAUAACUGUUGUUGUGUGAAGGCAGUUCACAUGAAAGCAUGCUUGCUUCAACCUUUGUCAAUUCCUGGUUGGAAAUGGGAAGAUGUUAGUAUGGACUUUAUCUAUAGACUUCCAACUUCCCUUAAGGGUUAUGACUCCAUCUGGGUGAUUGUAGAUCGCUUGACCAAGGUUGCUCGUUUUAUCCCAGUUCGAACUGACUCCCGUCCACAUCAGUAUGCCGAAUUGUAUUUCGAGCACAUUGUCUAUCACUAUGGUGUGCCAUGAACUAUCAUAUCAGAUUGUGGACCCCAGUUCACUGCCCGUUUUUGGGAUUGUCUUCAUGAACAAAUUGGCACUCACUUGGUUCAUAGUUCUGCGUAUCAUCCUCAAACGGCUGGCCAAACUGAACGUGUUAACCAAAUCCUAGAAGUCAUGUUGAGGGCAUGUGCUCUCUCUUCAAAAGGUUCUUGGGUAAAGUCUUUACCGUUAGCAGAGUUCUCUUAUAACAACAGUUCCCAAGAGAGCAUCAAAAUGGCUCCGUUUGAAGCCCUGUAUGGUCGAAAGUGUCGAACCCCGUUGAAUUGGGUGGAACCCGGGGAACGAAGGUAUUAUGGCAUCGAUUUCGUGAACGAAGCAGAGCAGCAAGUCCGUACCAUCCAGCAACAUCUGGAAGCUGCUCAAGCUCGUCAGAAAAGUUAUGCUGACAAGAGAAGGAAGCCGAUUGAGUUUGCAGUCGGUGAUCAUGUGUAUCUCAGGGUGUCUCCGAUGAAAGGCGUACAAAGAUUUGGAGUCAGGCGAAAGCUUGCACCUCGUUAUGUGGGGCCUUAUCAGAUUCUCGAAAGAAAAGGGAACGUAGCUUACAAGGUUCAACUACCGGUUGAGGUUCGAGCUAUUUUUCCUGUCUUUCAGGUAUCACAAUUGAAGAGAUGCCUUCGUGUUCCGGAAGAACUAGUGGAAGUUCGGGAUAUCAAGUUGAAAUCCGACUUGGUGGAUGAGGAGAAACGUGUAGCGGUUGUUGACCGCAAGGAACGGGUGACUCGUAAUCAUGUUGUUAAGUUCUACAAGGUGUUGUGGAGUAACCACGGGGAGGAAGAUGCUACUUGCGAAACAGAGCACUAUUUAAAAGAAGUUUAUAAAACCUUCUUUGAAAAUCAGUAAGCUUCCAAAUCUCGGGACGAGAUUUUUUUAAGGGGGAAGGGCUGUAACACCUAGUGUUAUGCUUGCAUUCUUUCACAUGCAUAACAUGAGCAUCAUCAUGUUCAUAAGCAUAUCAUGAUCAUCAUUUAUCUUGGGUCAUGUCAUUUUAUGCAAAAGUAUGAUUUAACUUGCUUAAAAUAUGCUUUCUAUGCUUAUGGUUGCUUGUGCCAUGCUCAUGUUUGUGUUCUAUGCCUUGGUAAAUAGUUCAUCUAUGCUUAACACAACUUUUGGAACAAUGUUCAUGUUGGUCACAUCUCCAAAUGAAGUACCUAAGUCAUACUUUCACUUAUAGGCCCCAAAAACCUCUUUUGCUUAGGCUUUUAAAAAGUGGGUCAUAAAAUGUUUGCAUGUCAAAACUUUAUAAAUCAAAGUUGUAGCAACUUUUAUAAGGAACAAAAGUUGUUUGAUGGCCAUCUCAUGAAAAUGACCACAUCAUGCUCAAAAAGUGCUUGCAAGGCAGUUUUGGGUGUUGUUUUGGCACUUAGCCAAAUUAUGCUAAGUCCUGGUGUCACCAGUUUGCUUGAUCAGUUUUGGGAACUUCAUAUCUCUUUAUCCAGGCCGAUUUGGCCCUUGCUCCAGUUGACAAUCGUGUAGAAAUCGUUUAGUACUCCAACUUUGUCAACUACAUCAUCUCCUAAUUCACCACGGUUUGGGAGUUAAUCAUCGUCGAAGUGGCUCUGUCAGACAAGUAUCGCAGUUUCUGAAUGGACGUCGUGCUCGCCGUCGUGGCCGACCAGCACAGCACCUGGCUGCCAUUUGGUGACCGUACACCGGCGCUGGCCCCACUCGUCAGGUCAUCGACGCUGUCAUGGACGCCACGACACCCCGCACUCGCCAGCACUCGUCCACUCUCUCCCUCUCUCUCGCGCGCGACUCCGACGGCGGAAACGCCAUCGCCAUUGUCGCCGAGAGCUCCGCGAGCUUCUCGCGCGCUCGUCUUUGCAUCUCACCUCUCCUCUGAGCGUCUCUAAGUCCUCCUCGAGCUCCUCCAUCUUCUCCACCUCUUGGUUGGACAAGAUCUCCCUGAGGUGAGCCACAUUUCGCGAGUUUGAAGUCGUCGGGUUCACGGCCGUCGCGACCCCGAUUCCGGCGAACCUCGCCGCUGCUCCGUUCUUGUCUUUUUUCUUCUCUCUGAGUCAUGUUAGAGUCUGCCUAGGUCUUGGUUGUGGUCUAUGCCACGCCAUUCAGGCCUUGGUGCCACCGUCGCGCAGGAACACGGCCACCGCACCGCCGCGCUCACCGCCGACGAGCACCCCGCACGUGAGUAGACUCACCGUAGCCAUUAGGGUUAGGCGUUUCUACCUAGAAAGCUCCGCGCUGUCUCACUGAUGCUUAAGCCGCCCUUCACCGACGCUCUACCGGUCGGAGAUGGCCGGUGUAAGCCGUGGUAGCUCUGCCGUGCCGCCAUGACCGACGGCGACCCCUCUCCGUCGCUCAAACCCUAGAGCACGAUGGUGCCCUUGGAUCUACCGGAGAAGCUCACCGUCGGCGAGCAUUCGCCGGCGAGUGUGUUCUCUGUUUUCUGGGUCACUGACACGCGGGUCCCACUAUCAGUGACAAUGGCUCCCUCCUCUCUUUUAUUUAAAAUCCAGAUUUCUUGCAAUCUUGCAAAAAAUCAUAUAUCCAGUUUCUGAGCUCCAAACAAAUUUUGUGAUGAUCCAUGGGAUGGCUAGUUUUUCAUAAAAAUAUAUUAUGCACCAUGUUUUCAGGGAAAAAUAAUUGUUAUGAAUUAAUCUUGUUAAUUAGGUGUAAAUUCAUAUCUUUUGAUACACUGCUCCAAUUGCUAUGAAAUUUGUAUGUUAUGCCCUAAGUAGUAUUAGAAUGCUCUGGUAAUUAUUUUAUGAUUUUUGGAGUGCUGUAUCUUUGAUGGGUAAUUUAUGUUAAUACUAUGGCUUGACUUCAUAAUUAAAUCAUAAUAAAUGUUUGAAGUUUAUGCUAGUGUUCUCCUUUGGUGUCAAGUUUGUUUAUAGAAGUAGUAACAUGUAAAUAAUCUUAAAUCUGUUGUUUGACACUAUCUAAGCAAUGUUUUUUAAUUUAUGAAAUAAGCACCUUGUUACAUGUUAAUUACUUAUCUUGAGUUUGGCAAGUUCAAUUGCUUUGAAACUUUUAUGGUAAUGUCCACAUGCCAUCCUUGUGCUUUUGUAAUUUUUGUAGAUUUUUCUGAGUACUCUUGCUGGUAUUUUGUAUUUAGGACCUUUUAUGGAAUUAAAUUAAUAAAUGCCUUGUUAUUGAAUGUUUAGGGGUCAACAUGUGAUGUUCUGGUAAUCUUAGGUUAUGCUUGUGCUUGUAAGCCAUUGGUUGGCACUAAAUAUGUUUUUGCUAUGUCAUCAAAUAAUUAAUUAAGGGUUUUAUAGCUGUUCUGGACAGCAAGAGAGUAAUCUGAUUGUUGUCUAAAGAUACUUUUGUUAGCUGACUAACUUGUCUAUAUCAAAGAUGUUGUAAACUUUGUGAACUAGCUGCAGUUCAAAUUUGGGUUCAUUUGGUCUAGUAGUUUAAAAGUUAUGCCUCUUCCAAGUUGAGUUCCAGAACAAGGUGCUCUCUGUUUUUCUGGAACAGAGUCUGGAACUUUGUUUAGUUGACCUGCUUAACUUUUGAAUCUUGCUGUGAUGUCUAAAGAUGAAAUGUAAAUAAUUUCAUAAGCUUUCCAGAAUGUCCUCAUUUAUAUUUGUUGGAUCUGUAAAGCAUUAGUUAUGAUGUUUUUCUUGAUCUGCACUGUUAUUUGGUUGUUGCUGUUAUUGGUUCAAGUUGAUGAAUCUUGUUAGAUUAGUUGGUUAUCUUUUGUGAACUUGAAAUGGGAGUUACUCCGUAAAUGAGUGUCCAGUGAAGUUCUAAUCAUGUUACCGAGCAUUCAUCAUCAUCUAGUAUGCAAACAUUCUCAUUGUCGUGCGUGCAAUAGGUGCAACGGAAGCGGUAGCCUCGUUCGAGCUCGAUCGAGUGAACCACGAAGGCCCGGAGAUCACUCAGGAGGCGGAGGUCCAGCCAGCCAGACAAGUGGAGCCCGAAGAGGAGGUCGAGUGCCCUAAUCACGAGGCAGCCUCGUUCAUGAAAGGCAAGCCUCGGAGCAUCUUAAGUCUCCUACUUUAAUUUCAAAAGCAUAUUUGAUCAUGUUAUAUCUAUUGAUGCAUUACGUAUAGGAGUUGUGAUGAAGCCCUUGCUGCAUUAUACCCUUUCCUUGUCCAGAUAUCUUAUCACUACCGGGUUGUAGAGUUAGGAUCGAGUAGCAGCUUAGCCAUGCUUUAAUCGGUAGAAGUCGGGUGAUAUCCUGUCACCUGUGCGAAAUAGGGCUGUGUCGGAUCAUGAUUGAGUAUAUGUGCUAUCGUGGGAAAGAACCUGAUUAAAAUGACUUAAGCCGGGCGGAGUUUUGCAAGGUUGUAGUAACUCCGUCUGUGGCAGCUAAGGACCGAUCAUUGUACGUCCUCUUGUCAUGUUGAACGCAUGCGUGACACUUAGUUGGCCGGAUAACUCGUUCCGACCGCGAAGUCUAGUAUUAUGACUCAGGCCUGAAGACCGGCAAGUAUAAAGUGCGCACUACCGGAGGAAGUGCGGUGUGCGAGGGGCCAUUGGCGUAAGACCAAAGGCACGUGAGUUAAAAGUCUCACUGCUGCAUGUUGGGGCAUUAGCACCGGUUGGGAAGGGCCUAUUGCCCCGGUUCCCGAGCUGGUGCUGCCCUUCCGGGACUAAAUGCCCACCCUUUAGUCCCGGUUAGGGGAACCGGGGCUAAAGCCCCCCCUUUAACACCGCUUUGUAAUACCAACCGGUGUUAAAGGGUUCUGCUAGGGUUGCCACAUUGCAGGACCCUUUAACACCUGUUGGUAUUACAAACCGGUGUUAAAAAGGGUUCUUUUUUUGUUUCAUUUCUUCGGUUCUGUUUAUUGUUUUAAUAUAAUAAUAAUAGGUUUUUCAAUACAUAUUUUAUGCUGAUACAAUAGUAUAUAUAUACAUAUAUAUUACACGCAUAUUAACCAUAUAUAAAUGAAAAUUAUAGGUUUAGCUUUAUAAUUAAGCUUUGCCUAUAAUAAAAUGAAUAGGCCACAUCAAAAAUUAAAUAAAUAUGUAAAAAGCUUUAUAUAUAUAGUUUUAUAAGUAAAACAUUCGUAACACAUAUAUACAUAGAGUUUCUUCUCCUAAUGUCUAAAACUGAUACAAAUGAUCAUCAUUGUUUGGAAUAAGAGUUUCGUUGCCGUUGAAGUGAAACUCACCGUUUGGAUUGAUCACUUGCUCGCGAAGAAAUCCUGCUAUCAUCUCUUGGAUAGCUUUGAUUCGGUCUUUUUGCAUGACCUUUUCCCUCAACCCUUCCGUCUUUAAUUUAAAAUAAAUAAAAAAGUAUUAGUUAUCUAAGUUAUUCAAUAUAAUUCAGAAGAUAAUGAAAAGAGACAUGUAACGUACUCUGAGCGUCUCUGUGGGUGUUUGAUUGACUUGUGCCAUCAUGAAUUUGCACACAUAAUAUGCACAUAGGUUGUUCCCCCUUCUUGUCUUAAACACCACUGUACGAUAUAUAUAUAUAUAUAUAAUAUUCACGACCACGACAAUAAAAAGUGUAAAAGUUAGCGAAAGUUUGAUAACUAGUAAAACUUACUUGUGGAUGAAUUAUGUUAAGCGGCGCUUUACAUCCAUUGAGAUGUUCACGGUCAAUAAAUCUUUCCUAAAUCCUAUACACAGCAAUUGUGGAUAUCGUGAACUAAUAAUUACAGAGUCAUAUUAUGAUAAUCUUCUAGCUGAGAUCGACAUUACGUACCUUUGAAUAAUGUUUACCAUUUGUCGAUAAUUUUCUUGUGGUUUUCUCAUUGAGUCAAAGAUUAUCAACCGGUUCUUGGGAAUUUCAAUGCCCAUGAGUAUCUAGUGAAAGCUGUUUACACACAGAUAUAUAUAGUCAGGCCUAUAUAUAACUAUAUAAAACUUGUCUCGAGUAAUAAUAAGUAAAAUAAAAUAUGCAUGCACUUAAAAACUAUAUAACUCACUCGAAGUUGAAGGGGAAGAGUAUUUUUUGUUUUUCUUUUUGGUUCACAAAGAACCUCAUAAGAUUGGUGCAGACUCUUUCUCAUGAGAUGCUGUCCACACUGCCUGCAGAGCCUUGAAAACAAUAUAAGGGUCAACGAACCCAAUACUAUUGUCAUUUCUCAUUCUGAGCUCUCUCAUUUGGUGUCGCAUAUAUACAUACAAAUCUUAAAUGUGUAAGGAUUAUAUACAUGUAAUUAAAGAAGUUAGAAGUUUAAUAAAAAGAAAGAAAUACUUACAGACAAAAGCAGCUGACAAGAGAUUUGUCGAGAGCGUCGAGGUGACAUAAUUGGUGCAAUUCUUCGAACUGCACGUAUAUGAGGUCAUCUACACGGAAGUAGUGAUGUUGUCUAAUAUGAACAGAAAUCCAAUUAUCUCCCCUUUUAUACGCCUCAAUGCACCACUUGUUUAUUGCAAACAUUUGUGUUCGUGCUCAUGUAAACGCUGAGGGUUGAAUAGACUCAAGCCCAGUUCAUAUUUUACCCUCCAUUGAUCGACUACCUCAGCUUUUUCAAAUUUUUGACAUCCAAUAAUGGCAGCAAUGUCUUCAAUAUUUAAACCGCUCUAUCCAAAGUAUUGCUCAAGCGAAUCUAGCUCAGACAACGCUAAGGAUUUCUUUGGCAUCAAGUCUUCAUUUGAGCCGUAUUGAUUUGGCACAAACAAAGGGGGCACCGGUUUUGAUACUUCUCCGAGCUGUGGGACCCCCUUUCCUACUCUCUUUCUAUGCUGUGAAUACUUGACCAGAGACCGCUCAUAGUCCGAAAGUGCUAGCUUUUUCUGAGCUUCCCGCUGCUUCUUUUGCCGGUCUGCCACCUUCUUCCUCAGUUCCUCUAGCUUUACAUAAAAGUACGGCUUUUCUGGGUUUAGCCGCUUUUUCCUGUCCUCCUUCAAUUUAUCAAAAAAUUGUUUCACCUCAGCUUUGGAUGCAGCAAUUACCUCCUCUUGACUCUUUUCAUAAGGUAAUUUCUUUGGUGUCUUAGCUCUCUUUGCUAAGGCAGCCUUCUUUGGAGGUGGGACCGAUGACUUCGGUCGUUCUUGGGCGGACCGCUUCUGACUACCUCGCUUUGGAGGCGAGGGGACUGUUGACGGUCCAUAAGUACCAAAUAUAAUCAUCAAAUAAAUAAAUAAAAUGAUCUAAAUACAACCAACACCUAGACUUAGGGUUUUAUCUGAUAGAAUUCCACGAGUUUUGGUGUUUGUCUAUUUCUGCAGGGGGUUAUCAGGAAAUAUGGAAGAAAGGCCCACACGUCGGGAUUACAUAGAGAUAUUAAUGUGCCGCACAAUUUUCUAUCAUCUAGAAGACUCCAGAAGCCACGGGAACAAACGAGAAGGCAAACGGGCCCAGGGGCAGGGCGCCCGCCCACCCCCCUCGGGCGCCAGCCCAGGUGUUUCCACCAAUCACAGAAUGGAGUCCACCAUUGCAAAGAUCUUGUCGAGCUGAUCGAAAUGCAUAUAUUAUUUGCUAUAUUUGGAGUUCGGAAUCAAGAGAUAUUAAUAAAAGAAGGACUCCACAUAAAAGAGCUGCGGGAUUAAUUGGGCCCAAAUCAGAUUUUUGUCCAUUAAGGCCUAUGUGCAUUUUAAUGAGAUAGGGUGCAAAGUUUAGUACCACAUCGCCUGCUCAACCAAAAACGCACAGAGGAGGAGGACUAUAUAAGCAAGGCCCCUGGCCCCUGGAGAAGACAAGAAAUUAUCAUAGAGAUUGAGGGGUGCCCUCGAAGGAAAACCUCUUCUCUAAAUAAUAUUUCUUUUUAGGCUUAGCAACCAAUGUAAAGUAGAAAUAGAUCUUCUAGUUUCUACUAGAUUGAGAGAGAUAGAGUGGAGGUGUGGCUCGGAGGAAGGCUGGCCUGUCGGUGUCUACUUCGAGUUGUACCUGCGGGAUCAAGUCUCCUAACCUGAGGCUUGCUUCUAAGAUUCUUCAGUAAUUCGACUUCUAAUUCUAGUAAGUUCUUGUUUUAUUGUUCUUCGGUUUAUGAGUUUACUUUAAUCCUCUUCCGGUUGAGUAUUAGGUAAUCACUUGCUAGCGUAAACGUGGUGUUUAGGCUAGGGUACUCAUAGAUAUCCCCUGACUAGCUGGACCGUGGUAGUAGCGAGGAACGUGACAUUUCAUAGUUACCUUUGUAUCCCAUAUCUUGUUAGCAGGACGGAUAGGUUUAUAGGUGCGGGUCGAACAUCCUUUGUGUUGUCUAGAUUCCGUGAGCCUCCCCAAUAGAAUAGUAGAUCAUCCUUAUUAAGGUUAGAACAAGACUACGGUUGUAGUCUUCUCUAUAUAUCGCUCACAUCGAGAAACAUUCUUUGUAGCCUAAAGGGAUAGUAGCAAUAGAUUUGGUUAGUCAGAUGCACCCUUUUUCCCAGUGGUAAAAAUAUAAAUACGAUAACUCUGGAUAACCUCCCGGGUGAAAUGCUCACCGAUAUCCGUGCGCUUGCGGAUCAUUUUCUAAUUGCGUUACCAAAUAUCAACAAGCAUUUCUGGCGCCGUUGCCAGGGAGAAAGACGGUUUGCUGAGAUAACUUUGAAUCUUGCUAUUAUCUUGUAUUAUACUUUUAUACUUUUAUUCUUUUAUCUUUUUUUAUGGAUAACUUAAAUUCCAUACCUAUUAUUAAAUUCUUUGCACCUUCGGAGACCAGCCAUAGAUCAUGGGAGUCAACACGUCCUGCCCCUAAUUAUGAUCUGUGUCCGGAGUUGAUUGCAAUAGGUCAAAACCAACCCUUUUCUAUAGCCGAGGUCCUAUCUUUUAAUCAAGAGGAUAAUGCACUUUUAGCUACACCUAGGGAAUCUUUUAAUCUUUUUAUAAAUUCUGGUUUAGACCUAGCCCUACAAGACCAUGUUUUUCCUAAAUGUUUUCACAUUGGUCUUAAUCAUAUAACCUUUGGUAGAGUCCUUCUUUCUUUAUCUAUUAGUAAAGGAAGGUAUGUCUUCAUUCGUGGACAUCCUUCUUGUACUAGUCUACAUAGAAAAAUCUUAGAAAUAGAGAAGGAAUCAUCUCCCAGACAAGGAAAGGAAGUUUCAAUAGCCAAUUUCCAAACAUUUCAAACCCAUAAUUCGGCUAUCCACACCUUCCUUGAGCUUAAUAAAUUCUACUAUGCUCUUUCUCUUAAACCUCCCAAUAAUCAUAUGAAUCUCUCUAGACAUCCCAUGCAUAAGAAGGAGGAUCGAGAAGAGCAACAUCAAUGGCUAGAGGGAAUUAAAAAUCCAUGUGCUAUCACCAUUGAAUGGAUAGAUAAAACAAACUUGAGAGACAAUCCUAGAGGAAUUUUAAACAUUCAUGAAGAAUCAUCCUUGGAGUUUGAGAAUGAGAGAAACAACAGUGAGCAUGGAAGUUAUUUCAUAAAUACCUCACCCAGUCCUUGCUCAUAUAAAACAUCUCUCCAAUCAAUUUGUCUCUCCAUCCUUACCAAAUUUGAGAUCUCCAACCCCCUCUUCUUUUCUAUUUAUAAAAACUUUAAAAGGGCGGUUGUCGAUGCAUAUGUCUAUAAUAAAUAUUGCAGAUCUCGUUGAGUUAAUUGAUGGUUCCCCAAGGACAAGCUUAGUGUCCUAAAACAAGCACUUCUAAUUAUUUGCAACAUUGCCUUGUGUAUUGAGCAUAUAAAGAUAAUUGUAGAAAUAUUCCUUCUGGUAUUCUUGCCACUAACCUUUCUAGGAUUGGAGCAAGAAGAUCGGAUGAAUGACAAGCGCAAGGUAUGCCCAACCAAUCAUCAUGCAACAUUAAAUUAAAUUCAUCCAAUCUUGAAUUUUGCAAAAUUCAAGCUUGGGGGAGUACUUUACAUAAAACAUCCUUAGCCAUGUUGCUAUGUUGGUUGUCCUUACCUUUGAGACAUGCUCAAUUUGUUAAAUACUAAUCACACUACUUCAUCUCCACUUGAGUAGAUCUCUAUAAAAGCCAUCAUGCUACCUUUGUUUAUCCUAGUAAGUGUUAGUUUGGAAGUACUGGACACACUUCCAAUGGCAUUUAAAUUAAGCGUGGUGCUUAGGUUAAAUAGCCUUCCUUAAUCUGAUUAGACAUGGAGUCUAGUUUGGUUACUGAAUUAAAAACUGCUUGAGUAGAUAUUGGUAUAUUUUGUUGGACUAACCCCUGUAGGAAAACUUUCAAUAUCAACCUGGGAAGUCCUGAGAUAAACUCACAUUGGAGAUGAAGAAAGUGACACAUGAAGUUUAACAAUUUGCACAAGAAAGACGUAGCUCAUAAGAGAUGAUUCAUGGAGGGUGCCACAAACACGAUGCACAACCGCUAAGAAAGGAAAGCUUCCACAAGGUGAUACUAUACCAUCACUCUUCAAUAACAUCUUAAGGUACUUGACUAUCGCUUUUAUAAGCUUCUCCUUGGUUCUAGCGUUCACAUAAAAUAAAGAGACAAACAUAUAUGAUUUGUAGCUCCAAAUUAAUCAACCCAAUUAAUUCAACAUGUUUAGUCCUUUAAUCUUUGUUCUUAGUACUACCUUCGUGAUCCCACACUCCUAAUCAUAUAAGCUAAAGUAUUGCACAUUCAGUCUUUGGAAGAUAUAAACGAAACAUAAAUAUAGAUAGAUUAUCUUUCCAUUAGGUUGAGCCAUCUGAUCUAACAAAUGUUUUAAAUGCUACACUCAUGAUCCAUCAACUUUGUCUUGCUCACUAUGCUCAAGGUUAGAGAAGAACAAAUACACUUUUGGUUCUGUUGGUGUUUUCCACCAACAGGGCCCAUGCACUUGAUCUCUGCCUUGUCUCUAUGAAUAGGUACACUUCAAACAAAACAUGGAGGAGUUUUACAACUCCAAGAUUCCAUCAAGUGAAGAACCGGGAUCUACGAGCACAAACACAAUGGAGAUCACACACUUAGUUUCCCAAAGGAAAGAUUGAAGAAACUCUGUGUCCGAGUUGGUACCUUGUACGCUCCAGCAAACUUCAUGGUGAUAGAGACUGGUAGUGAGGAGAGGGCACCCAUCAUCUUAGGGAGGCCAUUCCUAAACACCAGAGCAGUCUUCUACGCUAAUGCUGCCAAGAUCAGUCUCUACAUCAAGGGGAAGAAGGAGACUUUCCUUCAAGAACAAGACUACACAAGCUUCAGAGCAAUCCCGACAUGAACCAAGGAAGAGGACCAAUAGGAGGAACAGGAACAAGCAAAUGUGGACCGAGUCAGCUAAGAUGGUCACUGCAGCUCAAGGAGGUCAAGAUCAUCGACUCAAGUCACCUUUCUUGAUCAAGAAGAACGACCCUGGUGUUCCAAGCAUCUAGUGCACAAUCAACGGAUACUCUUUUCAGAAGACACUCUACGACACCGGAUCUAACGACAACAUAAUGGCCGCAGUCACUUAUCAGCUCCUGCAUGGAACCAUGCCCCUACAACCAAGAUACAUUGAGCUUCAGACAAUUUUCAGGUCAUUGACAUGGGAGAAGACGAGUAUGAUCCACCCACCAUCCUUGGAAGACAGUUCCUCAGCACUAUCAAAGCCAUCAUCUAUUUUGAAACCGGAGAAGUCCACAUACACUUCUCCUCUGAGAAGGUAUGCCGCUGUUUUACUGACCCUAACUAUAUAGUUGAAGACUCUAAGCAGGUCAGGACAAGAAGAAGACAAUGCAACCGCAACCAGAGGAGGCAAAUCAUCAAGGACGGAUGGGUAGACUACGAAGGAGAAGUGAUAAGUACUGAAGACAUACCACUUGAACAUAACUGUCCUGAGGAGACCGUAGCACCGAGUUAGAUGUGGAGAGAGAAGAUAGUUAUACACGAAGAAGAGGCGCCGCCGGAAUCACCGACUACGCCACCUAGCGAAUCCCAGGACGACUGAAAACACAAGGAGUCCCGUUCGGAGGACUUAAAAACACCGAACGCCUUGCCAAGAGGUAAACUUGGUAGUUAUCCUUUUCCUUUCAAUUAUUCAAUUAUAGUUUGCUUAGUUAAUCAAGUUCAUGUUAUCUUGAAAAGAAAAUAAAAAAAUGUUAAAAAGAUAGUAAGCCCCAUGUGAGUAUGCUCAUGGCAUAAAACCCAUAAGUACAUUCACUGUGGUGGCAUAAAAAUAAAAUAAAUAAGUUUUCAUUUUACAAUAAAAAAUAUAAAAAUAAUAAGUGCAUGAUCCUGCUAAAUAAAUAACAUUUAUUGAGGAGGCUCAACAUGAUAAAGGCUAGGUAUUUAUGCUAACACUUAACCAGUUCCACAAAGCUUUGUUGUCUAUUUGAGCUCCACAGGAUUUAAGAAUCAAGAAGACUAGCAGACGGAGGACAUUUUAAUCGCUGUCAGAAUGCUGCUGACUUUCAAGUACGCCUCUGCCACCUGCUAACUACAUCAAGAGAAAUUACGUCAAAAUUCAUCUUGGGGGAGAGCACCCCCAUUUAUCCCGAUAAGUAUUUCUAUCUAUCUAUCUAUCUAUCUUUAUACUUAUACUAUAUUAAAAUAUAAAUAUACAUAAACCAAGAAAAACCAAAUAAAGAUUUUAUGCUUAUAUAUAUAUCUUUGCUUAAUUUGCUAAAUAAAUAAAUAAAUAAAGUUUGCUAUGAACACUCAUGAUAAAAUCUCUCAUGGAAAUGAUGAAUAGUUGCUCUGCCAUGACUAGUUCUUAAAAUUGAAAUCUCUCUCAAGUUUAGGCAUAACUGUUAUAAUUUAAAGCUUGCUAUAAACCUAAACUUGUGGGAAGAGUACUUGAUCUAAAGUCUAAGUCGUUAACGGAUAUGAUAUGGGAAGGUUGAGCUGCUGUUUAUCUGUUCCUAGAGAUGCUAGAAUUCUGGAGAAUUUUAUCUUUGAAAAAAAUCUUUAAAAUAACACAUGAUGAGUUCCUGUAUGAUGAGAGUUUAAAAUCCUACCACAGCCAUAUAUACAUGCUUGCUAGACUUUGAGCCACAUAUUUACUUUUUACUGCCUAUGAGCAUUGAGUGUGGUCAAGCUGUGUAGACCCUUAGGAGCUUGUCAUGUGGUUAAAAUUAAGAUUCACUUGCACGUUCACUCAUACAUGCUACUUCUACUCCGGAAGUACCAUCCACAUGUAUCCACUCAUUUCCAUCUCCACAUUCACCCAAAAUUAUUCUACUCCUAAUCCGGGAGAGAAUAGCCAAAAACAUUUUCCUAUCCCUGUUAUUCCCUGUGAAAUACAUGCUCGAGUUAUGUUGGUUACUACCACUUGCUAUAUUAUUUAAGGAGAUGAGUGCUCUAAAAAAGAAAAAAAAUAUAUACGAGGAAAUAAAAAGGGGCAAGUGCCCGGAACCUCGAAGAAAAGAAAAAAAGGUGAGACGAGAGGUAAAAAUGGACAAGUGUCCGACAGUAGAAUUAGGGGUACAAGAUACCCGCCUGAGAGGAAAUAAAAUAUAGAGCAUCUCAUUCUCCUCAAAAAGCUUCAAAGUGCAAGAAAGGUAUGUAUCCCCUCAAACGAGCAAAAGUAGAAUUAGACUUUCACCAUUGUUAUCACCAUCAUCACCAUACACCAUUCAUUCGCCACACAUGCACAUCUUGAUUUGACUUAUUGACUUGUUUCUCUGGAUCCAUGGUUUGACUAUGCAAUAAAUGUCUUGUAAGUAUGUAUUAGCUGUCUCCCACCUAUGAGCUCCAGAUAUCAGAACCUUAUUAGAGUAGGGUGAGAGAGAAGGCAAUAUCACUAUGCAUUAUACCAAAAAUACCACAUACUUUGAGAGAAGGCAUAUACCAUUACUGCCUUGGUAAGGAUCCAGAAAUACCACAAAAGAGAGAUUUGAGAGAGUCAUAUAAGGAAUCUCUGAGUUUUAUUUGAAAAUCUACAAAAACUCCAGAGCUAUAGCUGAUCAAGAAUAAGAGACAUGGCGCUUGACUUGACCGUUCUAUCUUUUAACUGCUCAAGACACAAGUGACGGUUACAAGCCCCAUGGUGAAAGGUAAAAUGAGUAAGUUUUAAGUCUUAACAGUUUAUUCUAACUCAGAGAUGAGAUCUUGCUUGAAUGCGUGUGUACUUUUAAGGCAUGAAACCACUGCAGAAACUCUUGAGUUCAUCCUUGCUCAGGGACGAGCAAGAGGUAAGCUUGGGGGAGUUGUUGACGGUCCAUAAGUACCAAAUAUAAUCAUCAAAUAAAUAAAUAAAAGGAUCUAAAUACAACCAACACCUAGACUUAGGGUUUUAUCUGAUAGAAUUCUACGAGUUUUGGUGUUUGUCUAUUUCUACAGGGGGUUAUCAGGAAAUAUGAAAGAAAGGCCCACACGUUGGGAUUACAUAGAGAUAUUAAUGUGCCGCACAAUUUUCUAUCAUCUAGAAGACUCCAGAAGCCACGGGAACAAACGAGAAGGCAAACCCCCCUUUGCGCCCAGGUGUUUCCACCAAUCACAGAAUGGAGUCCACCAUUGCAAAGAUCUCGCCGAGCUGAUCGAAAUGCAUAUAUUAUUUGCUAUAUUUGGAGUUCGGAAUCAAGAGAUAUUAAUAAAAGGACUCCACAUAAAAGAGCUGCGGGAUUAAUUGGGCCCAAAUCAGAUUUUUGUCCAUUAAGGCCUAUGUGCAUUUUAAUGAGAUAGGGUGCAAAGUUUAGUACCACAUCGCCUGCUGAACCAAAAACGCACAGAGGAGGAGGACUAUAUAAGCAAGGCCCCUGGCCCCUGGAGAAGACAAGAAAUUAUCAUAGAGAUUGAGGGGUGCCCUCGAAGGAAAACCUCUUCUCUAAAUAAUAUUUCUUUUUAGGCUUAGCAACCAAUGUAAAGUAGAAAUAGAUCUUCUAGUUUCUACUAGAUUGAGAGAGAUAGAGUGGAGGUGUGGAUCGGAGGAAGGCCAGCCUGUCGGUGUCUACUUCGAGUUGUACCUGCGGGAUCAAGUCUCCUAACCCGAGGCUUGCUUCUAAGAUUCUUCAGUAAUUCGACUUCUAAUUCUAGUAAGUUCUUGUUUUAUUGUUCUUUGGUUUAUGAGUUUACUUUAAUCCUCUGCCGGUUGAGUAUUAGAGUAAUCACUUGCUAGCGUAAACGUAGUGUUUAGGCUAGGGUACUCAUAGAUAUCUCCUGGCUAGCUGGACCGUGGUAGUAGCGAGGAACAUGACAUUUCCUAGUUACCUUUGUAUCCCAUAUCUUGUUAGCAGGACGGGUAGGUUUAUAGGUGCGGGUCGAACAUCCUUUGUGUUGUCUAGAUUCCGUGAGCCUCCCCAAUAGAACAGUAGAUCAUCCUUAUUAAGGUUAGAACGAGACUACGGUUGUAGUCUUCUCUAUAUAUCGCUCACAUCGAGAAACAUUCUUUGUAGCCUAAAGGGAUAGUAGCAAUAGAUUUGGUUAGUGAGAUGCACCCUUUCUCCCAGUGGUAAAAAUAUAAAUACGAUAACUCUGGAUAACCUCCCGGGUGAAAUGCUCACCGAUAUCCGUGCGCUUGCGGAUCAUUUUCUAAUUGCGUUACCAAAUAUCAACAAGGACUGACCGUGUACUCUUUGGAGAGGGCGGUGCAAGCGAUGGAGGUGGUGGGGCCGAUCUUUUCGGUGUUGGAGAACGCGGUGGAGGAGUUGGAGACCUCGGUGGAGGAGGUGGAGACCGUGGUGGAGGCGGCAGCGGGGUCGGUGUGGCCGCCGCAGGUGUUGGAGGAGAUCCAGCAUUGUCACCGCCCGCAGCACUAUGAUGCGCUGGGGAAAGAACUGGACUUAGGCUGGGGGAGUCCCUACAAAGAAAACAAUUACAAGUUUUGUGAGCAAACUUUUUUUAAUUUCAAUACAUAAUAAAUAAUAUAAGAAGUAACAUCACGCACAAACCUAUGUUGAGGAAUAAUUAUGAAGCGCUUGCGCCAACAAAUAAAUGUCUUCUCAGCUUCACCAAAGGUCUUCUCUCCGUCUCCCCCUUCUAUUUCUAGAGGCACAUUGCCACAACCUUCCUCAACCCUAUCAACCAAGACACUAGCAUAUCCACCAGGUACUGGUCGAUUAUGGAUUCUUGGAGUUCUCGUUCGGUCGAUAGGGUUGACAACAGUGAUAGCCACCUUUUUUUGUUGCAUUCCCAUCUGGUACAUGCAGCUCACAGGUAGUAAAAGCCUCUGUGACAUCAUCCACGGGGAAGUGUAGCUUCGUGGCAUCCUGAAUAGUUGGUACUUCCGUGGAUGCGCAGCUGCUUUUCAACUUGCCUGGGGGGCUAACAUUGACCUUAGGCUGUGAUGUACCUUGCCCUUUCGUCAUUUGACUAAGUGCUACUUGCACUUGCCUUUGAAUCUCCGCCUGCGUGCAUUCUUCAUGAGCUUUCUCGCGCUCUUCUGACUGUAGAACAAAGGCUUCCAGCUAGCGGAUCGGCUCUGCCUCCACAUCCUUCUUUCUCUGGCGGCUUCUGUAGGUAUCUUGAUCAGCUUGGAAUGAUUGCAGCCACGAAACUGCCCCAUAGUCUCUCGUACGCCCACCGUGCUCAGGAUUUUCAAGCGCAUAGGUGAGUUCAUCCUUCUCCCUGUUAGGUGUUGAUAUUUGGGAAUGCAAUAAGGAAUUGAUCUGCAAGUGCACGGAUAUCGGUGAGCACUUAACCCGGGAGGUUAUCCAGAGUAUCGUAUUUAUUUUUUUACCACUAGGAGAAAGAGUGUAUCUGACUAACCCGGUCUAUUACUACUAACCCUUUAGGCAACAAAGAAUGUUUCUCAAUGUGAGUGAUAAAUAGAGAAGACUGCAACCGUAGUCUCCUUCUAACCUUGGUAAGGAUGAUCUACUGUUCUAUUGGGGAGGCUAACGGAAUCUAGACACCACAAAGGAUGUUCAACCCGCACCUAUAAACCCUAUCCUUCCGGCUAACGAGAUAUGGUCUGCAAAUGUAACUCGGAAUUGUCACGUUCCUCGCUACUACCACGGUCUAGCUAGUCAGGGAAUAUCUAUGAGUACCCUAGCCUAAACACCACGUUUACGCCAGCAAUUGUUGGGUAUUCUUAACAUCGUUACCAAAAGUAGACUAAGUUCUCUAAAUCUUGUAACGGUGCCAAAAAUGCCAAACCUAUCCCUCACACCACUUAAGCCAAGUUGUCAUCCCCAGCAUGAUAUAAGAGAUGCGGUAUUGAAAUAUGCAAUUGCUCUUCUAAAUAAAUAAUGAAUGGGAUCUGCAAGCGCACAGAUUAAUACCGAUGUAGCAUUUUAACCGGGAAGUAUUCCAGGUAUCGUUAUUUAUAUUUUUACCACUGGGAAGGGAUUAGCAAUCAUCAAUAGUGAUUAUAGAAUAGAAUAUGAGAUUGAGUAUCUAUCAUUGCAUGUAUAAUUGAGAACAUUAUAUCUAACUCUUCAUACAGGGAUAAGUGUCACAUAAAAGAUAUAUGAAAUAAUGAAUAGUGAUAAGGAUAACUAAUCUGAUAUAGCCACAUAAUAAAUAUGAUAAGCACCUCAAUUAGAUACUCUAGAAAGUCAUUAGCAUGGUAUUAGAACAAACUACAAGAAUAUUCCCUAAGUUAUUCUCAACUAUAUAGUCUAGCAUUAUCAUAAUUAGUGCAAGCAUACUUAGCAAUCAUUGUGAGACAAGACUACGCCCAUGCAUAGUGAUAUUAGCAAGGAAUAUGAGAAACAUAGCAAUCACUCCCCUGUAAUCAUGUUGCUCUGCCAGCCCAAUAAACGAGAGGGGGACUAUAUAAGAAUCAAUGAAGCUGUCACUAUCACGAACCACCCCACGAUCUGGCAUAUUGGGUACAAUCGUAGAUAAAUACGGUAUAAGCACCACUCCUACACAAUAUCUAUCAUUUACCCAUGGAUCCGAUGGAUAAACGCUAUACGAUCCUAAGCAUGUAUCUAGAUCCAAUCUAACUAAGCCAAGUACAUAACUAUGAUAAACUAAGAACAAUAUAAUCUUGAAUAUAAGCAAGUUGAGCAAAGUCAUAAGCAAUAUAUUGAAGUAGAACAAAGUCAUAUUCAUAAUAUUGAAGAACAAAGAUAAUUAGAAAGCAAUUAGAAACACAAUUAGAGAAUUACCAAGAAUCCUCCAGUCAGAUCCGAAAACCAAUCGAAGAUUGACUCCUUCUAGUUCUAAUCCUAUGUAGCUAUGCUAAUCUAGAUAUCUAAUUGAUGUGGUGGCUCUAAUCUUGAUCAGAGGCUUCUUCUCCCUUGAAGAACAAUGAAUUAGGGUCGAGAGACUCUCUCCUCCAGGGGCCAGGGGGUCUGGUUUUAUAGACCCUUCAAGCAAAUAUGGGCCAUUGGAUCAAACCGACAUAGAUUGUAUGGUUUAGAUUCAUCCUUUAGGUCGGUGGCGGUCUCCCACGAAGCAGAGUCCUGAUUGGACUCCAGAGGUGGGCGGGCGCCCUGUCUCUAGCCCCGUUUUGCCUCCGCUUCGGUCUCGUGGCUUCUGGAGUCUUCUAGAUGUAAGAUAAUUGCGCGGCACGUUAAUAUCUCUAUGUAAUCCCGACGUGUGGGCCUUUCUUCCAUAUUUCCAGAUAACCCCCUGCAGAAAUAGAGAAACACCAAAACUCGUGGAAUUCUGUUAGAUAAAACCCUAAGUCUCGAUGUUGAUUUCAUUUGGAUCCUUUUCUUUGUUUAUUUGAUAAUUAAAGUUGAUACUUAAGGACCGUCAACAAACUCCCCCAAGCUUACCUCUUGCUCGUCCCUGAGCAAGGAUAGACUCAGCUAUGGAUCAUAAGUUGUUGCAAUAUCUUUAAAAAAAUUGACGGUACACAUGCUUUUUAAAUAAGAUCUUAUCCCUGAGUUAGAGUAAACUGUCAAGACUUAAAACUUACUUACUUUACCUUUCACCAUGGGACUUGUAACCGUCACUUUUGUCUUAAGAGGUUAAAAGAUAGAACAGUCUAGUCAAGUGCCAUGUCUCUUAUUCUUGAUCAGCUAAAGCUCUGGGGUUUUUUUAGAUUUUCAAAUAAAACUCAGAGAUUCCUUGUAUGAUUCUCUCAUAUCUCUCUUUUGUGGUAUUUCUGGAUUCUUACCAGGGCAGUGAUGGUAUAUGCCUUCUCUCAGAAAUAUGUAGUAUUUGUGGUAUGAGGCAUAGUAACAUUGCCUUCUCUCUCACCCUACUCUAAUAAGGCUUUAAUAUCUGGAGCUCAUAGGUGGGAGAUAAAGUAUACAUACUUACAAGACAUUUAUUGCAUAGUCAAACCAUGUAUCCAAAGAAACAAGCCAAUAAGUUUAAUCAAGAUGUGCAUGUGUGGCGAAUGAAUGGUGUAUGGUGAUGAUGGUGAUAACAAUUGUCACAGAACCGACCAAAUUAUAAGAGUUCAAGUGCAGAAACAAUCGUCAAACAAUCAAGUUUCUAAACUUGAGCCCAUAUAAUCCCGGUAGUCAAUCGAAAUCACGAAGGACUUCAAACCAACUCGCAACAAACCAAGAUCGUAAUAGUUCAGCAUAAACACAACGAAUGUUACAUAGUCAUUCAUUGCCGACGAAGCGGCACCACAUCGGAAUCAUUAAGUUAUUACAACCCAAGUUUGAAGUAGCGGAAGCAAAAUAGUUACACACACUUGUUCAAAGUUCAGUUCACAAGUUUUGUUACUGCCAGAGUCUAUGCCAUUCUUCCAAAAGCAUCAUAGACGAGAAGAGUAGAGAACCGUGCCCAACGGUUAGUCCUCAUCCCCAGCGGGAUGGAGACAGGUCUUGCAGAAACCGUCAUAGAAGAUAUCAUCUGCAACAGGUGGGAAUAAACCCUGAGUACGAGGAUGUACUCAGCUAGACUUACCCGUCUAGUAAAACACAAAAGACACCAAGGAUCAUGCAAGGCUAAAUCUUAAGUGGAGCUGGUUGACUCACCUUUUGCCAAAAGCUUAACUUACAACUAAGUUAUUUUAAGAGCAUCAUAUUUAUUUAUCAUCAGCCUACCACUAGAUUAGCACCUGUACUACAACACAUCACUUGAUUAUUACAAACAAUAUCAACCAUAUCAAAUUCAUCAUAUGUUCUUCUUGCUAUCAUCAUUAUCACGAACCAACAUCAUUAGUGAAUGCUACGUUUGCCGCUGCUCUGUCAAGUUCUCACUAACCGGGAGAGACGGCGAUUCGAAUCGAAUUCCUAUCCAGCUGGAGGGUUAUUCCUAGCACUCACCCAAGCAUCCCCUGCCGGAGAGCCAAAGGGUCACCUUUGGUACGACUCAGGAAUCGCGUCUCCGAUCAGCGCCGCACUCCCAGGGCUACCACUCUGCCAGGGAGGUCAGAAAUUUUAACUCACCUGCCUUUGGACUUACGCCAAUGGUCCCCCGCACACCGCACUUCCUCCGGUAGUGCGCACUUUAUACUUGCCGGUCUUCCGGCCUGAGUCUUACUACUCGGCUUCGCGGUCGGAACGAGUUAUCCGGCCAACUAAGUGUCAGGCAUGCGUUCAACAUGAUAAGAGGACGUACAACGAUCGGUCCUUAGCUGCCACAGACGGAGUUACUACACACUUGCAAAACUCCGCCCGGCUUAAGUCAAUUUAACCAGGUUCCAUCCACGAUAGCACAUAUAGACCAUCGUGACCCGACACAACCCUAUAUCGCGCGGAUGACAGGAUAUCACCCGACUUCUACCGAUUAAAGUAUAGCUAAGCUGCUACUCGAACCUAACUCUACAACCAGGGAGAGUGAGUUAUCUGGACAAGGAUAGAGUAGAAUGCAGCAACAGUUUCGUCACAACUCCUAUACGUAAUGCAUCAAUAGAUAUAACGUAUUAAGUAAACUUUUCGAAAAUAAGGGGAGACUUAGAAUGCUCUGGGGCUUGCCUUUCACGAACGAUGCCGGCUCGUGAUUUGGGCACUCAACUUCUUCUUCGGGCUCCUCGAGUCCGGCUUGCUGGACCUCCACCUCCUGGCUACCCUCCUGACCUUCGGGGUUCGCUUGGAGCUCGAAGGAAACUGCCACGUCCGGUGCACCUAUUGCAUGCUCGAACAAUAAGAAGAUGCACAUGCUAAAGAUGAAUGCUUAACAACACAAGCAACUCACUGGACAUUCAUUUACGGAGCAAAAGUUAUAUAAGCUCACACAAGUAAACAAGUCAAUGCAACCCAAGACUUGUCAUGCUACUAAAACAGCAAGUAACACAAAACAAGCAUACUCAGAAAAUAAAUCAUAAUUAUAGAUAGACAGGUCCAACAAACAUGAGUAAGGACAUUCUGGAAAGCUUAUGAAAUUGUCUACAAUUCAUCUUUAGACAUGACAGCAAGAUUCAUACUUAAAACUGGUCAUUUAAACAAAGUUCCAGGUUCUGUCCCAGAAAAACAGAGAACACCUAUUUCUGGAACCCAACUUGGAACAUCUAUAACUUUUAAACUACUUGGCCAAUUGACCUCAAAUUUAAACCACAGCUGGCUCUAUAAGUUUAGAACAACUUUGAUUUAGACAAGUUUCACAGAAAGUCAAGUUAUCCUUAAGCAAAGUUAAAUUGCUCACUUGCUGUCCAGAACAGCAUUUAACCCUAUAGUUAAUUAUUUAAUGACAUGAUCAAAACACAAACCAUGCCAACUACCUAGCCUAAGAGCACAAACAUAUCACAAAGUUACCAGAUCAUCAGAUGAAAACCCCAAAACAUUUACUUAACAAGGUAUUUAUUAAUUAACUCCAAAUAAGAGCAUAUUUACAAGAUAUUAGUUAAAGUGCUCAGAAAAAUCUACAAAAAUUACAGAGGUACAGGUAUAACAUCAGAUCAACACCAUAAAAAUUUCAGGACCAUUGCACAUGCCAAGUUAAAGAUAUAUAUUUAACUUGUACCAAGGUGUUUAUUUUCUAAAUUCCAAAACAUGACUUAUAUGAUGCCAAACAUCAGAUUUCAGAUUAUUUACAUCUUAGGAAUACCAUAAACAAGUUUACCACCAAAAUAAAACACCAGCAUAAGCACCAUUUGUUUUAUAUGAUUUAAUUAAAGAAACAAGCCAUAUUUAAAACACAAAUUACAUAUCACAACAGCAGUGCUCCAAAAAUCAUGAAAUAAUUAUCAGAGCACUCUAAUGCCAUGCAAAGACCACCAUAAAAUGUUCAGAGCAAACUAAGCAGUAUAACAAGAGAUAUGCAUUUAACCAAGAAUAACAAGAUUAAAUUCCUUAAUAAAUAAUUUCUCAGAAAACAUGAUUCAUUUUAUAUUUUUAUUAAAUACUAGCCAUCUCAAGAAACAACACAAAAUUUGUUUCACAAUUUUUGGAUCUCAGAAACAGGAGAUAUGAUUUUUGCAAGAAAGCCAAAAAUCAGGAUUUUGAAUAAAAGAAAAGGAGGGAAAGAGAGAGUCGCUGACAGUGGGUCCCAUCUGUCAGGCUCUUCUUCCUCACGGCCGAGGCGACUUUCGCCGGCGAUUUCUCCGCGACGGCGAGGUCUCCGGCCAAACCCAGGGCAUCGACGUGAUCCCCGAACCCUAACGACUCGAUUGACCCCACUUUUGCCACGGCGGAGCCACCGGAAGGGGCUCACCGUCGGCAAUGGCGGCUCGGCAGAGGUGCUCGGCGUUACGCCGGAGCCCUCAGGCCGGUAGAGCGUGACCUAAGGCCUUCUACAGCACCAACGGACUACGGCGAAGCUUCCUAGGUACGCGGCUUGGCCUGGAUCCCCGUGGAACGCGCUGGCCACGAGAGCACCCAACUCCGGCGGAAGCACGGCGGCGCUGCGCACCGUGUCCGGCGACGGAGAAGCCGGUAGAGCGUCCACCAGGUGGCGCAAAAGCUCGCUAAGGACCUAAGCUACCUCUAGGACCUAACCAAAGACGAUGAGAAACUUCACAGAGCUCGACAUUGAGUUCGCCGGAGAAGAAGGUCACGGCGGACCGAUUUGGGGGGAAGAAGGGAAUGUCGGCUCACCGGUGGGUUUCUCAGCGAGUUAGAGGGUGGAGCUUGGAGAGCGGCUCACGGCGGAGCUUUGGGUGGAGUUUGGUGGACGGAGACGUAGAGAGGAGCGCACACGAGCUUGCCGGAGUGAGCUCGCUGCGGACGAGUUUCAGGCGAGAGAGGGCGAGGCAGAGCGAAGUGGACGCGUCCACUCGCUCGGGGCGUCGCCGUGGAGGUCAUGCACGCGACGGAAGCUGACAAGCGGGGCCAAACGCGGCGUACGGGCGACAAAUGGCGACGGAGCUCUGCCGGCGGUCGGCCACGUCGACGAGGUCAGUUCCGAUUCAGAAGAAACGAUGCUUUUCUGACAGAGCCACUUCACCGACGAUUAUCUCCCAAACCAGGGCGAAUUAGGUGAUGGCGUAGUUGACAAACUUGGAGUACUAGGCGAGAUCUACAACUUUGUCAACUAGAGCAAAGGCCAGAUCGGCCUGGAUUGAAAGAUAUAGAGUUUCCAAAACCGAUCGAGCAAACUGCAAAGCACCCAGGACUUAGAAAAUUUUCUAAGUGUUGAAAACAGCCCCAAAUCUGCCUUGUGGGCCACUUUUGAGCUAUUUGUGAUCAUUUUCAUGAGAUGGCCAUAAAACAACUUUUGUUCCUUAUAAAAUUUGCUACAACUUUGCUGUAGAAAGUUUUGACAUGCAAACAUUUAUGAAACACUUUUUAAAAGCCUAAGCAAAAGAGGUUUCUAGGGCCUAUUUUUAUAAGUAUGACUUAGAAGCAUAUUUUGGAAAAGUGACCAACAUGAACAUUGUUCCCAAGAUCAAGUUAAGCAUAGAUAAACUAAUUACCAAGGCAUUAAGCACAAACACAAGCAUUGUUCACUCAAACAUAAGCAUAGGAAGCCUAUUUAAGCAAUUUAAAACACAUUUUUGCAUAGAAUGACAUGGCUCAAGAUGGAUGAUGAUCAUGAUAUGCUUUGAGUAAAUGAUGAUGCUCAUGCUAUGCACAUGCUUGAUGCAACCAUAACACUGGGGUGUUACAGCCCUCCCCCCUUACAAAAAUCUCGUCCCGAGAUUUGAAAGCUUACUGAUUUUCGAAGAAGGUUUUGUAAACUUCUUUUAAAUAAUCCUCCGUCUCCCAAGUGGCAUCUUCUUCCCCGUGGUUACUCCACAACACUUUGUAGAGCUUAACCACACGAUUACGCGUCUCCCGUUCCUUGCGAUCAAGAAUCACUAUGGGUUUCUCCUCAUACACCAAGUCUGACUUCAACUUGAUAUCUCGAAUUUCCACUCGUUCCUCCGGUACACGAAGGCACUUCUUCAAUUGUGAUACGUGGAAGACAGGAAAAAUGGCUCGAAGCGCAACUGGGAGUUGAACUUUGUAUGCCACAUUCCCUUUAUUUUCGAGAAUCUGAUAAGGUCCCAUAUAGCGAGGUGCAAGCUUUCGCUUGACUCUGAACCUUUGUACACCCUUCAUCGGAGACACCUUGAUGUACACGUGGUCACCAACUGAAAACUCAAUCGGCUUCCUUCUCUUGUCGGCAUAACUUUUCUGACGAGCUUGAGCAGCUUCCAGGUGUUGCUGGAUAACACGGACUUUCUGCUCUGCUUCGUUCACAAAAUCGAUGCCGUAGUACCUUCGCUCUCCAGCUUCUACCCAAUUCAACGGGGUUCGACACUUCCGACCGUACAAGGCUUCAAAUGGAGCCAUCUUGAUACUCUCCUGAUAACUAUUGUUGUAGGAGAACUCAGCUAAUGGCAACCACUUAACCCAAGAACCUUUUGAUGAGAGAGCACAUGCCCUCAACAUAUCUUCAAGGAUCUGGUUAACUCGUUUAGUUUGACCAGCUGUUUGGGGAUGAUAAGCAGAGCUGCGGACCAAGUGAGUACCAAUUUGCUCAUGCAGACAUUCCCAAAAACGAGCAGUGAACUGUGGUCCACGAUCAGAUAUGAUUGUUCGAGGCACACCAUACUGACGAACAAUGUGCUCGAAAUACAACUUCGCAUACUGAUGGGGGCGAUAGUCAGUUUGGACUGGAAUAAAUCGAGCAACCUUGGUCAAACGAUCCACAAUCACCCAGAUAGAGUCAUAACCCUUAACAGAAGUUGGGAGUCCACUGAUGAAAUCCAUGCUGACUUCUUCCCAUUUCCAACCAGGAAUUGGAAAGGGUUGAAGCAAACCAGCUUUCAUGUGAACAGCCUUCACGCGACAACAAUUGUCACAACGAGCGACAAAAGCAGCUAUCUCCUUUUUCAUCUUUGUCCACCAAAACAAAGGUUUCAGAUCCUAAUACAUCUUGCUACUACCAGGAUGGAUAGACAAUUUGGAUGAAUGAGCUUCAGAUAGGAUCUGAUUUCGCAGCUCGCGGUCUUUUGGGACCACAAGUCGAUCCUUGAACCAAAGGAUUCCGUUUUCAUCAACCCGGAAAUGCUUGGUUUCUUCUUCCUUCAUCUUCCUCUUGAUAUGGGGGAUGCCUACAUCUGUCCGCUGUAGUUCGAUGACUCGAUUGCGAAUGGUACUUUCCAGAGAAAUCUGGUUGAGCACAAGCGGAUGCAUAAGAUGUGACAACAACGGAUCUUCCACUUGGAUUGAGUGACAGUGCGCUUUCCGACUCAAGGCAUCCGCCACCACGUUUGCCUUGCCCGGAUGAUAGUGCACUUGGAGAUUAUAAUCUUUAAUCAACUCAAGCCACCUUCGCUGCCGCAUGUUCAGUUCAGGUUGAGUGAAGAUAUACUUGAGGCUCUUAUGAUCGGUGUAAAUAUUACACAGAUUACCCAGCAGAUAAUGCCUCCAGAUUUUCAAAGCAUGAACAACUGCUGCCAAUUCUAAGUCAUGAGUGGGGUAAUUGACCUCAUGCUUUCGAAGUUGGCGCGAGGCAUACGCGAUAACGCGACCUUCCUGCAUCAACACACAGCCUAAACCAAUGCCUGAUGCGUCACAAAAGACAUCGAAAGGCUUCUCGAUAUCAGGUUGAGCUAGGACAGGAGCUGAUGUCAACAGCGUCCUCAACUUGUGGAAUGCCUCUUCACACUCAGGUGUCCACACAAACUUUUCAUCUUUCUGAAGUAGACGAGUCAUAGGCUUGGAUAUUUUGGAGAACUCCGGAAUGAAUCGACGGUAAUAUCCAGCAAGACCAAGAAAACUCCGAACCUCGUGAAUCGAAGUUGGAACUUUCCAAUCCAGCACUUCUUGCACCUUAGCCGGAUCCACUGAUAUGCCUUCCUCAGAUAAGACAUGGCCUAAGAAAGGUACUUUCUUUAGCCAAAACUCGCAUUUGCUAAACUUUGCAUAAAGUUGAUGUUCGCGCAAACGCGACAACACUACACGCAGAUGCUCUGCAUGCUCCUCUUCAUUGCAAGAAUAUACCAAGAUAUCAUCAAUGAAGACCACUACAAACUUGUCCAAUUCGGGCAUGAACACCGAAUUCAUAAGAUACAUGAAAUGAGCAGGUGCAUUCGUAAGCUCGAAGGACAUGACAAGGUACUCAUACAACCCAUACCUUGUCGAGAAAGCUGUCUUAGGCACAUCCUCAGGACGGAUCUUGAUCUGAUGGUACCCAGAUCACAAAUCAAUCUUGGAGAAUACCUUAGCUUUAGACAACUGAUCAAACAAGAUAUCAAUGCGAGGAAGAGGGUAUUUGUUCUUGAUAGUCACCGCAUUUAGGGGACGAUAGUCCACACACAUGAGCAAAGAUUGAUCCUUCUUCUUCACAAAGAUAGCCGGACAACCCCAAGGAGAAGAACUAGGACGAAUAAGACCCUUCUUCAACAACUCAUUAAGUUGGGUCUUAAGCUCAGCUAACUCAUUGGGUGGCAUUCUAUAAGGUCUUCUAGAGAUAGGAGCGGUGCGUGGAAUCAAUUCAAUCUUGAACUCCACAUCCCGAUCCGGAGGAAGCCCGGGUAGAUCAUCAGGAAAAACAUCCAGAAACUCACACACCACCGGAAUAUCCUGAAUAGCCUUAGAUGUAACUGCAUUCACAGUGCUACGGAUUUGAAUAUCAUGAGGGAGUUGCACUAGAAAUGCCUCCUUGGUAUUUGGGUCUUUCAACAUCACUACACGAGUGGUGGUGUCUAUAAGAACUCCAUUACCACUCAUCCACUUCAUCCCCAGAAUUACAUCUAUGCCCACACCGGGUAGAACAACCAGAUCAGCAAGAAACUGACGGCCUCCUAUCUCCAGAGUUGCCCCCAAAACCACUUGAUUGGUGGAAAUAUCAUUUCCCACAGCACUAAUACAAUAACUGCCCUUAUCAAGUGUGAUGGUCUUGAUGCUAUGCUUAGAUACAAAUUCAGAACUCACAAAAGAAUGCGAUGCUCCAGAAUCAAAAAGCACGAGUGCAUCAUGUUGAUUAACCAGAAACUUACCAGCCGUGACUACCUCACCAGCAGGGAUUGAUUCCAUAGUUGUGUAAUGAACACGCCCCUGACGGACAUUCCCCUGGUUGCCCUUCUUUGGCGGGUAAGGACAGUUGCUCUGCCAAUGCCCUGUCUGAUUGCAGUUCCAGCACGGACGGUUGGCAGGUGGAGUCUUGGCAUAGUUGGGACACGUGUUGCCCCUAGGAAGAGCAAUAGAGUACCCCUUGCGAAAACCCGUCUUUGCCUGAUUCUUCUUCACCGGAGGGCGGUAUCGCUGGUUGGGGGUUGGAGCAUGGAAUGGUGGCUUAGCUACCACUGGAGCCUUGGACUGAGAUGACCCAGCACUGGCCUCAAAAGCCCUCUUGCGAGUCUUGGUCGCAGUGUACACAGUGUUAUAGUUCUCUUGGGUGAGAGCAUCACUGACAAACUCAUUGAAAGUUGCACACUUAGUGCGGCCCAUAGUCUUCAGCAAUUUGGGACCCAAACCCCGCUUGAAACUAGCGAUCUUUUUCGUCUCCGUGUUCACAAACUCAGGAGCAUACCUAGACAAGUGAUUGAAAGCAUGCAAAUAUUCCUUCAGAGUCUUGUUGCCCUGAGUCAACUGCAUGAACUUGGUGUGCUUCAUCUCCAUAACACCCGGAGGAAUGAAAUGCCCUUUGAAAGCCUCACGGAAAAGAUUCCAAUCAAUCACCGUGUCAGCCGGUAGAGCUUCCCGGUACUGAUUCCACCAGAUGCCUGCCGGUCCUUGCAGUUGGUGAGCUGCAUACUCCGCCUUCAAACCUUCAGUCAAACGAAGUAGGCGAAACUUUUGUUCCACCAUAUUCAGCCACUCUUCAGCUUGAAGGGGUUCUUCAGCUUCUCUGAAAGGUGGGGGCUUCGUAUCCAUGAAGUCCUUGAAGCUACUGUACUGGUUAGGAGCUGGCCCUUCCUGUGCAUUACGGCCACCCUGAUUUGCCAUACGAUUUAUGGUUUCAGUGAGCAUCCUCUGAUUUUCCACCAUCAUUUGCAUCAGCUCAGCUGGAUUUGGUGGUGGAGGAGGAGGGGGCGGAUUCAUGUUUGCACGCUGUUCCGCACCUCGGGUGCCACGAGACAUCUGUAAAGACACAGUCAGUGAGCAUUGAUGAUGACAAGAUUUGCCGUCGAAGAACUUAUAUUCAUGCCUGAAAGUAUUCGAGAGAAUAGCUUUACAGAAAGGCACAACAAUUCCAUUCCACAAAACAACAUCACCAAUCCAACACAUGACAUAUAUAUCCGCAAUACGCACCACAACGGAAAACAUCGGCAUAAUAUAACGAUCAUAAAGACUGCACAUAGGGUCCAUGAAGUUAUUACACCAUUACAGUACAUGCCAUGAGUCAAGGUCAAAGUUUCGGAUUACAACAUGGUUACAAAAGCACCACAGCCGACUGGCACACAACAAAAGAUCCUGGCAGCAACUACCCACUACUCCCUACACUCCAGGCUCGUCGUCCAAGUCAGCGUCGAAGAUCGCCUCUCCAUCCUCGUCGCUAACCGGCUCAAGCUCCUCGUCCUCCACGUCCUCGUGUAAAGGUGGUGCAGCCGCUGCUGGUCCAUCGAUCUCCAUACCAUCAUCCUCGGCCACAAUCACCUGAGGUCCCACCUCUGGAUACACUGGGAUAGGGCGAGGAAUAGGGUGUAGCAAGUUGUUGAGACGGUGAAUCUCCACAAGACCAGCCUCAAUCUGAUCCUGUAGAUAGUUCUCCCGCUCAAGCGACUGAACUCGGUGCAUCUCCCAUGCUUGGCGCCUGUUCUCCAACACGCGGAGUGCAGUAUCCCUCUCACGGGUGAGCUGCACCAAGCGCUCCUGCAAGGUCUCCUUCUCUCUAGCUAACUGGCUCAUCUGAUCCUGCUUAUGAUCUCUCUCUCUCUGAUGGCCUUCACCCACUGCUGCCUCCGAUACUCCGCAAUGUCUUCCCAGUCAUUGCGGUCCUUCUGAGCUUGCUCCAGGAGCCUAGCUUGCUUGCGAAACUUGCGAGCACGCUUUUCAGCCUUCCGCUGCAUCUCCUGGGCCCUGCGAACAGCCACCAUCACCUGUGCAUAGGUGCCCUCUCGCUGACUGAUCAGCUUGAGUACAGCCAUCAUAGCACUCAUAGCAGGACUAGAGCUCCCAGCUCUCUCUCCUCUGCCUCGAACCAAAGCACAACCAUCAGCCUGCUUCCACUCCGCGGCUGCUGGGUCAGCACUAGGAAUGGAGGCCGCUGGUCCUCCUGUCAGCUCGUCACCACACCUCUGACAGAUAUCGAGCAGGAUAGUCUGGGCUGCAACCUGAGCUGCCUCCCAAGGAGUCUGCCCAUCUGAGCUGCAAGUCCAGCCUGUCCAUGCAGGCUUGUCCCCAUGUGGAGGAACAACUCCCUGCACAGCAAACCACUGGAUCCCUCCUGUGCUCUCCAUCUCCCACCAAGAGUACUGAGGUGGCUCAGUAUACCCAACAGUCUGUAACACUCUCUAGAGCAGGGUAGGAGUGCCAAACUCGUGCAAGAAAGUGUCACUGGGACGGGGUGAAGCGGGUGCGUCCAUCUGUGGAAAGGAAUGGGAAUACCAUGGGUAAAAGAGGAUUAGUUGAAGCAACAUUUAUUUAUUUAAAAAGGGACAAAAUUGUAAGGGAAGGAGCAGACAGAAUGUAUGUAUGAAUGCGACAUGAUGCAUGCACGAACCGUACGUCCUCACAAACUUAGAAAAUUAAUAUUCUAACGGAUAUACGGUGGCAUACAUUCGUCUCUCGAUACGAUAACUAUCGGUUUACACGUGCGCUGUUAGAGUACCUGCAGAAAACUUCAUUUCAGCCCAACAGUUCUCAAUAUAUCACUCAAGAAAGCAGUAAACUAAGUGCACAUUGCUUGGGCAUGCCCAACAUGCUCAAACAAUGACACCACAACUACCCGAGAAAUUAAAUACUCCCCAAUUAAGUUUCUUUCGUGGUUCUAUGGUUUCGACAUGUAACCACUCCAGAAAACCACCGCGAUCACUCCCCUAGACCGCCGUUUGGACGAUCAUGCUCUCACAGCUCCCACUUACCUGAGCGUAGGUGCGACGUUGCAUAAUUUAAAUCUAGCGACAUAUGUGGCUAAUUCACAUAUGAAGGCUACCUCCACCAUUAAACCACAGGGUAGCAUAGUGCGGUCAUCACACAUCCAUACCUGAGUACUGCCGGAGAUGCAUAAUUAAAACCCCCCAAGUCAGUACUUAAAUAGCCACCUAGAGUCCUUAUGUGGGCAAGGAGGAUUCGACCACUGGCAUAACUUGAUUACUUAUUAUACACCAUUUUAUUUAAAAACUCUUUUGUUUUAAAUACACAAACGCUGCAUUUAUAAUGCUGAACCUGGCUCUGAUACCAGCUGUCACAGAACCGACCAAAUUAUAAGAGUUCAAGUGCAGAAACAAUCGUCAAACAAUCAAGUUUCUAAACUUGAGCCCAUAUAAUCCCGGUAGUCAAUCGAAAUCACGAAGGACUUCAAACCAACUCGCAACAAACCAAGAUCAUAAUAGUUCAGCAUAAACACAACGAAUGUUACAUAGUCAUUCAUUGCCGACGAAGCGGCACCACAUUGGAGUCAUUAAGUUAUUACAACCCAAGUUUGAAGUAGCGGAAGCAAAAUAGUUACACACACUUGUUCAAAGUUCAGUUCACAAGUUUUGUUACUGCCAGAGUCUAUGCCAUUCUUCCAAAAGCAUCAUAGACGAGAAGAGUAGAGAACCGUGCCCAACGGUUAGUCCUCAUCCCCAGCGGGAUGGAGACAGGUCUUGCAGAAACCGUCAUAGAAGAUAUCAUCUGCAACAGGUGGGAAUAAACCCUGAGUACGAGGAUGUACUCAGCUAGACUUACCCGUCUAGUAAAACACAAAAGACACCAAGGAUCAUGCAAGGCUAAAUCUUAAGUGGAGCUGGUUGACUCACCUUUUGCCAAAAGCUUACCUAAAACUAAGUUAUUUUAAGAGCAUCAUAUUUAUUUAUCAUCAGCCUACCACUAGAUUAGCACCUGUACUACAACACAUCACUUGAUUAUUACAAACAAUAUUAACCAUAUCAAAUUCAUCAUAUGUUCUUCUUGCUAUCAUCAUUAUCACGAACCAAGUUCAUUAGUGAAUGCUACGUUUGCCGCUGCUCUGUCAAGUUCUCACUAACCGGGAGAGACGGCGAUUCGAAUCGAAUUCCUAUCCAGCUGGAGGGUUAUUCCUAGCACUCACCCAAGCAUCCCCUGCCGGAGAGCCAAAGGGUCACCUUUGGUACGACUCAGGAAUCGCGGCUCCGAUCAGCGCCGCACUCCCAGGGCUACCACUCUGCCAGGGAGGUCAGGAAUUUUAACUCACCUGCCUUUGGACUUACGCCAAUGGUCCCCCGCACACCGCACUUCCUCCGGUAGUGCGCACUUUAUACUUGCCGGUCUUCCGGCCUGAGUCGUACUACUCGGCUUCGCGGUCGGAACGAGUUAUCCGGCCAACUAAGUGUCAGGCAUGCGUUCAACAUGACAAGAGGACGUACAACGAUCGGUCCUUAGCUGCCACAGACGGAGUUACUACACACUUGCAAAACUCCGCCCGGCUUAAGUCAAUUUAACUAGGUUCCAUCCACGAUAGAACAUAUAGACCAUCGUGACCCGACACAACCCUAUAUCGCGCGGAUGACAGGAUAUCACCCGACUUCUACCGAUUAAAGCAUAGCUAAGCUGCUACUCGAACCUAACUCUACAACCAGGGAGAGUGAGUUAUCUGGACAAGGAUAGAGUAGAAUGCAGCAACAGUUUCGUCACAACUCCUAUACGUAAUGCAUCAAUAGAUAUAACGUAUUAAGUAAACUUUUCGAAAAUAAGGGGAGACUUAGAAUGCUCCGGGGCUUGCCUUUCACGAACGAUGCCGGCUCGUGAUUCGGGCACUCAACUUCUUCUUCGGGCUCCUCGAGUCCGGCUUGCUGGACCUCCACCUCCUGGCUGCCCUCCUGACCUUCGGGGUUCGCUUGGAGCUCGAAGGAAACUGCCACGUCCGGUGCACCUAUUGCAUGCUCGAACAAUAAGAAGAUGCACAUGCUAAAGAUGAAUGCUUAACAACACAAGCAACUCACUGGACAUUCAUUUACGGAGCAAAAGUUAUAUAAGCUCACACAAGUAAACAAGUCAAUGCAACCCAAGACUUGUCAUGCUACUAAAACAGCAAGUAACACAAAACAAGCAUACUCAGAAAAUAAAUCAUAAUUAUAGAUAGACAGGUCCAACAAACAUGAGUAAGGACAUUCUAGAAAGCUUAUGAAAUUGUCUACAAUUCAUCUUUAGACAUGACAGCAAGAUUCAUACUUAAAACUGGUCAUUUAAACAAAGUUCCAGGUUCUGUCCCAGAAAAACAGAGAACACCUAUUUCUGGAACCCAACUUGGAACAUCUAUAACUUUUAAACUACUUGGCCAAUUGACCUCAAAUUUAAACCACAGCUGCCUCUAUAAGUUUAGAACAACUUUGAUUUAGACAAGUUUCACAGAAAGUCAAGUUAUCCUUAAGCAAAGUUAAAUUGCUCACUUGCUGUCCAGAACAGCAUUUAACCCUAUAGUUAAUUAUUUAAUGACAUGAUCAAAACACAAACCAUGCCAACUACCUAGCCUAAGAGCACAAACAUAUCACAAAGUUACCAGAUCAUCAGAUGAAAACCCCAAAACAUUUACUUAACAAGGUAUUUGUUAAUUAACUCCAAAUAAGAGCAUAUUUACAAGAUGUUAGUUAAAUUGCUCAGAAAAAUCUACAAAAAUUACAGAGGUACAGGUAUAACAUCAGAUCAACACCAUAAAACUUUCAGGACCAUUGCACAUGCCAAGUUAAAGAUAUGUAUUUAACUUGUACCAAGGUGUUUAUUGUCUAAAUUCCAAAACAUGACUUAUAUGAUGCCAAACAUCAGAUUUCAGAUCAUUUACAUCUUAGGGAUACCAUAAACAAGUUUACCACCAAAAUAAAACACCAGCAUAAGCACCAUUUAUUUUAUAUGAUUUAAUUAAAGAAACAAGCCAUAUUUCAAACACAAAUUACAUAUCACAACAGCAUUGCUCCAAAAAUCAUGAAAUAAUUAUCAGAGCACUCUAAUGCCAUGCAAAGACCACCAUAAAAUUUUCAGAGCAAACUAAGCAGUAUAACAAGAGAUAUGCAUUUAACCAAGAAUAACAAGAUUAAAUUCCUUAAUAAAUAAUUUCUCAGAAAACAUGAUUCAUUUUAUAUUUUUGUUAAAUACUAGCCAUCUCAAGAAACACCACAAAAUUUGUUUCACAAUUUUUGGAUCUCAGAAACAGGAGAUAUGAUUUUUGCAAGAAAGCCAAAAAUCAGGAUUUUGAAUAAAAGAAAAGGAGGGAAAGAGAGAGUCGCUGACAGUGGGUCCCAUCUGUCAGGCUCUUCUUCCUCACGGCCGAGGCGACUUUCGCCGGCGAUUUCUCCGCGACGGCGAGGUCUCCGGCCAAACCCAGGGCAUCGACGUGAUCCCCGAACCCUAACGACUCGAUUGACCCCACUUUUGCCACGGCGGAGCCACCGGAAGGGGCUCACCGUCGGCAAUGGCGGCUCGGCGGAGGUGCUCGGCGUUACGCCGGAGCCCUCAGGCCGGUAGAGCGUGACCUAAGGCCUUCUACAGCACCAACGGACUACGGCGAAGCUUCCUAGGUACGCGGCUUGGCCUGGAUCCCCGUGGAACGCGCUGGCCACGAGAGCACCCAACUCCGGCGGAAGCACGGCGGCGCUGCGCACCGUGUCCGGCGACGGAGAAGCCGGUAGAGCGUCCACCAGGUGGCGCAAAAGCUCGCUAAGGACCUAAGCUACCUCUAGGACCUAACCAAAGACAAUGAGAAACUUCACAGAGCUCGGCAUUGAGUUCGCCGGAGAAGAAGGUCACGGCGGACCGAUUUGGGGGGAAGAAGGGAAUGUCGGAUCACCGGUGGGUUUCUCGGCGAGUUAGAGGGUGGAGCUUGGAGAGCGGCUCACGGCGGAGCUUUGGGUGGAGUUUGGUGGACGGAGACGCAGAGAGGAGCGCACACGAGCUCGCCAGAGUGAGCUCGCGGCGGAGAGCUCGCUGCGGACGAGUUUCAGGCGAGAGAGGGCGAGGCAGAGCGAAGUGGACGCGUCCACUCGCUCGGGGCGUCGCCGUGGAGGUCAUGCACGCGACGGAAGCUGACAAGCGGGGCCAAACGCGGCGUACGGGCGACAAAUGGCGACGGAGCUCUGCCGGCGGUCGGCCACGUCGACGAGGUAAGUUCCGAUUCAGAAGAAACGAUGCUUGUCUGACAGAGCCACUUCACCGACGAUUAUCUCCCAAACCAGAGCGAAUUAGGUGAUGGCGUAGUUGACAAACUUGGAGUACUAGGCGAGAUCUACAACUUUGUCAACUAGAGCAAAGGCCAGAUCGGCCUGGAUUGAAAGAUAUAGAGUUUCCAAAACCGAUCGAGCAAACUGCAAAGCACCCAGGACUUAGAAAAUUUUCUAAGUGUUGAAAACAGCCCCAAAUCUGCCUUGUGGGCCACUUUUGAGCUAUUUGUGAUCAUUUUCAUGAGAUGGCCAUAAAACAACUUUUGUUCCUUAUAAAAUUUGCUACAACUUUGCUGUAGAAAGUUUUGACAUGCAAACAUUUAUGAAACACUUUUUAAAAGCCUAAGAAAAAGAGGUUUCUAGGGCCUAUUUUUAUAAGUAUGACUUAGAAGCAUAUUUUGGAAAAGUGACCAACAUGAACAUUGUUCCCAAGAUCAAGUUAAGCAUAGAUAAACUAAUUACCAAGGCAUUAAGCACAAACACAAGCAUUGUUCACUCAAACAUAAGUAUAGGAAGCCUAUUUAAGCAAUUUAAAACACAUUUUUGCAUAGAAUGACAUGGCUCAAGAUGGAUGAUGAUCAUGAUAUGCUUUGAGUAAAUGAUGAUGCUCAUGCUAUGCACAUUCUUGAUGCAACCAUAACACUGGGGUGUUACAACAAUGGUGGAAGUCUAAUUCUACUUUUGCUCUUUGAGGGGAUACAUACCUUCCUUGCUUUUUGAAACUUUAUGAGGAGAAUGAGAUGCUCUUCUUUUUAUUUUCUCUCAGGUGGGUAUCUUGUACCCCUAAUUCUACUGUCGGACACCUGUCCAUUUUUACCUCUCGUCUCACUUUUUCUUUUCUUUCGAGGUUCCGAGCACUUGCUCCUUUUUAUUUCCUCGUAUCUUUUUUAUCUCUCUUUUUUUAGAGCACUCAUCUCUUGAGAUAAUAUAGCAAGUGGUAGUAACAAGAUAACUUGAGCAUUUAUUUAACAAGGAAAAACAGAAAUAUUUUUGUUAUUCUCUCCCGGAUUAGGAGUAGAAUAUUUUUAUGUGGUUCUAGAGAUGGAAAUGGAUGGAUAUAUGUGGAUGGUACUUCUGGAGUAGAAGUAGCAUAUAUGAGUGAACGUGCAAGUGAAAUCUUGAUUUAACCACAUGACAAGCUCCUAAGGGUCGACACAGCUUGACCACACUCAAUGCUCAUAAGCAGUAAAUAGUAAAUGUGUGGCUCAAAGUCUAGCAAGCAUGUAUAAAUGGCUGUGGUAGGAAUUUAAACUCUCAUCAUACAGAAACUCAUCAUGCAAUAUUUUAAAGAUUUUCAAAGAUAAAAUUCUCCAGAAUUCUAGCAUCUCUAGGAACAGAUAAACAGCAGCUCAACCUUCCCAUAUCAUAUCCGUUAACAACUUAGACUUCAGAUCAAGUUUUCAUCCCACAAGUUUAGGUCUAGAGCAAGCUUUAAAUUAUAACAGUCAUGUCUAAACUUGAGAGAGAACUUAAAAUAUACAAAUUAGGC
rnacentral:lncRNA from 1 species